rnacentral:lncRNA from 1 species
AGCCCUCUUAGACGUUCAAUUGAUGAUGGUAUCUCUUUUAUGGCGGUUCCAUCUAAAUAAAGGUUUCUCAAGCUCUCCAUAUCUUGCAGGAUAUCUGGAAAGCUUUCUAGUUGUGAACAGCCAGAGCAACAGAGAGUUGCAAGGGAUUUGAAAUUACAAAUGCCACUGGGCAGACUCGUAAGAUUUUUGCAACCCAACAGACAUAAUCUAUCAAGUUCUAAGGGAUUCUCGAUAAUGGGCACUUCAGUCAUGUCACUGCACCCAAAACACCGCUUUCGUCGCGCCCCAUCGCAUUGGCAUUCGUUGCAUAUUCUAACAUCUGCACCCUUUGUCUGUGUUGUUAAUGGAUGGCUUUGAUGAAGGUCUUCGGAGUAUAUAAGGUGGAAUCCACACCUGUUCACUUCCAUGGUUUUCUCAUAAUUAAAGACAGGAUCGAGAAAUAAAGACAUAUUUUCAGUCAAUUGACAAGGGUGAAACAUUUCUGGAAUAGCCGCCUUGGAAUAGCAAACCACCAACGUUUCACCUGAUACACUCUCAUUAUCUUCGUCCUUGUCUUCUUUAUAGCAAAAACAAUUGGAUUGAAAGAAGGGAAAAUCUACAAUUCCAUCUACACUUUUAUCACCAUUGAUCUGCAGAAGACAAGAAUGUGUAUGUGUAUGUUCAUUCUUACAAAAAGAUUCAGCCACAGAUUUAUCAUCUGUUUCAUUCUCCCAUGUACGAGUAGAUUCAUCCCCAGAUUUAUUGUCUGAUUCAUUCUCGGACCCAUGUGCAGAUUCCUUUUCGGGUAUGUCCUCAGAUUCAUCAACAAGUGGAACAUAAACACAGAAUAUAGCAAAUCCCAAAAACUCAUUAUUUUGGUGCCAAUUCUGAGGGAGCUCUGUUCUUUCAAAAUGUCUAUUUGUCCGAUCCAUAAUCCCUUUAGGAAUUACAUCACCUCCGGGAAGAAAAAUGCAAGUUCCCUUGCCAUGGUAGAAAGAAUCACUAAAACUAGUGCGUUUCGAAUCCUGCACCAAAGCACCAUGUAAAUAUAGAGUCUGCAUAUAACUAGUGUGUGACAUGAAAAUCAUACCUGUACUCGACUGAAGCAAUUGACCAGAGAAUGCAAUGGCAAAAACGGGGCUCUUGAUGAAGUGCGAUUUGAACCGUGUGCAUCUAAAAGCCGUAGACGUGAUGGAAGCUCUGGAAUUUGUUCAAGAUUGCUGCAGUGACUAAGGUUAAGGACUUCCAGCCUGGAAAGCUGAUUGAUGGUAGUAGGUAUGCUACUAAAAUGACCCCGUUCCAGAUUUAGUUUCUGUAAUGAUGAUAAAUGGCAAAUAUCACUAGGAAUUCCUCCUUCCAUUAUGUUGCAGUGACCUAGGUCCAAUACUUCCAAUGAUGAUAAGUGGCAAAUAUGAAUAGGGAUUUUGUGGAGCUUUGCACACUCUUGAAGUAGGAGAGUUUGAAGACCAUUUAGAUGUGUAAUUGAUGAUGGUAAGUCCAUUAUAGCUGUUCCACUCAAAUCAAGCACCCUUAGCUCUCUCAUAUUGCCCUUGAUUUCUGGAAAUCUCUCUAGCUUUGAACAGCCAUUGCAAGACAAAGUUUGAAGGUGUUUCCACUUGUAAAUGCCUCUUGGAAGACGCUCCAGGUUUACACAUCCUGCAAGAUUCAAGGGAAAAAAUAAAAAUAAAAAACAAGUUAGUUUUAGUAAUUAUAAUACUGUUGCACCAAUCUUUUAAGUACCAUGCAUUGUACAACCUUCUAGAGUUAGAAUCUCCAAGUUUGGCACACUUGAGAAGUCUGGGAUUCUGAUGAGAUGGACAGAGUAACUGAGAUCAAUAACCCUCAACUUGUCAUGAAGCUGUAACAAAAUAAUUUUUUUCAAUAGAUAAAUUUAUAUAAAUGUUAAAAAUUAAUAUAAAAUUAAACUGUAACUAAAUAAUAAUAGCAAUACCUUAUUCCCUCUCCAAAGUUGCUUUAUAUUGCUGUUCCUCAGUAAGAGUUCAACAAGGUUCUUUGCAUGAAAAUUCAAUGGCAAAGAUUCUAAAGGGUAUCGAUCCCAAUGCAGAUAUGUUAACUCAUAAGAAGAGAAUUCAAAGUCCCUUGGAAGGUGGUCUUCAAGAAAUAACUUUCUGCGAGGGUUAUGGAUUUUGAGCAAUCGAAGUCUAUUCAUCUCUUUGAAAGAUUUUGUAGUAAGCUGUGAUAGAUUAAAUUUACAUCUAUCUAGGAAUAGUCCUUCAAUUGCUCUUGUCCCCUGAAAAAUAUAAGAUGAGUAGGCAAAACAAAAGAUGCAUUAGACUUAAUUGAGUUAUAUACACGGCUAAUUUCUGAAAAAUUAAUGAUAGUAUUGAAGCUUGCAUACACACGUAUAUAAACAAGUUCAUGCAUUUGACUCUUACCGUAUUUCCUAUUAGCACGUGAUAGGCAUUAGAAUCCCACAAUCUACUCCUUCUUCCAGGGUCUUCAGGACAUUCUUGACGAAUAACCUCCCAACCCAUUAGUUGUAUUAAAUCAUGCAUAUCUAGCAUGUUUUUUGAAAUAGUUAUAAGACAUCUAUCAGCUAGAGUUGUUAUUACAUGCUCUGCAUGAGGGCCCAAUAUUCUUGAAACAAAAUCUUUGUCAUCUCCUUUGAAAAAGCAUGCUACAUCCAAAAACAUCCCCUUGUCUAUAUCAUCGAGUCCAUCAAAACUUAUUCUAAGUACAUUGUGAAUUUCCUUGUGGGGUAUUAUUUUUAGCUUACACAGUGCACUUUCCCAAUGACUUAUUUUCUUUCCAAAAAGAGAAGCACCUAUAACUUUAAGUGCUAACGGAAGGCCAUUAGCAUAAUCUAUGAUAUUGUAUGAGAGGUUUUUAUAAACUUCUUGGGGACGAUUUUGUUUAAAGGCCCACAAACUAAAGAGCUCAGUAGCUUCUUCCUUGUUUAAUUUUGAAACCUCAUAUGGUAUAUCCGCUCCAUAUUGAGCAAGCACGUGUUUGUCUCUAGUUGUAAUGAUGAUUGUACUUUUUGCAUGAAACCAAUCUUUCUCUUCAGCCAAAUAUUCUAGUUGUUUCAACUCAUCCACAUCAUCAAAAAUAACAAGAACUCUAUUGGAGGUUAGACACCUCUUUAUCAUACUAAUUCCUUCAUCAACAUUGUUUAUUUUAAAAUUUUUUCCCCUUAGGAUACCAUGAAGAAGUUCUUGCUGUAACUGAAGUAUAUCACCUUUGGAUCGCUCUCUGAUAUUUCUAAGAAAGCUCCUACCAUCAUAUUGAUCUGAGGUCUCAUUAUAAAUAGCCUUGGCAAUAGUAGUCUUGCCAACCCCACCAAUUCCAUAUAUCCCUACGACGCUAACCAUAUUUAACUUAGUGUUCAUCAACGAUUUCAAUUUUUCCAAAUGAACACCAAUUCCAACUAUGUUCCUUCCCACACUUAAAGGGUGAUGGUUUAAUCUUCUAAUGAUUGUAUCAACAAUUUCCUUGACAACCUGAGUCUCAUACCUGCAAUCAUAUAAAUUAAGUACAAUGAUGAGUUAGAAUGAGUUGCAAAAUAUAAUAAAUUUAGUUGUGUAUGGCGGUGUCCAAUAUUACUGAAUUAGUAGCAAUGGAAUGAAAAAGAAAGGGUUAAAUUUUGCAUUUCCAUAAAGGAAUCAGGAAACGAGUGAAUGUGGAGAAUUUAAUGAUUUCUUUCUUGAUUGGGAACUUAAAUAUGAUUUGCUUUAGAGAAAAUUAUAAAAGGGUUAAAUUUUGAUACUUGCAUUUUUGGACCAACACAUGGGAAAAAUGAAAGUUAGAUUUUGUUAACAAUUUCAUACUUACUGGUCAUUCACAUGGCAUCCAGAUAGAUUAGCUGCUUCUCUCAAUGCAAUCCUCCACUUUUGUAUCAUCUCCAUCUUUUCUUGAUUUGCAUCUCUUUCAUGGUAGGCAAGUGCGUCUCCGAAACUUCCCCUUUGGUUUCGUACAUCAGAUGGAUCCACAUGGUAGAAAAUUGGUAGAACCAUUGAUUCCUUUUGGCUCUUGCGUUCAAUGAUCUUUACGAGUUCAUUUAAACACCAUCUGGAGUAAGCAUAAUUUUUUGAGAAAAUAAUAAUAAAAAACCUCGAUUCUUCUAUAGCUCUGAAGAGAUCAGAUGCAAUAUCUCCUCCUUUCUCAAGUUCUUCAUCAUCUCUGAAAGUUUGAAUUCCAGAUGCAGUCAAUGUGGUAUAUAAAUGAUCAGUGAAAUUUCUGCGAGUAUCGCUACCUCUAAAACUCAAGAACACAUCAUAAUUACGAGAAAUAGAAGUAGUCGAAGAAGAGGCUCUAUGGGUGCUGGAAGAAGCCAUUUAUGGAUGGCUUGAACCAAAAUUACAAGGGAGUCUGGAAUCCAAGAAAAUCAGAGGGAGGGUCCUUGGAUGCUCAAUGACUAUUGGCUCCAGACCUCUUCACCAUGAACAAAAAUCCAAGCUGGGAGGGAGGUUCAGCUGAAAGCUUCAUCUGCAGUCGUAAAAGAAAAGAAAAACGUAUAUAAAGCCCUCUUUGAGAAAUUUCUUUGCAUAUAAAUUCUAAGAGAAACUCACACAUAUUUUACCUUUUGGUUGGGGAAGAUCCUUUCUCCAUUCCCUUUGUGUUGGAGACUGCAGUUAAGGGAUGUAGAGAAGAUGGUGGGGAAGAUGGUGUGGAGGAUGGGUAGGGGUUGAAGAAGAGGCGGUGGGCAGCAGAGGUCUCGAUGACUAGUGGAUAGAAACCUAAUUAAGACUAAAAGUAAUGCUUUUCUUUUCGGGAGAAUUUGUGUUUUGUAUCGGCCCAAAAAUUAAUAAAAGAUCCUCUAAACACCUAUAAUUAAUUACAAAGAUAUAAAAUUGAAAUAGACAAAAAUACCUCCUUUGAAUUACACCCAUUAUUUUUGUCUUUAUACCGUCACUCUUUACAUGCCCCCAUUUAUAAAAUUCUCCUUUAUUUAAUCAUUUUUUUAUUUUUCAUUAUUUUUUAAAUUCUUUUAAAAAUAAUUGAAAAAUCAACAUUAUUUUAUAUUUUUAAAUUAUAAAUAAAUAAAAAUUAUAUUAAUGAUUCAAAAAUUAUUUUGGAACAUACUUUAGAAAAAAAUAUUAUUUAAAUGAAUAAAAAUUAUUUUUUACAUUUUAGAAGUAAAUAAUUUAAUGAUUAAAACAAUAUUUAAAUUAAAUAUAUUUACUAUUUUUUUUUCUUUUAUACUAAAAAGUAUUUUAAAGUUUAUUUUUUUUUUAUUAUAAUAGAAUAAAAAGUUUAAAGUUUUUUUUAAAUUUUUUUCCUUCCAUAUUUUAAUAAUUUUUUUAACAUAGACUUUUGGCAAUAAGUUAUAUGAAUGUUCCAAAUUUGUUUAUUAAGGAAUUUUUUUAAUGAUUUGAAUUAAUUAAAAAUUUAUUGAAAUAAGAAAAAAGAAAAAGAGAGAAAGAGGAUAGAUAAAGAGUUUUUAUUUUAAAUAUCCAACAAAAAUGUUUUUGUAUUUAGAAAUGGAUUAUAUCAAUACAUAGUAUAGUAGAUAUUGAUUUUUUUCUCAUGCAAAAGGGCUAAAUGAUAUAUUUACUCAUUUUAAAUGAAAACAAGUAGUUAAAAAUUAUAUAGAUUAUGUUUGAGUUUGGUUUUAAAAUACUUUUUCUAGUUUUAUUUUUUUAUUUUUAAAAAUUAUUUUUAUUUUCUAUAUUGUCUCUUUUUGAAAAUACAUUUAAUUAAAAAAUGAAAAAUAUUUUUAAAAAUGAAAAUUGAAGACCUUGUUUAAUACUAUUUUUUUUUAUAUGAAGGUAAUAAAAAUAAUUAAAUUUCAUUUAUUGAUUAUUCUUUUUUAUUUUUAAAAUAUAAUAUGUUCACAAUUAAAUAAAGGAAUUGGUCAAUUGUAUAUUUUUUACACAAAAAUUUAAUAUGUUCAUAAAAAAAUUGGAUUGAAGUUUUUCGUCAUUUUUUUUAAUCAAACUACUAGAAUCAUGUUUAAUACACAAUAGGCAUACAUGCAUUACGGGGUUAUGAAAUUUGUGUCACUAUACAAGAGUAUUUACUAACUAUAUAAGGGAAAUGUACUGUGUACAAGCAGUGUAUAAGAUUACCAUUUAUAAAAAAUUUCAAUCUAUUUUGAACCACUCCUUUAUUUUCCUUGUCACCCACAAAUUGCAUACUCAUAUCAUGGACUUUAUUUAACUCCCACAUGGAAAUUCUGAUACUUUCCCUAGUAAUGAUGUUUGGGAAAAAAAAAACUAACCCUAGUUCAUCCAUCCUUUUAUUAGUUAAACCAUUAGAAAUAUGAUUAACACACCUACAUGGGCACAUUACUUAGGAGAGAUAUAUUGCACCAUUGUACAAUGGUAUUACACUAAUUAUACAAGAGAAAUGUGCUAAGUGUACAAGGAAAAUGUACUAAGUGUACAAGGAAAAUGUACUAAGUGUACAAGGGUGUACAAGACUACCAUCUAUAAAAAAAUUUAAUCGAUUUUGAAUCACUUCUUCUUUUUCUUUGUCACCCACAAAUUGCAUACCUAUGUCAUGCAAUUUAUUUAACUUUCACAUGAAAAUUUCGAUACUUUUCUUAGUAAUAAUGUUUGGGGAAAAAAAAUUUAAUCCUAAUUCAUCCACCAUUUUGUUAGCUAAACCAUUAGAAAUAAGAUUAAUAUACCUACGUGGACACACAAUUUAAGAAGGAUAUAUUGCACCAUUGUACAAUGAUGUUACACUAACUGUACAAAGAAAAUGUACUAAGUGUACAAAGGUGUAUAAGGCUACCAUUUGUGAAAGAUUUUAAUCGAUUUUGAAUCAUUUCUUUAUUUUCUUUGUUACACAUAAAUUGUAUAUGAAAUUGCACUAUUAUAUAAGGGUGUUACACUAAUUAUAGAAGAGUAUUACACUCGCUGUACAAGACAAAUGUACUAACUGUAUGAGGUAAAUGUACUAAUUAUACAAGGGUGCAUAAGGUUAUCCUUUAUGCAAGAUUUCAAUCAAUUCUAAAUUUUUUUCUUGUAUAAAGGCCAUCCCUUACUCCAUUCAUGCUAAAUGGAUUGAACACUUUUCCCCCACACAUUCCUUCACCUAAAAAAUGUUUUAAUUUUAAAUUUUAAAUUUCAUCAUCCAAAAUUUGUAAUUGCAUAUUUCAUUUAAGUAGUUUUAACAAUAUUUUUUCUUACUACAUUUACAUCUUAUAUAAAGAAAAAUUAACCAUAAUAUUAGGUAUUACCUUUUUUAUGAAAUCAAAGUAAUAUAAAUGGAUAACACAUUAAUGUCAUUGUUUCAAAUGAUUUAAGACAAUAUAAAUAACAUAUAAUAAUUGUUGAGAUUAUGAAUAUUUUUUACCAAACUGUGUCAUUUAGAUCUUCCCUACCAAAAUUAAAACAUAGGAAAUAAAAUUAAAAUUAACCACAUUUAAAGUGUUUAUUACAAGUAAACCGAAUGAAAUAUAUAUUUUUACUAUUUUACCUUUAUAAACAUAAUGUCAGCAGAUAUUAAAAAAAUCAUAUUUAAAUAGAAUUAAAAAGGAUAAAAAAUUGUCUUUGUAACAUUUGUAAUUUUUUUUUAUAAAAAAUCAUUAAUUUAAAAAAAAAAAUUGUUGUAAUUAUAGUUUUGAAGAUUCUAUGAUUUUUAUAUUAUUACUUUUAAUUAUUUUCUUUGAUUUUUUAUUUUAAAUUUCAUCUAAACUUGUUUUUUCUUACAUUUACAUGUUUUCUAUUAUAUCCCUAUUUAAAGUGAUUUUCAUUUAAUUUGUGUUCCAUUAUAUUCUCUUUUCAAUUUUAAUGUGUUGUUAUACCUCUUUACAUAACAAAAGAUUUUGUUAUUUUUCAUCUACAAAACUUUGUACAAAAGAUAUCAUGUACGAGGAAAAAAAAAUAAAAAAGAGAAAAUUAUGAUAUAAUUUACAUACACAUCUCUUAAUAUGAUACAUUUGCUUGACUUAAUGACAUCAUGCUUUAAUAAUUUAAAUCAUGUCAAGUCCACAUCUAUUUUAGAUUUAAAAGGGUAUUUGAAUAUUUUUCAAAUUAUUAAGUUAUAAUACAUUAUUCAAUUAAAAAUUAAGUAUCACCAUUAGUUAAAAGAUGAUUAUGUUACAAAAUAAUGUAUUAAGAUAAUAUCAAUGUAUUGUCAAUAAAAUAGAGAAAAUAUUCAAAUAAUUGUCUACAACCUUAAAGAUAUUUAUAUAUAUAUUGGAUAAAAAAGAAUAAUAAUAUUUUUUAAGGUGAUUAAAAAAUAUUUAUUAUAUAUUUAGUAAGUUUUAAAAAAAAUAUUUUAUGAGGUGUUUAAAAAAUAUUUACUUUAAAAAUAUAGUAAUAAUCAUUUUCAAUCAUUGAUUUCCAAUAUUCAAUUUAUUAGACAUGGUUUCUGGGAGAAAAAUAAUUGAUAGAAAUAGUAACACUUUCCUAGUAAGGAAUUAAUUUACAUGUCCCACCAAUUAAUAUGUGAGAGAAAAAGAUAAGGUGAAUGAUGAAAGAGAGAGGAAAAAAAAAAUGAAAGAGAAUGGGAAGUUAGUUGUUUUCUUUUUCUUUUUGACAGCAAAGGGUAUUUUUGGAAAAUUGAACUUUCCAUAUCAUUCUUCUCAAUUUAUAGACUUUCUUUAGGUGUUGGGCUUAAAUAUGGAACUUACAUGGACCAUAUCUUAAUUUUUGGACCCAGUUGAGUCCAAAACACAAUUUUCCCUUUCUUUUUUAUUAAACAUAUACUUAAUUUUUUUUCUUCAAUUUAAGUAUUUUGAUAAUAUUAUUUUUUAUGAAUAUUGAUGGCAAAAUUCUAUCAUCUUUCUAAAAUAUUUAUUAGAUUCUAGUAGGAAAUCAACGUCAAAGUAGGCCCCUAACUAAAAGUCAAGAGAGCUUUAUGACCUUUCACAUUAGAAAAUAGUUGGAUUCAUGUAGAAAAGGCAAACCUUCCUUCCACACCCAGUGUAAUAUUCCAUUGUUUUUUCUAAUUUUAUUUUUCCCUCUAGUUCCAAUAUUUGUACAACCUCAUCCUUAUUUAGUUUAGCUCCUUUUCUAUGUAAUCUUUUUUUUGGUAUUUUACAACUUGAAUUUAUAGAAUAUCUUUUGUUCAAUAAUUUUUUUAAUUAAUUUUUAUGAAAAAUAUCAAUUUUUAUAGAUAUAUCGGUAAAUCCCUUUUACGAAUAUAUUAAAAUAUAUCAGAAAAAUAUUGAUAGAUAUUUUGAAAUAAAAAUAUGAAUAAGAAAAAAAUUAUUCAAAAUUCAUAAAAAUAUUUAAAAUAAUUAUAAAAAAUAAUAUAAAAAGUAAUAAUAAAUAUCUUGAUAUUGUUUUGUUAAAGAAAUGAAUAUAUGUAUAAUAUAAUUCAUAGUAUUUAAUAAAAUAUUGAUAAUUUUAUUUGUAAAUAUAAAAAGGCAUAUAUUAAUUUAUGCACAUGUAAUAUAUAUAUAUAACGUUAUAAUAUUAACAAAGUUAGCUUGGUGGCGUGGUGCUCACUCUAUGCCUGAGGUCAUGGUUUCUCAAACCCAUCCUUCCACAAUGAUUUAAAUCCCUUUUUAAAGGUAAGAGGUGGGAUCCCACAUCGGUCAGCCACAACACUUAAAAACCUGCUCAUAGACCCUUUGGCAGGUAGCAGUGUUUGAAUGCGUGUGGUUGGCUGGGCCGACGUACACGUAAAACUUCCAAAAGGGCAAUUUAUCUCUUUGCCGAGAUAUCCACCUACCGCGCCCUGGUCGGAGUAUGGAUAUUUUGAUUCAAAUAUCAUGAAAUUAUUUAAAAUAUAUAAAAAUAUUUUAAAAAAAAGUUCAAAAAAUAAUAAUAAUAAUAAUAAUAAAGGUAAGAGGUGGGAUCCCACAUCGGUCAGCCACAACACUUAAAAACCUGCUCAUAGACCCUUUGGCAGGUAGCAGUGUUUGAAUGCGUGUGGUUGGCUGGGCCGACGUACACGUAAAAUCUUCCAAAAGGGCAAUUUAUCUCUUUGCCGAGAUAUCCACCUACCGCGCCCUGGUCGGAGUAUGGAUAUUUUGAUUCAAAUAUCAUGAAAUUAUUUAAAAUAUAUAAAAAUAUUUUAAAAAAAAGUUCAAAAAAAAAAAAUAAUAAUAAUAAUAAUAAAAAUGACUUCAUUAUUUUUUUAUUUUAUAUUUUAGUAAAUUUUUUAAUAAAUUUAUACUUUUAAUAUUUAAAAAUAAAAUAUUUAAAAUUAAAUAAAAUUAAAAUGAUAAAUAUACAAAAUUUGAAAGUAAAGGGAUUAUAAUUUUUUAAAUAGAAUUAAUGAAAUAAAUGAUUAUAUAUUUAAUAUUAAAACUAUAAUUUAUUUAAUUUAAAUGCAUUUAAUAAUGUAAAAGAAAUGAUGAUGUAUUUAUAUUUUUUAUAUUUAAUUAUCAUUAUUAAGAAAAUUAUAAUAAUAGUUUUUAUACUUUUAUUAAAUAAUUAAAAAUUUUAAAAUAAAAUAAUUAGAAUUAAUUGAUUUAUUAUUUUAAUAAUAAACUUUAAGAUAUUUAAUGUGAAUAAACAUAUCAACUAAUAUAAAUUUGGCCCAGAGGGAGCAAGGCUCAUACCCAAGCCUUUUGCUUGGGUUCGAAUCCCUUUCGCACAAGAGUUGGUAGAAAAAUUUCCUCCAUUUCGGGGAAACACUCACCUUUUGGUGUGGAGUACUUUUAUGAUUUUGUUCAAUAUAAAAUUUUCCAAAAAAGUUUUCUGUUUCUUGUUUUCCUUACUUUUCCAAUUAUUUAAUUCUUUUUAAAUAUACCUUUGAGUCACUUCAAGGCAACAAUAAUCCAUGUAAUUAUUUUUAUUUUUUGUUUUUAUAAUGUGUAUGGCGUAGAGAUGGCAAGCAUGAUAAUGAGAAAUCUUAUGUUAAAAUUAAACUAUGCUUUUUUUUAGUAAUUGAUUAUCUACUUUGCCUUUCAUUUUGAUGUUUUACUUCUAAUAUAUAUGAUAUUUUAGUUUGGUGUUCCCCUUGGACUUUAAUUAUGGAGCUAAUUCUUAUAAUUAUUGGUAGAAAAUUUCUUAUGACCAUCAAGAAAUUUAAAGCUUGUUACAAAAAUUGAUAUGAAAGUAGGCUAUUAACAAAAGGUUAAUAGACCCCAAUGUUCUUUCACAUUAAAAGAUAGUGAAAUUUACGUAGAAUAAAUAACUAAUGUUACAAAAAUUUGUAUGAAGACAAUGUUAUUUAUAAAAGGUCAAUAGAAGUACUUUCACAUUGAAAGAUAGUGAAAUUUACAUAAAAAAAAGCAACCAAGCCUCGCAUGCGAAGUUUCAUUUUCACUUUUUCUUUUCUUUUCUAUUUUUAUGUUUUCCCCUUGGACAUUAUCUAUCUAUCUAUAUACAUGUAUACACCUCAUUUCCACAACUUUUUUUGCUUAACUUUCUUUUUCUUUUGUUAUUAGUAUUUAGUAACAAUGGGUCAAAUCAUUUGACAUUCAUUCCAAAGCCUUCCUUUUUGUUCUCAAAUUAUUCAAAGGAUGAUAUCAUAUAAGGAAUUCUUAAAUAGAGCUUGUAAAAAUUACAUCAAAUUUAUAAUUCGUUAAAAAAUAUAUAUAUCAUCUCCUUUUCUUUAACAUUUAUUCUUUAAUCAUUGUUGCAUAAUGAUAAAAUUGAAGUAAGUGCAAUUAUGCUUUAUUUGAUACUCAUAAGAAUUACAAAAUCUCUUCACCUCGAGAUAUUGAAGUCUAGGUAAGAAAAUAGAUGGAUAAAAGUGCGAUAUAAAACUUUUCUUCUUUUUCCUUUUCCCAUUUGAAAGGUGUUUGUGGUUGAAGGAAAAAAAUAUCAAGUGGUAUAACAAAAAUAUUGGAUUCGGGAAAAAACUCAUAUUAAAGGUCUUUGAUGACUAUCUUUUGCAUUUUGUUUUUUGCUUUUCUCCUUUCAAGUUCUAACAUACAACAACCAAUCUUCUCUUUUAGUAGUUGUCUUGAACUUUGAUGACAAUUGCGCAAAGCCUUUUACGAAAUUUGCUUGAAGGCAUACUACCAUCCAAAGUUCAAUAAACCAAGGAAAAUUGCAUGAAAAUAUUUCAUAUCAUUUCUUGAAAUUUAGAUCUUGGUAAGAAAUUGGUUUAAAGGUAAGCUACUAUCAAAGUUUGGAAAAUAGAAUGUCUUUCAUACUAUUUUUCAUGUUUAGGUAACAUGAAAAAAAUAAAUUUUUUUUUUCAUUUUUCUUUUGUUUUUCUUCUAUUGGCAUUCAUUGGUGACUAGUUAUAUACACAUAGUAUAAUUUUUAAAAGGAUUUCCUUUAAUUUUUUUUUUCCAAAAUAAUAUUUGAGGAACCUUGAUUAUACCAUUUUAUUAUAUUUUCUUCAGAAAAAAAAAUCUUUUAUGCAUGUUGUUCAUGUUAUAUAUGAUAAUUUAAUUAAAUUUUAGUUACAACUUUGAGCCGCUUGAAGCCCACAAAAUCCAUUUAAUAAUUUAUUUUUUUCAAAAUAUUUAUGUAGCUAGAGGUGCCAAAUAUAAAAACAAGAGAUCAAUGGAUAUGAAUACAAAAAUGGCUAAAAGUAUACAAUAGUUUUCCUAUGUAUUUACUUUCUAAUUUGGUAACUCUUUUGCACUCUCAUGAAAACUUUUAUGAAUCUUUGUGUCAAAUUUGUAUGAAGAUAAUCCAUAUACAUAUGUGUAUUAUAUAUCACUUAAUGAUAGUUGGUUUCAUAUGGAAAAAGCAAAUAUUGCCUCCUAAAGUUAUUAUUAUCGUAAUGUGAUAUUUCAUCUUCCAAUUUUAUUUUCAUCCCUUGGCAUUUAAUACUAUGCUAUUUAUAAUACUCUCUUCUUUCUUAAAACAUUGUUAUCAAAUUAUUCAAAAUAUGAUAUUGAAUUUAUGAAAUAGAUGCUUGUAAAAUUUAUGUCAAAUGAUAAUAUUUUUCAAGAAAAAAAAUGUUAUUUCCUUUUCUUUAAUAUUUAUCCUUUUGUCAUUACUACAAAGUAAGUGCAAUUAUCUUCAUCAUCUCUGAAAGUUUGAAUUCCAUAUGCAGUCAAUGUGGCAUAUAGAUGAUCAGGGAAAUUUCUGCGAGUAUCGCCGCCACCUCGAAAACUCAAGAACACAUCAUAAUUACGAGAAUUAGAAGUAGUAGAAGAAGAGGCUCUAUGCAUGCUGGAAGAAGCCAUUUUUUGGAUGACUUGAACCAAAAUUACAAGGGAGUUUGGAAUCCAAGAAAAAUCAGAGAGAGGGUCCUUGGAUGCUCAAUGAAUAUUGGCUCCAAACCUUUUCACACCAUGAACAAAAAUCCAAGACGAAAAGCUUCAUCUGCAGUCGUGAAAGGAAAAAAAAAAAGACAUCUAUAAAGCCUCUUUGACAAAUUUCUUUGUAUAUAAAUUCUAAGAGAAACACACAUAUUUUACCUUUUGUUUGGGGAAGAUUCUUACUCCAUUCCCUUUGUGUUGGAGACUGCAGUUAAGGGAUGUAGAGAAGAUGAUGGGGAAGAUGGUAUGGAGGAUAGGCAGGGGUUGAAGAAGGGGCUGUGGGUAGCAGAGGUCUCUUUGAUUAGUGGAUGGAAUGGAGGUAAGGAAUUCUAAUAUUUUGAAAUGAAGUUUCAUUGAAGGUGUUGUUUAUAGUUUUUGUUUCCAUAAUAUUUGUGCGGCAGCUAACGGACAUAAUUAUGAUAAUGAGAAAUCCCAAAUUAAGACUAAGUAAAGCUUUUCUUUUUAAUUAAUCAUAUACUUAAUUUUUGUCCUUCAAUUUCAUAUUCUAAUUGUAAUUUGUUUUAUUAUUGUUUUUUUUUGUCUUGUAUUUUGAUAAUGUUAUUUUUUAUAGAUAUUGAUGGGAAAAUUCUAUCGUUUUUCUAAGAAAUUUAUUAGAUUCUGGUAGGAAAUUGUCAAAGCAGGCUUCUAACUAAAAGUCAAUAGAGCUCUAAGACCUUUCACAUUAAGAAAUAGUUGGAUUCAUGUAGAAAAGGCAAACCUUCCCUCAACACCCAAUGUAAUAUUUUAUUAUUUUUCUAAUUUUAUUUAUUUUCCUCUCUAGGUCCAAUAUUUGUACAACUUCAUUCUUCUUUAAUUCCUUUUCUUUGUAAUAUUUAUUUUGAUAUUUUUACAACUUAAAUUUAUGGAAUGUCUUUACUUAAUAAUUUUUUUCUUUUAAUUUUUAUGAAAAAUAUCAUUUUUUUUUAUAGAUAUAUCAAUAAGUUGGUUUUACAAAUAUAUUAGGAUAUAUCAGGCAAUAUCGAUGGAUAUUCUAACACAAAAUAUCGAUAAAAUGGAAAUUAAUCAAAACUCAGAGAAAUAUUUAGAAUAAUUUUAAGAAAUGAAUAUAAAAAGUAAUAAUAAACAUUUCGACGUUGUUUUGUUAUAGAAAUCGAUAUAUGUAUGAUAUAAUCUAUAAUAUUCUCUCAUAAUAUUUAGAAUUUAAAAGUAAAUUUUAUAUAAAUAUAUCUAAUUUGGAUGUAUUUAAUGAUAUAAAAGAAAUUAUGAUAAAAUUAUUAGUACUUUUUAAAAAUAUCGAUAAUUUGAUUUAUAUAUAUACAAAAAAACAUAUAUUAAUUUUUGCAUAUAUAAUAUAAUUUAUAAUAUAUAUUAUAUUUAUAAUAUGAAUAUAUAAAAAAGAGAAUCUUAAUAUAAUAUACAUAAAUAAAUAUUGUAUAUAUAAGUCAUACAUGACAAGGCCUGCACAUGGAGCUCUUGGCCAUGGAUAUGGAGAGUUGGAACCUCUUGGUGUGUGCAUGCAAGGUUUUGAACCUACUGUGCUUGAAGAUUGGCAAUUGGAAAACCAUUCAAAUGGAUGUGCAAUAUAUAGAAAUAGAUGGCAGGAGAAAUUAAUGGCUUUUGACAUUUCCAUGAGGGGCCUUCUUUGAUACAAUGGAAUUAACUUGGCUAUGCAUAGUGAAGAAGACAGGCUCAACUGAUUCACCUUUCUUCAGAUAUGACCCCUUCAAUGAUGCUCACCAUCAUGACAUAGAGGGUAAUGGUAUGAUUUGUGCAUUUGUGGACUUUCUCCCCACAGAAUUUGCAAACAUGAGGCUUUUAGCUUGUUAAGUUAAUUGAUUCCUCCCAUGAAAGAGAACCCAGUUGUGAACUUGUUACAACUGGAGAAACCAACCUCAUUCUCUCUUGACAGUGAAACUUCUCAACCACACCACCUAACCCAGCCUUAGCUCAUUUCCUUCCACUUUCCAUAUGCAUGAAUUCCUUAUGGUGUGGCCACCUUCUUGGGCUUAAGAAGAGGAGUAGAAACUUCAUUUUUCAACCAGCUUGAUAUGAGUGGCCCUUUCAUUCACCACGUGGUGCAUUACUAGUCGUUCAACUAUAUCCAUGUAGGGCUACCUUUGGCAUGCAAUCCCAAAGGCCACCCGUUUUCAUCCUCUUAAUUCUUCAUCCUUGCUUUCAAACAUCAAUUUUCAAAAGUCCGAUUUUCAAAUAAUUUAAAUUUCACAACUUUUCAUUAUUCCUUAAAGUUUUAAAUCACCAAAAAUCCAAUUUUAAUAAACAUUCGUUGCCAUUUUCCCCCCGACAAGUAUCUUUCACAAAUUUCCUUGUUUUUUUAAACAGUUUUAUGAUUUUCUUGAUUUUUAAUAAACAUGAAUGAAUUUUUAUAAUUCCAAAGUAAUGGAAUUUAUGGAAUUAAUUCAUGCUAUAUUAAAUAAGGCAUUGGUGGGGCCCACCAUAUGAGACAUUCGUCAUUCGAUUAUUGAUUCUGAUUGCUAUAUUUGAUCGAAUAUUGAUUGAUUUUUGCCUUGAUCUGUGGUAUGCAUGCAAUUAUUCUGUACUUGUCCACUAACCUUGUUUCCAUGAUAGCACAUUAUUGAUUCAUUGCUCAAGUAUGCAUCCUAUCUUCUCUUAUUUGCUUGGUCACUUUCCAUUGCUAUUUUGGCCAUAAUACAUCUUUGAUCAUUGUUUGAUAUCCACGAUUAAUCGAUCAAUUGUCACACUUGUCUUUGCUUAUUUAGUAAAGACCCAUUUUUAAGGGCUUAGAAGGGUGCUACAACUUAUUAUCAUACCUUUCCGAUAUGUAACUUAACCCUCGGGCCCAACUUGAUUUUUCAUAGACCUGUUUUUCCUUUUUAAGAGUCACACUUAGAGUUUUUUUUUUUCUUAUUUUUUUCCCUUUAAAAAUAAAACAAAAAUAAGUGGCGACUUCGAAAACAAAUUUUCAAGUGUGGAAUGCAUGUGAGAAAUGUGGGGUCUACAAAAUAGCGACUCCAUUGGGGAUCACUAGAGGGUUAAGCUUGAACUUAGGUUGAGACAAAUGUGACGUUUGAUUGGUUGAUCAGUGGGUACCCUUCUCUCUUUGUGCUUUUGUAUGCUUGAGUGUUGAUAGCACAUUAAGAGCUUUGAUAUGAUUAUCCUUGAUGCAUGUUUGGCUAUUGUGUUCAUUUGAAGCAUUGACAUGCUGAUUAUAUUGAUUGAUCCUCUUGUUUGUCCUCACAUAUUGUAUUUUCUUGUUGUAUGAUUACUCUACUCACCAUGACUUGUAUAUUCUUAUUGUUGCUUAUCUCGUUCAUUAUGGUAUCUUGAUUUUUUUUUUCUGCUAUAUACUAUCUAGAUCACCUUUGAGCAUGCUAUUCAUUUUUAUUGGAUACUCAUCUCAUCUAUCAUGUUUCUAGCUUCGCUUGCACAUAGAUUUGGAUUAUAUAUACCUGUUUUGCAUGACUGCUUGGAGCAUGAUUGCUUUUCUUCUGUGUGAUGCAUGUGUUGCUUGUUUGUGUGAGGCACACACUUAUCCUCUUAUCUCCAAUUCCCUAGUUUUGGUUGAACUUGUUUCCCUGGAUCUCGUAUUUCAUAUGACACUUCUUAUCUUGUUUGCUCUUUGAUUGAGCUAGUGAUUUGGAGUAAGGUCUAGUGAUGGACUACAUAUAUCUAUGUUUGAGAGCAUUUUGGAGAUGACCAACACAUUGAUGCCAAUUGGAGUCCGACCUUUGAAGAAUUGUAUAAGAGCUAGAUUUUAGGAUAUUUGUGUAGCUAGUGUGUUUUCUUCUUAGUUGGAUAGGAUUUUUGGAUGCAACCACACCAUUCACUGUGCCCUUUAUAUCACCAUUGAGCGCUAAGAGAUGCAAGAACCUUCAUAAUUAGGAAACCUCCUGGGAUGGGAGGUAAUGCAUGUGUGGAGGUGAUGACCACCUUGCAUCGAAGCACCCCAUCUCUUUGAAGGCGUGCAGAGGGUUGCAUACUGCAGGAGUGUAUGAUUGCUUCUGCUAGGAACCCUUUAAAGCCUACCUUUCUCUUUUUAGAGCCACCUUCACCUUAUAGGAUGAGCUUAGAUCAUUUUAUUAGGAUUCCUUAUUGACACAUGGGUGCAUUUGAGAGCCUUCAGGGCGCGUUUUAGUUACCACCUAGACCCAGUGCUUUCUUAUUUUGUUUCUAAUUGAGAGUGCUUAGAGAUUAGUACGAGUUUGAGUAUCUGUUGGAUUACCUUUUGCCUUGUUGCAUUAGAUUCUUUCUCCUAUUUGAUGAGUUUAGCUUGCUUUCUCCCUAAGGCUUUCCUCUCUCUUUCUUGGUUUGGUACAUCCUUUCACUUUGCUAUCACUUGCUUAAUGCUUUGGGAUAUGUUCGUUGAUCAUGAUCACCUUUUUACACCGUACACCUAUCAUGGGCCUAGUACCCCAUUCUUUGUUCAAUUCUUGAUUCAACUUUCAACUCGAUGUUCACAUUUUCAUUAUGGAAAGGUGAAAGGCAUGUUUUCACAUUCAUAUUUUUUUAAGGGAUUUGCCUUGAUCACCUUAUUAUUUUUCUUCGUGGAGCUUGGAUUGAAAGUUGAGUCAAGGAUACAUAGUUACAGAUGGAGUAUCAAUCUCAUGCUAGUGUGUUUUUCACACUUUUUUAUUUUUAUUUUAUUUUUUUAUCUUGGAUUAUUGAUAUGAAUUCUCUAGUCACAUUUGUAGCCAUCUCAUAGUGGAUACCUUUUUUUACUCCAAAGUUCUCGUCAUACAUCCAAAUUUUAGAUUGCCAUCACUAAACCAUGUAUACCAGGCAUGUGUCAUACUUUUGACUAUAAGAAAUCUUUCACUUAUAUAUCAUGAUCACUUAGACCUAACCCAUCAUGGAGGAUUUUGAGCUUGUUGACCUAGGACCAGGAGAUUGGCCUAAAGAGUUCAAGACUAUGACCUAUCCCACUUCCUAAUUAGAGCAGUACCAUAUCCACAUCUAUACCUUGACCUUUUGGACUUCAUGACCUAUCCAUGAUGAGUUUUGUAUAGUAUUCUUCCUUUGAUACCAUUGCAUGACCCUUUCUUCCCCAAGUAUCCUAACCUAGUACAUUCCUUCGUUGAUUCAACCAAGUAUGGUUUGAGAUGAUUAGACUUAUGGUGGGCUUUGCAUUAUGAUGAGGGAGUUAUGGCGAGAGAUCGAUUUGAUUGCUUUAUAAGUUUGUUGACCAUUCUGCGGUUGAGAUGAGUAGAGAUACCAUUACAAAGCAUCCAGAUCUUAGCCAUUGCAAAUGAUUUCAAAGAGUUGGGAUGACUAGAGAUGAUGAUUUUAUGAGAUGAUGAGUGUUUUGUGAUGAAACAUGGGUUGGUCGCUUGAUGAGAUUGUUGACUAUCCUAUGUUUGAGAUGGACAAAAAGGUUGCACAAAGCAUUUGGAGUCAAUUUUCACAUGAUUAUAAAGGGGUUGGCAUGGCUGUGUUGGAUGGAUAUUGAUAUUUAGUGUUGACCAUGUGAGAUCAUGAGGGCAAGAUGUUUGAGGUUUUGGUCAAAGGAUGGGCCAUCGUUUCAUGAUCCUAUUUACUUGAUCACCCUUAUAUAUGGAGUUACCCGUUGCAAGCCCUUUGAGUCUCACACAAAUAUUAUAACAUUUUUUGUCUCAUCACCUGAUUUACCUUUUGCGUCGGGUUAGGGGCCCUAUAGUGCUUCCAUGCUUUGAUUAGAUAUCUCAUGAGUUCUAGACUUGAUAGACAUAUUUAGUCUUCAUCUAUCACUCUUCAUUGUGAUAUUUUCCACUUUGACAUCGUCUCAUCACUUUUUUCGAUAUCACAUAUCACCACUUGUGAUGUACAUCAUCUUUCUUUUCCCUUAUCAUUGCUUAUUUUGACAUUCUCUUUGCUUAACCUAGAGUGUUGGUUUUCCACACACCAUUGCAUGGAAGACGGUCACAUCCUUCCCCUAGUUCACCUCAUGGGCAGUGGUUUAGAGAUCUUAGUUUGAGAGGUUGUCUUGUUAGUAAGGAUUCAUGUUACAUUAGUAUGUGGGGAGAGUUUGAUCAUUUGUGGUAUGCGUUUUCAUUGAAGAUUGCCCAUUAUUGAUUAGAGUAUGCAAAAAAAAAAAAAAAAAAAAAAAAUAGAGUGCAUUGUUCAUUGUACCAUUCUCCAUUGAGCACAUGUAUAGACGUGUCGGUUUACUUCAUUAGGUUCAUAUGUCAGUGAGAGUUCAUAUGUGAGCUCUUAGAGAUUUUCCUUUUACUCAAUCCUAUCUUUGCAUGUAUUUCUAGGUGAGAGUAUGAGUCGCUUAUUCGAUUUUUUUGAGAGAGUUGAGCAACCUUUCUUUAGGAUCUCUGGAUCUUUGCCCUAUUCAUCACUACAUCCAUUAUUUUAUGUGACUUGUCUCCAUGCUUUGAUGUGGAUUGAUCGGUACUCAUAUAUAUAUAUAUAUAUAUAUAUAUAUUUUCUGAUUGAUUUCAUUUUGUUACUCUCUUUGACUCUGUUAUAUUUGCUUAUUCUUUCUUUUCUUAUCUCGCUUGAUGUUGGAUUUGGAUUUAACAUUCACAUACUUUUGUUCAUCUUGUGGAUAUUGAUGUUCAUUCCUUUAUCAUGUGAGAGCCUCUAGGUCCAUCACUCAUGAGGUUUUCUAUGCAUUACAUCUUAUGCAUAAGGGAUAUGGGGAUUGUAUCAUUAGGAUUAUUUGAGCCUAGUUUCCUCUCGUUUCUUUCACCCUAUUACCUUAGCCUACGUUAUGUCUCAUGUCUUAAGACCACCUUGAGAUUAUGACUUCACACAUUGUGUUUGAUUGCUCACACAUGGAUGAUUCUUGAGUUUGGUUGGAGAUUUUUGCUUGGAGCAUGAUGGAUGAGGAGCUAUGAUAUGAUUUACAUUAGAGCAUACCCUUCUUAUCAGUGGUGGAUAUUUGGGAUGAUGUGAUCUACACUAGGGCAUACCCCACUCAUCGGUGAUAAAUUUUUUGAGAUGAUGCCUUACAUUGGGGCAUAGCCAAUUUGCAUCUUCACUUGGAUUAUGACAGAUUAGUAGUUAUGGCAUGACCCUACAUUGGGGCAUAACCAUUUCAGAGAGCACUUUUAUUAAAGAUAUACUCAUUCUACUUGAUAUUCUACAUUGGAAUACAUUUCUCUCAUCAAUGGUUGAUUUUUGAGAUGACGGUUUAUUUUGAGACAGUUGCUUGAGAGAUUGUGCAUGGUAGACAUAACCACCUUAUUUCCUUCUUGUGGAGCAUGGGGUGAUUAGGGUCUGUUGAAAUUAUAUUGGUGUAUUCAUUUUCAGCAUUGAAGGAUGAGUUUAACUUUGUUCUGAUGACCCAUACUGAGACAUAACCCUCUCAUUGGCGAUGUAGUUUGAUUUGUCUUAAAGCAUAGCCACUUCAAAUAGUUUAUAUCGAGGCCGACUACUUCAUUCAUUCUCAUGGAGUAUGUGGAUCGGAAGUCUUUGGAUCAUGUUAAGAUGUUUUCAUUUUCAGCAGUGGGAGUUGAGAUUAAUUGAUUUGUUAACAAACACUAGAACAUGGUUUCUCUUAGUAGUUGUUGAUUUGGAUACACUACUUUAUACUAGGGCAUAGCCGUGAUGGAGAGUAUUUUUCAUUAAAGCAUAGCCACCCUAUUGAAUCCUUUACAUUAGGACAUAUCCAUCUUUUGGAGCGAGAUUAGAUUGAUUCUUUAUGUUAGAGCAUCUAGAAAGUGAUAUGGAGAUAUUUGGAUUGUUCCAUGUUGUCCUCAUUGUAUAUAGGGGCAUAGCCAUAUUAGAGGACAUCAUUUUAUAUUGGGGCAUAGCCACUUUGCUGUUCGACAUUGAGAUUUGACUUUCUGUUUAUGAUUACUACUUUCGAUGGAUUAUGGAGCUAUUGACACCUUAGGUUUUUUUCUUUUCGGCAUACUUGGAUGAACUCGGAACCUACCUACCUUUCAUUUCAUACUCAGAUAUUUCACCCUUGAUACUUUCAUGUUUUACUGUCUUACUAGAGCCUAAUCAUUACCUUCUUUUGGCUCACACAUUUCACCAUGACAUAUGACCUCACACCUUACUCUCUAGAUUAGAGGAGGAUGUAGAAUAGUCCUUGACUUCUCUAGUUGAGCUCUCAUACAUAUUUUGGACUUUAAGUUCAACAUCUUACAUGAUGGUAGGACCUGACAGAUUACCGAUUUAUUAGUGAUGAUGUUUUCAUUUCUGACAGUUGACAUGUUGAGUUUUGAUUUACUUACACUAUACAUGUUAAGUAUUAGCCACCAUUAUUUUUGUCCACCAAUCAGUUUCAUUUUUUUGGUGUGGUAUCAUCAUGCAUGACCCCAUUUGGCAUUCGCAUUUGAGGUUAGACAUCUUCAUUACAUGGUUGAUGAGCAUAUUCUAGAGUACAGUAGUUUUAUGGCAUUCAUAUCUUAGUUUGUUCACUAUCACAUGCUUGGGCAUACCCCCUUCUUUGAGAUCAUCAAACUUUUCACAAGCUUCAUUGCUUUUUGAUCUAGUUGUUAACCUUGUAAGUUGCAUACUGGGAACCUUUCAUAAGCUUCAUUACCUUUUGACUUAGUUGUUGACCCUGCGAGCUGCAUACUAGGGCAUACCCCUUUCUUUGAGAUUAUCAAACCUUUAGUAGAUUGCAUUGCCUUUUGACCUGGUUGUCAAUCCUUAUGAGUUGUCAUACUGAGGCAUAUCCCCUUAUGUCGAGUUUGUUUGCAUCGUUAUCUCAAUUAUGCUUUGCUUUUAAGCCACCUGAUUAGAUCAUUAUCAUAUCAGUAUUGUUUUGCUUUGGUGUAGACCACACCCAUAUUGAUCAACCAUCUUCUUAUUAGUCUAUGGCAGUUUAUGUUGGGACUGCACCUAUAUCGAUCAAUCAUUAUCUUGCUAGUUUGAGUUUUUAGAACUGUACCUACAUUGAUCAGUCAUUCUAUGCUAGUUUGAGUUGAGAUUACACCUAUAUUGAUCAGUCAUUGUCUUAUCAGUUUUAGUUUGACUUUUUGGGUUGCACUUAUAUCGAUUGAUCAUCUUCCUAUCAGUUUGAGUUUUUGAGACCGCACUUAUAUCAAUCAGUCAUUAUAUUGUCAGUUUGAGUUUUCAAGACCACACCUAUAUUGAUCAAUCAUUGUCUUGUCAAAUUGAAUUUGAGUUUUUGGGUUGCACCUAUAUUGAUCAACCAUCUUCUUAUCAAUUUGAGUUUAGUUUGAGUUUUUGGGACCAUACAUAUAUUGAUCGCUCAUUAUCUUGUCAGUUUGAGUUUUCAAGACCACACCUAUAUCGAUUAGUCAUUGCUAUGUCAGUUUGAGUUCAAUUUGAGUUUUUGGGACCUUACCUAUAUCGAUCGAUCAUUUUCUUAUCCAUUUGAAUUUUUAGGACUGCACUUAUAUUGAUCAGUCAUUUCUAUGUCAGUUUGAGUUAGGACUAUACUUAUAUCAAUUGGUCAUUUUCUUGUCAAUUUGAGUUUGAGUUUGAGUUUUGGGGCAGCACCUAUAUCGAUUGACCAUUUUCCGAUCAGUUUAAGUUCAGUUUGAGUUUUAGGUACAUCACCUAUAUCAAUUGGUCAUUUCUAUGUCAGUUGAGUUUGAGUUGGGAUCACACCUGUAUCGAUCAGUCAGCUUAGUUUUGAGUCUUGUUCGACUUUGAGCUGCGCCUAUCCUUUCAAGUUUCUUCGGCUUUGAAUCGCGCCUUAGUUUUGAGUCUGGUCAUCCUUAAGUAACACUUUCUUCUUCCUUUGAGUUCUUUUUUUGUUUGUUGAUCACUUCUUAUCUUGGUCAUCCUUGUGUUGUUCAUUGUAUCACAAUCUGGUGCUAUUCAUUGCAUAUGCACUCCUCACAUUAUCUGUAUCUUUAUGCUGAGCUUGUUCCCCCUUAUCUGACCUCGAUCUUGAGCUUAUUGUGUUGUGUCAGGAUCAAAAUUUGAGAUCUUUUCUAUUUUUUGGUACAGUUCACUUUGUUCCAUUCAUCUCUCACGUAUUCGUAAUCCAUUCAUUACACUUAUAAUCUUUAUCGAAGAGGAACAUAUUUAUAGACUCCUGAUUUUGGAUCUUGGGAGAGGCUUUUUUUUUUUAAAACACUUUUUUUUUACCACUUUCUAAAGGCUUCCAAAAGCCAACUGGAGAGUGUGAGCUGUCAAGAAAGUGAGUGGAGUAGUGGUGGUUUUCUUGGAGCCGCAGUUUGGCUAGGACAGGGGGAUAUUCUAUAGUAUGGUGACACGUAGCAGAGGUGCAGGAGGUUGCUUUUUGGUAGCUGUUUUUAGAGAGGCUUGGAGGAGCAACGAGAGUGAGGUGGGUUUUUUGGGAAAGAGAGCGAAGGAUGUUUUGGAGAGGGGAAGGAGUACAGAAGAAAACGAGCAGAGUGUAGAGGAGUAUUCGAGGGGACUGUCUCAGGUAGCAGAGACUGUUGGUUUGAGAUUGUGAGAGAUGGUGAGCUGAGCUUAGACAAAGAGAGCUGAGAAAAAGCUGUGAAAUAGAGGAAAAACUAAGAAGAAAGGUAGGGAGCUGUAGAGGGAGGUGGGCUGGGUGAAAUACGUUUGAGGAGAGGAAUACUAAGUAAGAGGGAGUUAGAGCAAAGGAGAAGAAGCUGAGAGAGAUCUUGCUGAUUCGUGGGAAGGAAAGUAGAGCUUGAAGCCAAGCAACUCUUUGCUUGAGGAAAGCUUUCCAGGUAUGCCUACUCUGAGCUUCUUGUCUCUCAUUUUCACGCUAUUUUUCUCUUAUUUUCUGCUGUUUUUCUGGACUUCUUCUUAUUGAUUGGUGUAGACAUGAAGAGUUAUUUGAUUGUUUUUGGCUGAAUUUGAUCCUUUGUAUACAUGCUCUGUUUUGGGUUUUCUUUGCUUUCCCCUGUACAAGACUAAUGCAUGGAUUUAUUUCUGAACUUGAUAUCAUGGCUCUUGUUCCCCGAUAAUUCCACCUGUUUUUAACCCAUGGAUGCUACCUGAAAUGAGGCUCUAUACGUUCAUGUUUUGCUUGAUUUCUUAUUUGCUCUUCCCUCAGUAUUUACUCUGGCUCCUAUCCUCGCUUUUUAUUCCUCUGUUUCUGGUAAGUUGGGGUGCUGGGCAUCUAAGCUUGGGUUGUCCAUCUUGAUUGGGAUUUUUUCUGGGAGAGCCUCUUGAGGGCAAAUUCUAUACAAAUGGGUAUUUCUGGAUACCUGUGAGCCAUGUGGUCCACAUUGAAAUGCCUAAGGAUGCAAUGGAGGGAUACAGAUGAGGAUAAGUAAAUCUCUACUUGAUGCUCUGGACACGGGUAAGGCAAUCAUGUAGAAUGGGGUACUGUCGUCUAUGAAUCUUUCACUGUGGGCAUGGGUGGAAUUCCUCAUGCACUAGGGUUACAGUGCUUGCAAGUUUGUGAUAGCAAGGUGGAUAAGGGUGUUUGCAGUUAUGCAGGGAAGUUGGAUGAGGAUCUAUCAUGCAUUCAUUCUUGUUAGAGAACUCUUGAAAGAUGGGAAUUGGAAAAAUGGAAAGUUUCAUGGGGAGUGGAUUUUUGUGUCUUGGAAGAUUAUGAUAGAUAGGUAUUUCAGAAAUGGAUGUAUCAAGGAGGCAUUAACAGUUUUUGGUUUAAUGGUGAAAAUGAUGAUAGUGAUUAUUGAAAAUCUGGGGUUCUUACCCCAAGGAACCCCAGAGAAGACAAAGACCCUACUUCUGCAGAGCUUGAGCAUAAUUUUCUUGACACCAACCUUAAUCCAGCAGUUUAGAAGCGGGUUCUCCAAAUAACAACUUAGGUUUGAGCUGAAUCAAUUGAAAGAGGAAUCAAUUAUGGUUGAAUGGUGGGGAUUAUAAUUUAAAAGAAGACCUCUCAGAAACACAAGCAUGCUUACCCAAAGUUUUAUUUAGUUCCAAUGGUGAAGAUCUCAUUCUGAAGGCUAACACUCAGCUUACGAGUGAGCCACAUAUGUCGCAUGACAAUCAGAGCACAGGGUUUUCAAAUUCCAAUGCAUUCUUUCGGGUUCGGGACGGAUAAUGGGCUUUCAGAAAUUACAAGGAAAAGACAAUAUUUUAUGGACGCUCUGCCUGUUUUGCUUGGCCUAGAUCCCUCUAUUUUCGUAUUGCCGAGGGGUCUUCCUCACACACCCAUCCGAAUGGUUUUCCAAUUGCCAAUCUUUAACCAUAGUAGGUUCAAAACCUUGCAUGCAUUCACCAAGAGGUUCCGGGUCUCCAUAUCCAUGGCCAAGAGCUCCAUGUGCAGGCCCUGUCAGUAGUGAAGUUCUGAUGAUUAUGAGUCAAGUAACCCUUGCUUAGAAUCAGUCACAUGGAAGUCAUACUCUCAUGAGUGCACAUCAACAAACAAGCAUGAUCACAACUGAUUGAAGGGAGAAUCAAUCGAAAUUUUUGUCUUAACAGAUGCUUAGUUUUUGAGGAAAGGCUAAAGGUGUCAAAAGAUGAACUAUUGAUUUCUGGAAGAAAGGGUCAUUCCGGUGGUGAUAGUGAAUCCCCUGAUAGCCAGAUGGAUGUGCAACAUACAGAAAUAGAUGGCAGGAGAAAUUAAUGGCUUUUGACAAUUCCAUGAGGGUCUUUCUUUGAUACAAUGGAAUUAACCUGGCUAUGCAUAGUGAAGAAGAAAGGCUCAACUGAUUCAAAUAGACUUAUAACAAAUAGACUAAUUAGAGUAUUAUUUUUUGAAGCUUUAUCACACAGCUUUCUAUAUAACAAAAAAGGAAGUAUUUUGAAAACUUGCUACAAAGCCUCCAUCCUCAUAAUUCGAUUCGGAAGGUUUAUUGAAUUAAACUCUCCCUAAAGCGUUUCGAGUGUGCCCACAAUUUCUGACGAUCAGGAAGAUUUUCUUUGAUCACUGGAACCUGCUUAAAAUUCUGAAUCCAUGCUUGCAAUCGAGGGAACGUGGUGGAAUUCAGCAAUUUUGUGCCUACGGCUUCUUCUAUGCCCUCAAACCAGUAAGCCAGCCAACCAAAUGCUAUGUCCACCAGUCCUAUAGCUUCCCCUCCGAAAAACUUCUUAUCCCCAAGGCUUUGCUCUUCUAUGAUUUUCAGUAUUUCCACUGUUUCUUUUAUGGCCUUCUCUUGCUCUUCCCCAGCAGCAGAUUUAAAGAAUUGAAAAAAAGUGGCAUUCUAGAAGAAAUUAAGCAACAAGUAUAUAUAUUUAGAAUGAACUGUUGAAAAACAACAGUAAGGUGAUCUCAAAUAUCAAUAAAAAUUGAAGUUAAUUAUUAAAUUAAUUAAAAGAGGAAAAAAAAAGAUUUAAAAAGCCUACAAAUUCUUUUCAUUUUAAUCAUAGGUAUUAAUCGAAGAUUUCAAUUUAAUUCAUCUUUCCCCUCCUAAUUCCUUACUGCAAGACCUAGACAGGGUUAGAGAAAUUUGAUAGAGUUAAAGAAUGCUUAAAAGUAUCAUGGCUUAUUUUGUCUGAUCACUUAAAUAAAAUUCUACAUAUAGCUUAGGAAUUUAUUAGUGAAUACUUUCACAAAUGACUGAAAACAAGAAAUGGGUUAUGAAAGCUAGAUGGAGAGCUUUCAAAUAUUUCAGGUCUGUAAAAGAUUCGGAAAUUAAAUCAUAGGAAUUGAUAAUGAAAGCAAGAUUAGUGAGUUAAACCUACCUUUGAUUCUCCAAAAUUGAUCCAAAACCGAGCCAUGGCUCUCUCAUAAGCAUCUGUCGGCAGCAGUGGAUUCUCCGGCCAUGUUUCUUCAAUGUAUUCGAGGAUUACAAGGGACUCGGCUACUGCUCUGUCACCAUGAAGAAGCACCGGAACCUUCUUGUGAACUGGAUUGUGGUGUAACAACAACUGGCUCUUGCUACGAAGGUCUUCCUCAAUAUACUCAUAGUUUAUGCCCUUGAGUUUUAGGGUCCAUAUCACCCUGUAAGCAAAAGAGCUUGCCCAAAACCCUAAUAGCUUCACUCCUGCCAUUGUUUUCUAUUAUGCCAGCUCAAUUUGCUUGGGGAUGAGUUUCAAAUCUUUAAACUUGGAGGAAGAUGUGAUCCUUUCUCUUCAACCAAGGAUUUCAGCCUGUGUAAGGAGGAUUAUUCAUUUAAUUAGAUCUGUAAUAAUAUUUAUGUAUGAAGGGGUAUUUUCAAAUUAAGAAUCUUCACAAUGCCCUUAGCUAAGACUAUAUUAAUUGUUAUUAUUUUCUAUUAACAUGAAAAAGAAAAAAGAUAUAUUGACUAGUGACUCUUAAAGGUCAAUGAGUUAGGUAGAUUUUUAUUUCUGCCACUAAUAUAACAUUGCAGGUAGGUCCAUUCCUGGUUAUAAAUAUCCAAUUAGAAGAAGCUCUACCUUUUUCAUGGAAACGACAAAAAGGAAGAUUGAAAAAUCAAAGAAGUAACAUCAAGUGUUUAUAAAGCAUCAAUCAUUUCACUUGGACAAGAUGUUAAUUGCCAGAGUCGGUCAAUAGAAGAUAAGAUCUAGGAUGAAGACCCCGAAUAAGAAAGAAAAGGUGUGAGAAAAUUUAUGUAACAAUUAUUUCGAAUUCUAAAGCAAGUUUAGCAAUGAAAUAACUCCCUUAUAACCAUCAAUAUAUAUAUAUAUCAAUCGGGUGGUACAUUAGGUCAGAGUACUCACCAGCUCACAUCACCCAAGUCAAUGAAAUCCAAUACCUCAAUCUUAGUUCAACUAAAUAUACCUUCAUGAUUGGCUUAAGUAUGGGUAGCAUAUUGUUAUGAACUUUAAUGUAUAUUCCUUUAUUAUCUCCUAAAGGUUAGGAUUAGAUAAUUAUUUUAAUCUCCUCUCAUUUAUUUCCUUCGUAUAUAUGUAACUACUCUUCAAAUGAAUAAGAUGAGCCAUUAUUCCAUACUUUGUUAUAUGGCAUUAGAGCUCUUUCUACUCUUAUUGAGUUUCUUAAUUUGCCAUGGCUAACAUUUCUAUCACUAAUACUUCAAACUCAUCUAAUUUAGAUUUGUUAGCUUUUGUACCCAAUGUUUCAACUUCCAUUAUUAGCUCCUCAACUAGUUUCAUUUCCAUCAAUGUCAAUGCCAAACUUCUUUAAAAUUAACUUUUCAUAAUUAUUCUUCAUGGCAUGUCUAAUUUUAUGCAAUUCUCUUUUGCUAUAACCUUUUCGGAUAUGUAGAUGACUCUCUAUUGUGUCUUCCUAUUUUUGAGGCUUCUUCUCAUUCUUUUAGGCCAUGCCAAGAUCAACUCAUUUUUCAUGCAUUUUUGCCCCACUUUCAAAAUCUAUCAUGCCGCUCAUAAUUGCCUCAACCAAAACUUCAUGAAGCAUAGUUAAAAUUUACCAAACUUUAUGUUGGUCACUCUUAAAGUCACAUCCUUCAAUCCAAAGGAAAAAUUUCCUCAAGCACCCCUAGAGAAAAAAUUUUCUUAGAGUUUUUACAAAUAUUCAAAAGCCUUUGCGAUCAACUCACCCUUUGUCAUUCAACUUUGGAUGAAGAAGAUUUGUUUGUACACUCUCCGAAUGGAAUGGGAAAAAGAAUAAAAGGAAGUUGUUGUUGCCAUUCAAUCUAAAGAAAUUCCCAUUUCAUUGGAAGAACUUUAUCAUCAACUCAUAGAUCAUGAAGAGUUUAUGCAACAAGACUCUCUUAGCUCUGAAUUUGUUCCUAUGUCUACAAACCUAACUUGCUAUCAUAAACAAUCUCAUAUGUACUAGAAACUUCUAUUCUCCUUUGUUUUGCCUUAUUGAAAAACCUAGUUCAUAUCCGAAUUAUCUCACCAAUCAACCAUCAAAAUGAAAGCAAUCCAACCUAAAUCCUAAUGUCUGCCAAUAUUGUGAAAACUGAGUUUAGAUUGCCAAGAAUUGUUUGAAGCUCUUCCCUAAUCAACAUCUUUUCCAUGCCAGUACCAACUAUAGUAUCCCAUACCUCAUGAAUACCUUUCCUUAACUUAUUGAUUCAAGCACUUCGCACCAUGUUAUUAUUGAUUUAAGUAAUUUGGCCUUGCAUUUUGAACGUGAGAGUUAUGAUGAUACAGUCCUUAGUGAUGGUGAAGAUCUCGAUGACACACACUGUUAUGCUAAUUUCUCAAUUCUUUAUUUUACCAAAACCUUCCCUUUACAAAUGAUCUUUGUAUCACAUCAAUGCAAUUGUUUCUAAAUUUUGUUUAUCUCAAAAUUCUUCCAUUGAAAAUUUUUCCUUCAUAUUUUUACGUUAAGUAUCUUCAAAUGAUAGCACUACUAUUGCAAGGGUUAGGAUAAAGAUGGUGUUUACGAAUGCCACAACUUACAUAUGCUCUUAGAAAUUGCAUUCAUGCUCUUGGCACACUCAAGGAACCUUAGGUUUUCCAUUAAUAAUUGGGUCAUCUAUAGAAGCUCUUUAGAAGAUGACAAGAAAAAUUGAAACCCUAACCCCUAAUAGGGGUAUUUAUAGGGCUCCUUAUGAGCUGAAGUGAUUUCAGCUUAAAAUGGGCUUAGGUCCUAAUUAAUUAAUUAACUUUAAUGGGAUCUAAUUAAUUAAUUAGUCCUUACCAGAAAGAUAAUUCAUAAGAUCUAGUGCAACCUUACAUUUUGAUUAAAACACCCUUAUACACACUUAUGAAUCAAAACUCAAAUCCCUUAAAAUAAACGUGUACCUUUAUAAAAUAGAAACUCAAGCGUGGACCAUUGGGACCCAUAGGAAAAUAUUAGUUCCUUUAUAAUUUAAUUCUAAAGUUGAUUCAAUACUCCACUAAAGAUCAUCAAUUGCACUCUAAUAUUAUAAUAGCAUAGCUCAGGUUCAUGCCUUACCAUCCAUAGCAUGCAGACUCCUUAUGACUUGGUGUCUAUAAUCUAACAUGGUAUUGCUAUCAUCUUUAAGAUUACCUCUCCAAUCCUUCUGUUAUAGAUCCCACUUAUUAUGUGAUCAAUUAACAUACUUUAACUCCAAGGAACAUAUGUCAAAUUUCUACUGAAGGAAAUGAUCUGACCAUAGGCUUCUAAAUCACAUGUUCUUUGGAUCACUUAAGAAGAGACACUAUCUCAAUUUAAUGAGAAAUUGUGGUGCCUCUAUUGAGAAUAUCUAUUGCCAUUAGGCUUCAUCAAUAGUAACCCAAUUCAUAGGGACAUAUGGUCACUUUAAGAUCUCACCCAUAAGUCAACGUCUCCUAUUGAUUUUGGCACAGACUUAACACCUUCUCAAGGUUGAGAGUCCAUGUAGUAUAAUAGCUUAGUGAAUUGUGAUAACCGAUAGCCUUAUGUCAUGAUUCACUAUAGGUCAUGUCCAAUGUGCAUCACAUACACUAUUGCACUCACUAUGAGAAAAUCAUCCCAAUGACCAAGAUAAGUCAUUCCUUUAAUUACGAGAUAGUGCAUUACAGUCUCAAAUGAAUUGCCUAAAUCUAUGAACCAACUGUGAAUUACUCAUCACUCUACAAGGUACCCAUGACUUGGAUCUUCAAUGCAGUUCCUAAUGCGCCCAAGUCAUGUGCAAUGCAAGUAAUGUGGGUAUGUAUGUUUAGAUAACCAAUUAAUGCUCAUGUAACUAAAAAACAUAGAUAAAUAAUUUUAUAAAUGAAUCUCAAUUUGUUAGAUCAUUUCAUUUUUUCUAAGGCUUAAUCCUAGCAAUAUAUUCCUUAUGAAUUUGGUCACUAAUGAUGGAGGUUAGUUGUAAUAGAUAUCUUCAAUAAAGACACCAUGAUAUCUCAUGGUAUUGAGACAAUGGGUCUUCUUAAAACUAAAGUUGCAGUAAUUUCUUAAGUGGAAUUUGACAUAUAUUCUUUAUGAGUUAAAGUAUGUUAAUUGAUCACAUAAUAGGGGGAUCUGUAACUCAAGAAUUGAAAAGGUAAUCUUGAGAGGUUGAUAGCACAUAUCUCCUUGAUUACAAAUACCAAUUCACACAGUCUAUGUGCAAUGGGUAGUAGGUUAAAGACCCAAGCUUUAUCUCAUUAUAAUAUCAUUGGAUACUAGAGUGUAGUUAGCUCUCUUUAGUAGAGUGUUUAGUAAUUUCAUAAUUAGAUUAUGAGGGAACCAAUAUUUUCUUAUGGGUCCCAAUGGUUCCUGUUUCAGCUCUUGAUUCAUGUUGGCAUGUUUGAUUGAGAGAAUUAUGGGUUUUUAAUUCCUAAGUGUGCAUAGGGGCAUUUUGAUAAAAAUAUAAGGUUGCACUAGAUCUUAUGAAUGAUCUUUCUAGAUUUGGCUAAUUAAUUAAUUGAAGUCUAAUUGAGUGAAUUAAUUAAUUAGGACUACAAUGGACUAGAUUAAGUGACCUAAGCCUAAUUUGGGGUAAAGUCACUUAAGCCCACAUGGAACCCUAUAUAAAUCCCCUUAAAGGUUUAGGAUUUCAUUUUUUGCAUCCUCGUCUUUCAAACUUUGGAAAAGAAAUACCUUGCCUCCUUUUAGAUAAGUCCAUCGUUAUCUUGUGCCAUAGAUAUGUGAAAUGAGUGAUAAAGUAGAAGAUCUUUAGAUCUACAAGAUCUACGAUGCCAACCUAGAUCUAUCCAUUAAGACUUAAUGAUCCACCACUAAACAUGAUUUAACUAAAAGCGAAUGAUGCAUACCUAACUUUUUCUUUAGGAAUUCAAGGCUCUCCUUUUUCUAGUGGCUUUUCUUUUCAGAAAGGAAACACUUGCCCUUCCCAUUGCUCUUCUUACUCAUUUUCUUAAACUUUUGCUUUUGUUUGAUGUUCUUUGAAUUGUUCUUCUUCUUCUUCUUCUUUUUAGAAGAACCUGAAAAACCCUUGAUUAUCAUAUGACUACCUUCUUAGUCGUUGAGAAUCCCCUCAGUCAUCCGAGUUCCCUUAUAAUUUUAGGUAAGCUCAUCACCAAUUUAUGCAUAGUAUAGUUGAACUUGAACUACCUGAAGGAAUCCAACAAGGUUCGAUCUAAAACUCAAACAUCAUCUUUAUGUUUCUGAGUUUAGAAAGAAUUUGAUUCCAGUUUCUAGUUACGUAAAUCGAAUUGUUCAAUGUUUUUUAAUAAACAAGUUAUUAUUAAAAUGAAUAAUUCAAUUAUAUGCUCAAGACCAUUGAUUAAUAAUCUUUAUCCUAUGACUGCAUUAUCAUUAUUGUUAAGUAAUGAGAAUAAUCAUAUCUCACUUAAAAGAAAGCAACCCAUCACUAAUCAAAAACACUUUUGACACUUAAACUUAGGUUAUACUAAUCUAAAUAGGAUCCAAAGGCUACUUAAAGUCUAGAAUAUUGCACUCUUUCAUUCCAAAGGAUCUUUUAGUCUGAAAAUCCUAUAUGGAAGGUAAAAUAACUAAGAAGCCAUUUACUACUAUAGGAUACAAAGUCAAAGAAUGUUUGGAGUUAAUGUAUAUUGAUAUGUGUGGACUUUUGAAUGUCGAUGCAUGGUGAGGGUAUGAGUACUUCAUCACCUUUACAAAUGAUUACUCUAUAUAUUUACCUAAUGCAUAGAAAAUCCAAUGCCUUAGAUAAAAUUCAUUAGAUUUAAGGUGGAAUAAAAAAACCAAUUAGGUAAACAUAUCAAGGCACUUCAGUCUAAUUGCGACGGUGAGUAUACAUCACCUGGUUCAAUUAUUUCCAUAAGGAGCAUGAGAUUAUAUCUUAAUUGAGUGCAACUAAAACUCCAUAGUAGAAUGGAGUAGUGGAAAUAAGAAAUCAAACUUUGAUGGACAUAGUGAGAUUUGUGAUGAGUUUUUCAUCACUUCUUGUAUCCUUGUGGGGAUAUGCCUUAUUUUCCUAUGGGUACUAGCCCAUUCAAGCUCCUGAUUCAUUGUGGCAUGUUUGUUUAAGGGAAUUAUGAGUUUGUAAUUCAUAAGUGUGCAAUGACAUUUUGGUAAAAACACAAGGUUGUUUUGGAUCUUACGAACGGUCUUUUUGGAUUUGCCUAGUUAAUUAAUUGGAGCAUGGUAGGUCUAAUUAAUUAAUUAAGAUCCAAAUGAGCUAUAUUAAGUGGCUUAAGCCCAAUUUAGACUCAAGUUACUUAAGUCUACAAGGAAGCCUAGCAUCCUUAGACUCAAUAGGGCUUUAGUUUUUACAUCAUUGUUUUCUAGUUUCUAGAAAAGAAACUCCUAGCAUCCCUUUAGAUAACCCACCCUUAUCUUGUGGUAGAGAUCUAUGAAAGUAGUGAUUCGAUGGAAGAUCCAUAGGUUUACAAGAUCUAUGAUACCAUCAUAGUUUAUUUCAUUGGAUUGGAUUUGUUCUGGGAAUAUCUAGAUCAUAGUAUGACAUCUAAUCGUAGAUCUAUGAUCAUUAUGGUGUUGUUUACCAUAUUUCUUCAUUGAGUUAGAUUUAGAGAAGGUUAGGCAUAGUUGCAUGCACUCUACAAGAUCCAGGGCUAGAGAAUAGAGUAAUUCAAGGUUCCUAGCAUCCUCUUAUUUCAAGAAUUUAAUAUAUAGAUAUUUAGGAUAAGAAAUGUUAAGAUAAAGCCCUUAAGAAUAUAUUAUCAUGUAACAAAAUAAGAUUCAUUAAUAUAUUUAAUUAUAAUUUUAGUUUCCACUUUUCUAUCCAUGAUUGUAUUAUUACUCAUGGGAGUAUUUAGGCUUGCAUCACUUGGAUUGCACAUGAAUUGAGUGCAUUAGAAGAUUGGUGGAAAAUUUAAGUCAUUGGUUCUUUACAAGUUGAUGAGUUGUUCACAACCAAUUCAUGGACUUAGGCAAUCCAUUAGAGAUAGUAGUGUGCUACCUCUUAAUUGAAGGGCUGACUUAUCUUGAUCAUCAACAUAGAUUUCCCAUGAUGAGUGCAAUAAUGUGUAUGGUUACACAUUGGAUAAAACCUAUGACAAAUCAUUACAUGGGAUAUCGUAUGGUUAUGACUUCACCAAGUUACAAUGUUGCAAGGACUAUCAACCUUGAGAGAAUAUUGAACUUGUGUUGAGCUCUGCAAUGACUUAAACUUAUGAGUGAAACUCUAAGGUUGUCAUAAAUUGUCUAAGAAUUGAGUCCCUGAUGUUUAAGGCAAGUGGUAAUAGGUGUACUCAAGGUAGACAUCAUGAUAUCUCAUGGGACUGAGAUAAUGUCCCUUGGGGUGAUCUUAGGGACUUGUGAUCAUUAAAUCUAUGGCUGCAACAAUUCCUUAAGUGGGAUUUAACAUAUGUCCUUUGUGUAUUAGAACAUGUUAAUUGAUCACAAAAAAUAAGGAUUUGAAAUUCAAGAAUUAUAGAGACAAUCUUGAUAUGUUGAUAGCUACUAUCUUAUUAGAUUGUGCACACUAGUUCAUAAGAAACUUGUAUGUAGUGGAUUUAAUAAAUGUUAUCUCAAUGUAAUAUCAUAGGGUAUUUAAGUGAAAUUGACUUUUUUCAGUGGAAUAUUGAGUUAACUUUAUUAUUGGAUUCUAAAAUAGUUAGUUUUUUCCAAUGUUCUUAAAAUCCAACCGGACUGACCAAUUUGACUGAUCGAACCAUAGACUGGAACUUGGUUCGGUUCAUUCCAACCUAUGGCCCAGAGUACAUAUUGAACCAGGCUUAAACUGAAUGGAUUGACAGUUGGACCAUUAAACCUGUGAAUUGAUCAUUCGGUUCUGGGUUGACAUUUUUUUUCCUCGCUAAAGGGUGGUUAGGAGCCCAACCUAGUUCACCCUACUUUAGCCUACCAUAUAAGGCUAGUGGGCCAAGGACCACAUAAAGCUACAAUACGAUACAUGGGACAAAGAAUUUAAAGGAGUGUUCAUCCUCCUCUGCUUCCACAACUCCCAAUGUGGGAUGAGAUAUAAAAUCCAUACAAUUUUCCACAACUUCUCAUGUGGGAUGAGAUAAAAUACAUAAGCUAUAAUGCAAUUGGCAAUUGACAACCAGAUGAUUUGAACCAAUUUGUUACUAAUAAUUGAUAUUUAAAAAUUGUAAACUAAAAAACCAAUAACAUAAUUAUUUAAAAAUUGUUUUGAUAAUAAAAAAAAUAUAAGUAAAAUAAUGUAAUAUAGGUAAAAUAAAUUAUAAAUAAAAGAAUUUUCUUCUAUUGUAAUACAUAUUUUAUUUAUAAAAUUUAAAAUAUUAAUAUUUUUAGAUUUACUCAUGAUUUAAGUUUGAUAAUAUUAAAGACAAUAUAUAUAUAUAUAUAUAUAUAUAUAUAUAUAUAUAUAUAUAUAUAUAUAUAUAUAUAUAUAUAUAUAUAUAUAUAUAUAUAUAUGCUUUAAAAUUUUAAAAUUUAUUUUUAAUUUUAAUAAUAAAUAAAUUAUAUAUUUAUGACAUCAUCGAUUCGAUUGCAGUUUGACCAUUGGUUUGACCAUUGAAUCGUGAACUGGUAACUUUUUUAGUUCAAUGACCGAUCCAAUUAUGAAAAAAUUGGUUUUUUCUUAUAAGCUUUAGUGGGCCUUGCUUGAACUCGUAAUCUUUGUUAGAACAAAGACUUGAGGGAAAUUGGGUUUAUUUAAUCAUAUGUCUGCAUAAGAGCAAUUUGAUAAGAAUGCAAGGUUGCACAAAAACUUAUAAUUAUUAUUUUAGGUUUCCUAAAUUAAGCUAAUUAAUUAAUCGGAGUCCAUCAGUGCUAAUUAAUUAAUUAAGAUCCAAUGGUCUAGAUUAAAUGAUCUAACCUCCAGUGGGCCUAAGUUACUUAAGCCCACAAGAGUGACUAUAACUUCUUAGGGUUUAGGGUAAGCUAACAAAGAAAUCCAUCUAUUCAUUCUUUAUUCUUCUAAAGAAAACCUUAUUCAUCUUUUCUCUCUCAAGGUUGUGUAGCCACUUUAGACACAUGACAAGGAUCAAAGACAAAUCUUUUGAGUGGAACACACCUAGUUUUUGAGAUCUCUACAUUAACUUGAAUUUGAUCUAGGAAAAUCCAUGUUGAAUUGUAUGUCUUUUAGCACCUAAAUCUAAGUGUAGACCCUUCAUUUUGUCUCCUUAGCACAUGCCCUAUGAGGUGUUCUUUCAAUAUUUCACAGUAGUUCUCUAGUUGCCCAUUGCUACUCAUGCAACUUUUCUUUUUUAACCACCUUGGAGACUUUGAAUGAGGGAUUUAUCUAGCCCCUCAUUGUGACCCUUGGCAACCUUGAGUUAGAUCUAAGUUUUUUUUUUCUUUUUAGGAUAACUCAUUUAGGUACACUUUCACUUAGACACAUCCUAGGUCACCUAGCCACUUUUCUUAUCACCCUAGGUCACUUAGGCACUUUUCUAAUCAUCCUAGGUCACUUAGACACUUUUUUUAAUCACCUUAAGUCACUUAGACACUUUUUUUUUUUUUUUUUUUUAUCACCUAGGUCCACUUAGAUUCAUUUAGGCCCACCUUAGACCCAUCUAAGCCCACUUAGCCCACUUAGGUUCACUCAAGCCUAUUUAGGCCCAUCAGAUCCACAUUAGGCCCAUCUAGGCCCACUUGACCCAUUCAGGUUCACUCAAGCCCAUUUAGGCAGAUUUAGGCCCACUUAGGUUCUCAUUUGGCCCAUCUAGGCACACCUAAGGCCAUUUAGGCCAUUUAGGUCAUUUAGGUCCAUCUAGGAUCACCUUAGCCCAUUUAGGUAACUUAGGCACAUUUUGGUACACCUUAGGCCCAUUUAGACUCACCCUAGCCCAUUUAGACACAUCUAAGCCCAUUUAGGUCAAUUAGGCCCACUUAAGCAUGCCUUGACCCAUUUAGGUCACUUAGGCCCAUUUAGGCAUCUCAACCCAUUUAAGCACACCUAGGCCCAUUUUGGAACCUUGGCCCAUAUCUGGCCCAUUUAGGCAUACCUAACCUAUUUAGGAAUACCUUGACACAUUUAGGCACACUUAGCCUAUUUAGGAACAACUUGGCCUAUUUAAGCACAUUUGACUCGUUUAGGCACACCUUGACCCUUUUAGGCAUACUUGGCUUAUUUAGGCACAUUUGACCCAUUUAGGAAUGUCUUGGCCUAUUCCAACCAAGGAUGAAAGUAUCAGUAAUUACGAAUAUAUUGGUAUUUCCGUUUAUGGAUAUAUCUGAUAUAUCGACGGAUAUUUUGACAUAAAAUAUCGGUGAACUUAAAAUUGAUCAGAAAUUAUAAAAAUGUAAGAAAAAACUAUUAAAAAUAAAAUUACAAGUAUAAUAGAUAUUUUAAAGUUGUUUUAUUCAAGAAAUUGAUAUAUGUAUGAUAUAAUUUAUCAUAUUUGAUAAUAAUAUUAUAUGUGCUAAUAAAAAAAAAUGAAUUUUAUAAGUAUACAUUUAUUAUUAAAUUAUAUCAAAUAUUAUUCGAUAAUAAUAUUUGUGAUAUUUGAUUAUAAUAUGUCUAAUUUAAAAAUGUAUUUAAUAUUAAAAUUAUAAUUCGUUUAAUUCAAUUGUAUUAAAUGAUAUAAAAUAAAUGAUGAUAUAUGUAUAAUUUUUAAUACUUAAUUAAUAUAUUAAUGAUAUUAAAAACACUAUGAAGAAAAUUAUCACAAUAAUUUUUAUAUUUUUAGUAUUCAAAUAGAUGAAAUUUUUUCAUUUAAUUAUAAUUAAUUUGUUCUUUAAAACAUUUUUAAAAAUUAUGUUUAUACGAUGAAUUUGAGUUUAUAUAUAUUUGGUGCAACUUAUAUAACAAGGGACAAACUUGCCCUACUGGUUGGCUUAAUGCAUAGUAAACCUUUUGGUUGGGGUUAACAUUCAAGUUCCAGCUCAUGUUAGCUCAUUUAGUCUCACUUAGAUCACUUAUGUUCACUUUAAGUACACUUAAGCUUAGUUUAUCUAGUUCAUUUUAAGAAGUUUUCUCUAAGUUGCACUUUAGAAUAAUUAUUUUAGAGGCAUAUUUAGUUCAUUCUAGUUUAGGUACACUUUAGGAUAGUUCUCUUAGAUGCAUAUUUAGUUCACCUUAGUUUAGAUGCACUUUUUCAUUUUAGUUGAACUAAUGUUCAUGCCAUUUAGGAACACUCUAAGUUAGUUCAUCCAUUUCUUAUUUAGGUAUAUUAUCUAGUUACAUUUUUUUAGAAUUCGUUUUAUAUACAUUUUAAAAAGGAGAGUGAGAAUUUUUUUAAGGAAUAUGAUAACUUUUUUUUUAUUUAUAUAAAAAAGGAAGAUAUGACAAUUUUUGAAGAUGGCAUCAAUUUUUUUUUUUUUUUAAAAAGAGAUGAAAAUUAUUUUGAAGAUGACAACAAUUUUUUUUAAAGGAGAAGGAAAAUAAUUAAAAGGAAUAGAAGAUAAGAUUUUUUUUUUUUUUUUCUUUUAAGAUGGUACCAUUUUAAAAAAAAAAAGGAUAGAAGAUAUGAAUUUUUUUUUUUAAAAGGAAAAGGAGAAUUUUUUUUAAAAGGAAUAUGAGUAUUUUGGAAGAGGAUAUCAUAAUUCUUUUAUAGAGGAUAUUUGAGUUUAGAAAAGAAGGACACAUAUAAGGAUUCAUGGACUAGAGGACCCGACCAUAUUGAGAAGAAUAGAGAUUCAUGCAUUUUAGAGAAGACUACUCACCAUCUUGGAUUAGGAAAAGUGUGGUGGUUGUCAUUGACUUGCCAAAACAGAUUUCAAGCAUGCAUUUGAGGAAAAGAUUGGGGGGACAUCAUUAAGGAAGAGAAAAACCUAGACAUGAAUGGAGAUUGAUUUUUUCUUUUUUCUUAUUUUUUUUUUAAGAAAAAAAAAGAAAAGAAAAGAAAGGAAAAGAGAUUUUGGGGAAGAAAACAUGAUGAACAGUCGAUGAAAGGAAGGGGACAUUUAGGAAGAAGAAGAGAUCGCCUUCUUUUGAGAGUAAAAUGAGACGUUUUGAGGGAUUCAGAGGGGUUUUAAGGGAUUUUUUUUUUUUUUUAGCAAUUUGGAGAGGGAUCAAUAGCCUUUCGUGGGGGUUCUCAAACUUUAUCUUCAUAUCAUAAUUUGAAGAAGAAGGUGAGUAAGUUUAGAAAAUGUUGGGAUUUAUUUUUUCUGGUUGUUAUGUAUUAUUCUGGGUUUUGUAUAUUGUUUUAUGUUAUUGAAGUUUUGAUUUUUAUUGAGUGCUUAGAAAAUUGUUAGCACUGUUGUGAAAUAAGGACAAAUACAAUGCAAAUCAAAGUAGUAAAGAUGGAAUAUAUUUUACUUUGAUAUAUAAUAGGGAAGAAGAAAUCAGAUACGAGAGUUGAGAAAGUUGAGAGAAUGAAAAACAGAGAUAAUGAGAUGAAGAAAAUUUCUUUCUUUUUCUCGGGAUGUAUAUUGCAGGAGAUGGGAAGCCCUUUUAUAGGCUUUCCAAAUGGCUUCCAUUAAUAUCCCCAUUAAUGAAACUCAUAAAUAACAUUAAUGGUUUCUAUUAAUGAGUAUUAAUGGAAGUCAUAAAUAAUACUUAAUUAACAUUACUGUGGUGACAUUCAUUACUUCAGUUAUAACACUCCCCCUUGGAUGUUCAUCACAUUGAAGAAUAUGCCUCAUUAAAACCUUACUAGUAAAAAACCCUAUAGGAAAAACCUAGCAAAGGAAAAAGAGUACAAUAUUCUUUUCUAGGUAUAUUAGGAUUGCCUCGUUAAAAACCUUACUAGUAAAACCCAGUAGGACAAAACUUGGACGAAGGAAAAAGAGUACAGUACACUAACACCCUUUUACAAGCAUACUUCCCUUAAGUCGAUAUCAUUGAGUUGACGUAUUCCAAUCAUGUGUAUUAACUUCUUGAAUAUUGAGGUUGGCAAUGAUUUUGUGGUAAAUCUGCUAGAUUAUCACUUGAGCAUAUUUGUUGCACAUCAAUUUCACCACUCUUCUGGAGUUCAUGUGUAUAAAAGAAUUUUGGUGAAAUGUGUUUAGUUCUAUCUCCUUAAUAUAACUCCCUGUUAUUUGUGCAAUGCAUGCUGCAUUAUCUUCAAAUAAUAUUGUCGGGUCACCUUUGAUAGAGGAGAGUCCACAUGAUUCCCGAAUAUGCUGGAUCAUAGAUCUUAGCCAUAUACAUUCACGACUUGCUUCAUGAAUUGCUAGUAUUUUUGAAUGAUUUGAUGAUGUGGCCACCAUUGUUUGUUUGACAGAUCUCCAUAAAAUAGCAAUACCAUUGCAAUUAAAUACAUACCCUGUUUGUGACCUACCUUUAUGUGGAUCUCAAAGAUAUCCUGCCUCUGCAUAUCAAGCAAUUGUUGCUUUGAUUCCCUUGAGUAAAAUAAAUCCAUAUCAGUAGUUCCACGAAGAUAACGCAAUAUAUGUUUGAUACCAUUCCAAUGUUUUUGAGUUAGAGCGGAACUGUAUCUUGCUAAUAAAUUGACAGAAAAAGCAAUGUCUGGAUGUGUACAAUUGGCAAGAUACAUAAGUGCACCAAUAGCACUAAGAUAUGGUACUUCAGGACUAAGUAACUCUUCAUCUUUUUCGCAAGGACGAAAUGGGUCAUUUUUCACAUCAAGUGAUCGGACAACCAUUGGAGAACUUAAAUGAUGCACUUUAUCCAUAUAAAAACGCUUCAAAACUUUCUUAAUGUAUGUUGAUUGAUGUACUAAAACUCCAUUUGAAAAAUGCUCGAUCUGUAGGCCAAGACAAAAUUUUGUUUUUCUAAGAUUUUUCAUCUCAGAUUCUUUUUUCAAGUAAUUUGUUGUUCUUGUGAGCUCUUCAGGAGUUCCAAUAAGAUUUAAGUCAUCAACAUACACUGCAAUAAUUGCAAAUCCGAUUUCUGAUUUCUUAAUGAAGAUGCAUGGGCAUAUAGGGUUAUUCACAUACCCUUCUUUUAGCAAGUAUUCGCUAAGGCGAUUGUACCACAUGCAUCUAGAUUGCUUUAAUCCAUACGAGGAUCGUUGUAACUUGAUUGAGUACAUGCUACGAGGCUUUGUACUAUUUGCUCAAGGAAAUUUAAAUCCUUUAGGGAUUUUCAUGUAUAUAUCAUUAUCCAUGGAUUCGUAUAAAUAUGUUGUAAUAACAUCCAUGAGACACAUAUCCAGUCCUUCUGAGACUGCCAAACUAAUUAAGAAAUGAAUUGUGAUUGCAUUCAUGACGGGAGAAUAUGUUUCCUUGUAGUCAAUACCAGGUCUCUGCGAGAAACCUUGUGCUACUAAUUGCACUUUAUAUCUUAUGAUCUCAUUUUUCUCAUUACGCUUUCGUACAAAUACCCAUUUGUACCCAACAGGCUAUACAUCUUUAGGUGUUUGGACUACAGGUCCAAAAACUUCUCGUUUUGUUAAUGAGUUUAACUCUGCCUGUAUAGCUUCUUUCCAUUUUGGCCAAUCAUUUUUAUGUCGAUAUUCUUCCAUAUUUCGUGGUUCGGGAUCUUCAUCAUUUCCUAUGAUAUCAGAGGCCACUUGGAAAGUAAAAAUAUUGUUAAUAACAAUAUUAUUUCGAUCCCAUUUUUCUCCUAUGUGUAUAUAACUUACUGAGAUCUCACAAUUUUCAAGUACCUAUGCCUCUUCAGGGGCUUCUUAUUCAAUAUGUGCCUCUUCGGGGGCUUCUUGUUCAAUAUAUGCUUCUUCAGGGGCUUUUUGCAUUAUUUGUGCCUCUUCUAGGGCUAUAGAUUUAUCAAUUUUAAACUGAUCAGUCAUUUUGAUGGCCUAUUUUAGAGUGCCAAGUUUUUCUUGGGUUCUCCUCUUUCGGGGAGUUACAUCCUUUGAGUCAACAGGUCUACCACGCUUCAGGCGUAUCUUAGAUUCAUUUGUUAACUGUCCUAUAGGGACAUCAAUCCUUGCUGGAGUAUUUGCAGCCGGGAUAUGUGACUUUGUCACUUUCUUUGUAUCAAUGAAUGCAUCUGGUAAUUGAUUUGCAAGAUUUUGCAAAUGAAUGAUCCUUUGAGCUUCUAGUUCAAAUUGAUUUGUACGAGGAUCAAGAUGAGUCAUAGUAGAUGCCUUCCAACUAAUUUCUCAUCGAUCUUCAUGAAUCGACUUUUCUCUCCCCUAAUGAUGGGAAAACACUCUCAUUAAAAUGACAAUCCGCAAAGCGGGCUGUAAAAACAUCGCCUGUCAAAGGUUCAAGAUAUCUCAUGAUAGAUGGAGAAUCAAAACCUACAUAAAUCCCAAGUCUUUGUUGGGGACCCAUUUUAGUGCGUUGUGUAGGUGCAAUUGGUACAUAUACUGCACAACCAAAGAUUCGUAAGUGAGAGAUAUUUGGUUAUUUUCCAAGCACAAGUUGUGAAGGGGAGUAUUCAUGGUAAGUUGUAGGUCGAAUACGGACUAAAGUUGCAACAUGCAUAAUAGCAUGUCCCCAGGUGGAAGUAUGUAAUUUGGUUUUCAUUAUUAAUGGUCGAGCUAUUAAUUGGAGACGUUUGAUGAAGGAUUCUGCUAAACCAUUUUGGGUAUGAGUAUGAGCAACAGGAUGCUCAAUAUUUAUCCCUACUGACAUGCAAUAGUCAAUGAAUGUUUGAGAAGUAAAUUUGCCAGCAUUAUUAAAACGUAUUGUCUUAAUUGGAUAAUCUGGAAAUUGUGCUCGUAAUCUGAUUAUUUGUGCAAGGAGUUUAGCAAAGGCAACGUUACGUGUAGAAAGGAGACAAACAUGUGACCACCUAGUAGAAGCAUCUAUUAAGAUCAUAAAAUAACAGAAUGGUCCACAUGGUGGAUGGAUAGACCCACAUAUGUCCCCAUGUAUUCUUUCUAAAAAGACUGGUGACUCAGAUAUGACUUUAGUAAAAGAUGGUCUGAUUAUCAAUUAACCUUUUGAGCAAGCAGCACAUGAGUAUUCAUUGGGCGUAAGAAUCUUCUGGUUCGUUAAUGGAUGACCAUGUGAGUGUUCGAUUAUUUGAUGCAUCAUUGAAGACCCUGGUUGACCUAGCCUGUCAUGCCAAAGGACAAAAACUUUUGGGUCGUUGAACUUCUGGUUCACGACAACAUAUGAUUCAAUAGACUUUAUGGUUGUAUGAUACAACCCAGAGGAGAAAGCCGGGAGUUUUUCCAUUAUAAGCUUCUGACCAGAUAUAAUGGAAGUAAUGUAAAGAUAUUCUACAUUAUCUUCAUUUAUAGUUUCAAUAUGAUAUCCAUUUCUGCGGAUAUCUGUAAAACCGAGCAAAUUUCUUCUAGAUUUGCUAGAAUAUAAAGCAUAAUUUAUAUGAAAUCUAGUUCCAUUUGGUAACAUUAUGUUUGCUCUUCCAGAACCUUCAACUAAGUUUGUAGUACCAGAUAUGAUACUUACAUUAGCUUUUAUUAAUGUCAAUUCGAGAAAAUAUAUUUUAUCUCGAAGAAUUGUGUGCGUGGUCGCACAGUCUGCGAGACAUACAUCAUUCUCAUUCAUCUUGAGACCAAAUAACACAUGGAUUUCAGAUAUAACAAAAAAAAACAAGGCAUAAUGUAAAUAACAAAAGAAAAUUAGAUGUAAAUAUAAGACAUAAUAAUAUAUUAUUUCAUAUACAAAGUAACAUCAAUCAAUGUUAAUUUUCUCAUCAUUUAUCAAAUGGUUUGUUUUUUCAUUGGGACCUCCAAAGAAAUCAAUGUCAUAGUAGGUUAGGUCCAAUCCAUCUCCAUCGGUAAAGUUCAUCUCUAUCUCUUUUCCUUUUACUUUUAUUGAUGCUUGGUAGAGGUCAACCAAAUGUUUGGGCGUACGACAGGUACGCGACCAAUGCCCCUUCAUAUCACAUCUAUAACAAUUAUUCUCAUGGUUCUUAGGAGGUUUAUCUUGUAAACGCUUCCCAUUUUCAUAUUUUGCCUCAGUAUUGUUCCAUUUCGUAUUGUUCCACUUCUGGUGGUGCAAUGAGGCUUUCAUUUUAUGAGAAUUAUUAUUACAAGAACCAUGGUAUCGGGGAUUUCUUCCAUGACCACAACCACGUCCUCAUCAACUCCACGAGUUUGGGACAAUAUUGCAUUCAUUUUAAGGAAUGAUUCAGAUCCAGUUGGAUGAGAUUAGUGAUUUCUUAUCAAAAACUCUUUUUUUUUUUUAAACCUUCAUGGAGAUGAUUGAUUCGUGCCCACUUGGUGUCUCAGCUGAUUCAUGUCCAGCUGGUGCUCCUUGAUUGAGGGAGUAAUCAACAAAAUUUAUAACCUAUUACACCAUGUACUAGGGCAGCAAAGACAAAACUACUAUAGCAUAGUGGCUCUAGGAUCGUUCACUGGGAUGAGUUUUCACUUCACAAAUGAUAUUAAUUCAAAGUUGAAUUGGUGCCUUUUCAUUUCAAGGUUAGCUUUAAAAGAAAACAUAAACUUGAGUUGGAAAAUGUUUGGUUUUAAACUAACCACAAAUAGUAACUGAUUUUACUUACAAAGAAAAGUGUUUCUUGGAGCUCAAAUCACUAGGCUCAGGUUCCUCAUACAAAAAGGGGAGUUCCGGUCACUUGUUUCUUUUCCUCGCAUUAGAGAAUUAACAUAUAGUUCCUUCUCUAACCGGUGUUGUACAGAUGCUUCCUAUUAAUGGGUUCAAACACUAAAUUCCUCUCACUGAUGCACCUUGCAAUGGCUCAUGCCUCUCACCUAGCACUUGCCAUUCAAGAUGAUCUUUAACCUUGGACUUCCCUUCAAAAGCUCGCAAGAGAUAACUAAUGGAUGUCUCCUUGGAGUCCAAAAGCUUACCAAGUGUUGGCUAUUCUAGAAAAUCCUACCUUCAAACCACCUCCCAAAGGCUCGCAAGAGAUAAACUAGUGAAUCUCCAUGGACGGAGAUCACUUGCCUUACCAAGUGUUGGCCCAGGUGAUUUAAAGGCGUUUUAAGUUAACUAAAAAGAUAAAAACCAUUAACGGGUCACACUUUCUCUUCAUUAAAAACUAAAACAACAAAACUUCCAAAUUAUGCAUGUGGAAACUUACCCGGAUUUCGUCACUCCAAGAGACGAAAAGCCUAGCCUCUCAUCCUCUGAGGAAAAAUCCUUAGAGUUUGGUUAGCAAGAAAAUGAAAAUGAAAGAGAAGGAAAAAAACAGAGCAAGGCUCUGUAUAUUCUAUAUAUUUAUAUAUCUAUAUAUCUAUAUAUUUUACAGUGGAUGCAAGGGAAUAUAUAUAGAGACGUUUUUCUAACCUUCCUAACUAAGAAAUCUUAUGGUUGGUGGAUUACAAGGAGAAGAAUGGAAAUUUAUACAAAAAUAUCUGAAGAAAAAUAUCCAAAAGUGUCGGUCGCAACUAUCAGGAAGCUUCAGGAGAACACCCGUGCACUGUGCAAAAUGGCUGCGAAAUUCUUGCAGCAAAAGGGUGAUUUCGCAGCCGUGCAAAAUUCUUCCUUCAGCUUGGAGUGAUUGGGUUCCAAUGGCUGUAACUCCUUCAUUUCAACUUCAAAUCGCGCACCGUUUGAAGCAUUGGAUUCUUGACUUCCUGAGCUUUGAAAUGGUAUAUAGCAUGUAGAAAAUGGACUUCAGGAAGUGCUCCAAAAGUGCGAAAGAAGACUGCAGCUGCUAUCCUCUAUUUUCUUCACUCUGUUUUUCCUCUCUCUGUUGUUCUUUCCUUGCAUACUUUGAACGACUUUGGCAAAGGGCUAUGGAGCUCCAAAGCUUGGUUCUUCAUGAAUUUGAGCUUCCAAAAGCUUUGCCAUGAACUAUAUACAACUCUCCCUCAUUCUUGGAUUGCUUUGGUGUAGCUAAAAGCUAUCAAAAACACCAAAACUUAACACAAUUUGAUUAGAAACGAUUGCAAGGGUCCUUAACAUGUCAAUUGAGUUAAAAGGUAAUAAUUACUACUCAAGAGUGUUUAAAAGAGUUAAUUACAAGCUAUGAAAUAACACUUUUUGAGUAGUAAUCAAUGAUGACGAAGGAAAAUCACUGUUUUUACGCGAUCCUGCAAGGAUGCUUGAUUUCCUUCUUUGAUCACAGCUCCAAGAUUCAUUGCAUUAAGAUGUAUUUUAGCAUCAAAGAUCCAAGAAUGAUAGUUAUUUCCCGAAAUGUCAAGUGCCACAAAUUCGAGUUUUGUGAUAUUCGACAUUGUCAAAUAACUUCAUAUAUAUGACAAAACAAUAUUAUUAAAAUCAAUUAUAAUAACUUGAUAGCAUUGGUAUAACUUUGAUUAUAAACAAAAUCAAAUAAUUUGUUUAUAACUUUUAAGAAUAUGUAACAAAACAAAUGAACAAUAAUAUAAAUAUGUAAAAUUUUAUUCUAUAUAAAUAACUUCAAGUUUAAGAUACGAGAAUUACCUUUAGAGCAAUUCGUGCUGAUAACGUGUUGUGAAAUAAGGACAAAUACAAUGCAAAUCAAAGUAGUAGAGAUGAAAUAUAUCUUACUUUGAUAUAUAAUAGGGAAGAAGAAAUCAGAUAAGAGAGUUGAGAAAGUUGAGAGAAUGAAAAACAGAGAGAAUGAGAGGAAGAGAAUUUCUUUCUUUUUCUCCGGAUGUAUAUUACAGGAGAUGGGAAGCCCUUUUAUAGGCUUUCCAAAUGGCUUCCAUUAAUAUCCCCAUUAAUGAAUAUUAAUGAAACUCAUAAAUAACAUUAAUGGUUUCCAUUAAUGAGCAUUAAUAGAAGUCAUAAAUAAUACUUAAUUAACAUUAAUGUGGUGGCAUUCAUUACUUCAAUUAUAACAAGCACUUAUUUUUCUAGUUAUGUAUUAUCCCUGAUUUUGUAUAUUGUCUUAUGUUAUUUAAGUUUUGAUUUCUAUUGAAUGCUUAGAAAGUUUUUAGGAUUUAGUUUUUUUUUUUUCUAUUGAAUUCUUAGAAAGUUCUCAGGAUUUAGUUUUUCUUUAUCUUCAUGUCAUUUAGCAUGUUGUACUAUUUAUCUAAUUUUAUUAAAAAUCAAAUUUUGAAAAGUUUUGGUUUAAUUUAAUUUUCUCAACACUAUUCAUUUCAUUAGAAUUUUAUUAAAAAUAAAUUUUGAAAAGUUUAGUUUGAGUUUUAAUUUUUCGGUAAAAUCAAAUUUUAAAAAGUUAGUUUGAGUUGUAAUUUUCUAGUACUAUUUAUUUCAUUAAAAUUUUAUUAAAAAUCAAAUGAAAGGUAGGUUUUGGGAUCCAAGUUCACCUUUUCUCUUUUUUUUUUUUAAAUACCUCUAGGAAAGAAAUAAAAAAUCCUUAUUUUGUCUAUAUUGAUUGAAAUUUACUAAUUCACAUGGUCUCUUUUUUGUUUGCCCUAAAAUUAUUUUCAAAAGUAUUUAAAUCAUCAAAAGGCUUUAAAAAAAAAUUAUCCAUUCAAGGUUUAAGCAAAGAACAUAUUUUCUUUUAAAAUCAUGCAACUCAUUUCAUCUAAGUUGCAUUCUUUAUUUUUCGGUUUUUUGAAACUUUGUUUUCAUUCACAUAAGUUUAAACUUGUGCUCUCAAGCUAAUGAGAAUACUAGGUUAAACUUAUGAAUAUUCAAUGGAGACUUGAUGGAACCCUUACAUCAAAGAUUUUUAAAACUCAUGUUUGCUAUCAGUUUCAACUCAGCCACCGACCCUUUAUUAAAAAAAAAAAUUUGUUCUUGAUUGCUUGGAGUGUUUUUUUUUUUUUUUCAAAAAUAGUAUGAUGUUCCUUAUUCUUUGUAGUUGAUUUUGGAAGAAUGUUUCAACCAAAAAGCUUUUCUCAAAGUUGAGUUAUGAUAUUUUCUUUCCACACAUUAUAUUUAGCUUGAUACUAUACACACCGUGCAUGCUAGGAUUUAGAAUUUUACUAUUUGAAAUUGUUAUUUACUCUAGCCUCAUUUAUCUUAUGGAAGCACUUUGUAAAUUACUUUUGCUAUUCAAGUACGCCUCCUCACCAUUGAUCUCUUAAUUUAACAGUUGUGUAUGAUUCAUGUGUGAACGUCCCUUGCUAACUCUACUUUAUGUUUGUGAUUAACAAAGCUUACAUGUUUGUUUAAUAUAUUAUUAUAAUUUAGGUUAACACCUUAGCCUUUCCUAGUGUCCCUAAUCAAUUAGCUCAUUGUUAUAAUUUCCUCAAUUUAGUAAGUAGAGACCUUUUUAGGGCCUAGAGGGGUGCUUCCUCUGUGAGGUACCUUCCCAAUAGGUAACUAGAUUCUCGGACCAAGACUUGGGUUUUUCAAAGACAUGCUUUUCCAAAACUUAAGGCGUCAUUUUUUUAAGGGCUAUAGUUUCUUAUUUUAUUUAUUUAUUUUUAAAAUAAUAAUAAUAAUAAUAAGCAACGAAUCCAAUUUUCAUACAAAUAAUAGUUUUUUCACAAAAAAAAAAAAACAAGUAUUGUUGACGAGUGGGGACACACAUGAGAAAUUUAGGUCCACAAUAAGACUUUUUUUUUUCCUUGAAAAUUGUAUUUACUUCAUCUUAUGCUUAGAUCUUGUAGCCAUAAGGUCUUAGAUGCAUGCACUCAUGAUCCCAUCCUAACAAGUGGUGUGAGAGCACUAGGAUAGGAUUGACCUACUCAUUAGGAUUGGGCCUCUAAAAGCAAGACAUGGUAUAACAAAAUUAGACUUAACCACCCCCUUGUUAUCCUUUUGGUGUAUUAACAUUGAUUUGAGCAUUCAACCUAUGUCUCUUACUUUGUACAUAACUUAUGCACAUUAGGAGUUGCAUAGAAGAUACAAGUUGUGGGUUCCUUAUAAGUAGAUAAGUUGUCCACAGUUGGUUCAUAGAUUUAGACAAUCUAGUAGAGACUGUAGUGCACCACAUUCUAAUUUGAGGGAUGAGUUAUCUUGACCGUUGGGAUGGGUUUCCCAUGGUGAGUGCACUAGUGUAUGUGAUGCAUACUAGACAGGACCUACAGUGAAUCAUGAUAUAAGGCUAUCAAGUGUCAUGAUUCACCAAACUACUAUACCACAUGGACUCUCAACCUUGAGAGGAUAUUGAGCAUGUGCUGAAAUCAAUAGGAGGCUUUAACCUAUGGGUGAGACCCUAAAGUGGUCAUAUAUCCCUAUGAAUUGGGUCACUGUUGAUAGAGGUUGGUGGCAAUAGGUAUCUUAAUAGAGGCACCAUAAUAUCUCAUGGGAUUGAGACAAUGUGUCCCCUUAGGUGAUCCAAAUGACAUGUGAACAUGAAAUAGAUGGCCAUAGUAAUUUCUUUAGUGGAAUUUGACAUAUGCUAGCUUCUAGGAGAUGGAGUAUGUUAGUUGAUUAGAUAAUAAGUGAGAUAUGUAACUCAAGGAUUUGAGAGAUAAUGUUGAUAGGUGAUAACACUACCUUGUUAGAUUACGAACACCAAUUCAUGAAGAGUCUUCAUGUAGUGGAUAGUAGGUCAUGGACCCAAGCCUCGUCUCAUUGUUAUUUACGUUGGGUACUAGAGUGCAGAUGAUUCUAUUUAGUGAAAUGUUGAAUCAACUUUAGAAUUAGAUUAUAAGGGAGCCAAUACUCCUAUGGGUCCUAGUGGUCCCUGUUUUAAGCUCAUAUACCAUGAUGAUAGGGCUUAUGAGGGUUAGAUUGACUCUAGGUUCAUUUUGGUGCAUAAGGGUGUUUUGAUAAUUAUGUCAAGUUGCAUAGGGGAUAGUGAACAAGAUCUUUGGUUUAGGUUAAUUGAUUAAUUAGAUUGCUCUAUGUGGUUAAUUAAUCAAGUAGGACUCGUUUUGGGCUAGAUAAAGUGGCCCAAGCCUUGAUGGACUUAAGUCACUUAAGCCCAAUGGGUAAUCCUAUAAAUACCCCUCUAUAGGUUAGGAUUUCCUAAUGACUUGUGGUGAGAGUUGUCUUCCAACCCUAGAGAGAGAGAUCCAUAACCUCCUCCCUUAUAAAUCCCACACUUUGGAAUGCCAAGAUCGUGGUUCAAGUCAUCAAGCAGAAUAUCUUGGGUGUACAAGACCUUGGAGGUAGGGCUACAACACUUGGACGUGCAUAGGCCGUGUGCACAAAAAGCGCAUGGGACACACACAAACCGUGUGCACGGGAAUCGCAUGGGACUCGCACAUGGGGAGCAACAUGAGGAAAGACUCUCUGGUUUUUCUAGACAUGUUUUUCACCACAAAAAUUUGAUUUGGGAACAUCCAAAUCUAGGUAUGAGUAUUUUUUUUCUCUAGAUUUUUAUUGUAAUAUGGUUUUUAUAGUCAUAUGUUUCUACUAUAAUAAAUUUAGAGAAGCCUAGAAUAGUUUACAUGCAUCCUACAAGAUUUAGGGUAUGGGAACAAAGUAAUUCAAGGUUCCCAACACUGUAAACUUUGUUUAUAGGAGUGUUGAUUUAUCCCAUGGCCCAUAAGGGUGAAUACAUGGACAUUUAUUUUUAAUAUGAAUGAAUGAAUGAAUGGAUGCAUGUAUUAUUAUUAUUAUUAUUAUUAUUAUUAUUAUUAUUAUUAUUAUUAUUAUUAUUAUUAUUAUUAUUUGUAUCUCUUGGGUUGUAAACUUUAUAAGGAGAAUAGAAUUUUAGAUUUCUCUAUAAAAUCUUUUUCUUUUAAUGGAUGGGUUGUAAACUCCAUUUUGAGAGCAUAAUGGCUUGUAUUCUUUGUAAAAAUUUUAACUUUGGUCCAUCUAUAGUGACCCAAAAGAAAGGAUCAAAGCUUGUGAUUCAUUUAGGGGCAUUCAUAUAGAAAAACCAAUCAAGAAAGGUGAGUUUUUUCGGGACAAAAAUGAAAAAAAAAUUGAGAAUCAAGCUCUCAGCAUAGUAGUCCAAGUGAUAAUGCUCAAGCGCUACAAGCCACACCUUAAGCACUUGAGUGCUUCUGAAGGUGGCUCGAGCACUCGUAUUAUGGUAGCUACAAUUUCUCCAACAUGGGUUUAUUUUUUAUUUUUUUUUAUUUUAAGGUUUUUCUAGAAUUUUAGGUCUUUUUGUUUCUGUAACUUAAUUUUGGUUGCAUGGGUAUUUAGGCAAUUUUUUGAAUAAAUUAAAUUUUAAAUAUUUUGCUAGCUACCAAAAUUUGGGACAAGAUCCCUAAGGCUGGGGGAAAUUAUUUUAAUUUUCCUUUUUAUAUUCUUAAGCUAUAUAUAUAUAUAUAUAUAUAUAUAUAUAUAUAUGGCAUGUUGUGCAUGAAAAUUGGAAUUUUAGUAAUUUUUGAUAGAAAUAAAUUUCCUUGGAAAUUAGAUUUCAAAAGUAUAUUUUUAUUAAAUUGGAAAAGUGGUGACUAAAGAAAGAACUUUUUAUGAAAAUAAAAUUUAAAUUAAAGAGAGCAAAAUUUCAUUUUAUAAAAUCAUUUUGAAGGAUUUUAAAAUUUAUUGACUUAAAUUUAUUUUAUGAGUAUUCCUGAAAAAUAAAAGUUUUCUCUCUAGAUAAGGUGCUCUCUAUAUUUUAUUUUAUUUUAUUUUUAGAAAUUUUCUUAUUUUGAGAAUUUUGAAUUAGAAUAAUAAACAAUUUUGGAAAAUUUUGAGAUAGACAAUAAUAAGAUAUUACUAAAAAGUUUUGGAAAUUUAGUAAUUUAAUGGGAAAUAAAUUUCUAUGAAAAUAUUAAUUUCAAGAUAGGACAUUUAUUAAAUUGGAGUAGUGUAUGAGAAAAGAGAAUUUUUAAAAUUUGAAAGCAAUUUUGCUAUCAAAUUAAUUUAGGAUAAAAUUCUCUUAUGAAAAUUUUAUCAUUUUCAAAGUUCCAUUCUCUUAUCUCCUUAUGUUUCUAAUUAGGAAAUUAAUAAUUUUGAAAAUUUUUAUAGAAGAUAAUUAUUUAUCAAGGGAAUUACCAAGGAAUUUAAAAGCUCCAAUUAACUCAAAAGAUAAAGUGGGCAAGGCCUUAGCAAAGCCCACAACCUUCAUUAUCAAGUCCAUCUUGAUUUUUUGUCAUUGUCACCCCAACGGUGAGUUGGCUAAGAAAUCAAAGGAUAUGAACUUUCCAAUUGGCGAGACUAGAUAUGUUAGUAGAGUAACCACCUCAACAAUGGUUUUUUUUUUUUUUUUUUAACUUGGUAACGUUAAUAUUAAAGACAAUAUUCAUACACUUAACUUAGAAGUGGUUGAAUAAUCCAAUAUGGUCCCACUUGCAUAAUAAAGGGUUAAAUAAAAGGAUAUGUUAAUCUUGCCUUAGAGUUUUAAAAUAGAAAGAUUAAUAUGAGAAGGUCUCUACCUAGUAAUAAGAUUAAAAUAUUAAAGACAUGUUGUUUAUUUUUGUUACAUUAAUCAUGUCUUUUAAUCCAAUUACUCCCAUUCUCACAACAAAAAUUAAUUAAACAUAAUUAUGUGGAUUAGAAGAGAAACUUGGAUAUAGUGCUUACAUCAAAGGAGCUUGAAUGGGUAACUCAGGAAUUUGCUCUAAAUAAUCCUAAUAAGUAGCCCUCAAAAGAACAUGGAGAGGCAUAUAAUAGAUGGCAUAAGGCGAGAUGAGAAUGCCAAGUGUCUUAUACUUAGGUCUUUGGAUAAUUUGUUGCAACAGCAACACAUGUCUCAUGCAAAAAGUUAUGAUAUUCUCUUUAUCUAGGAAGAGAUGUUUGGUAAUAAGAAGAGUUAUGAUAGACAAGCUACCCUAAUGACUAUCAUGAACACCAAAAUGAUAAAGUGAAUUCCCAUAAGAGAUUAUAUGCUAUGUAUAAUUACACUCUCAUAGAGUGGAGAUUUUUGGAUCUAGCAUUGUCAAGGAAACCAAGGUUAAUAUGAUCUUAGAGACCUUAUUAGAUUCCCUUAGGUAGUUCAAACUCAACUAUUUUAUGAAUAAGAUGUAGAUGAACUUGUCAGAACCUAUGAGGGAACUCUAAUUGACUAAGGAAAUUCUAAAGGAUUAAAAGGAUAUUCAUAUGGCAAUCAAUCAAAGGUUUUUCAAGUUCUUCUACCAAGAAGAAGAAGAACAAGAGUAGAAGUACCAAAUAGAAGGGAAAGUUCAAGGCUUGGGAAAAGAAGAGCAAAGGAAAGGGCACAUGCUUUGGUUGUGGUAAAAAAAUAAAAAAAUAAAAAAUAAAAAAUAACCAUUGAAAAAAGGAGGAUCCUAAAAUAUAGAACAAAAAACAAGGUAUGCAUCAUAUUCUCAACUAAAUCAUGUUUAGUAAAUUUCACCAAUUUUUGGUAAGAUUUUGAGGUUAAUGACUAUAUUUGUAAUUCUUUAAAAGGGUUUCACAUAAGGAAAAGGUUGAAUGAUGGGAACAUAUAUUUGACUCUAGAUUCUAAUGUAAGGAUAGUUGUGCAAGUAGUGAAAGAUGUUACCCUUCUUUUAAAGAAGAAAUGUCUUUUAUACUCAAAGAUUGUCUUUAUAUUCCUAACUAUAGAAAUAAUUUGAUUUCACUUUCUAGUUUAAAUAAAUGUGUCUCUUUGGUUUCUUUUAAUAAAGAUGUUAUUAUUAGAAAGACUGUUGUAUUGUAAAUAUUGACACUGACAUGAGAAGAAAUAGUGCAUCAUCAACAUUAGCACCAUAUUACAAUUGAGAUCAUGUACAACAAAAAGGUUCAUUACAACUUAAAAAAAGAUCCUAUAAUUAAAGUUGUUUUUUUUUUUUAAUUAUUGAUCAUGAGAAUGAACAUGAGGACAUUUUUAAUGAGAUGUGGAUGUAUCCAUGAUUUUACUUGGUUGGUUAAUAAAACUUUACGGGUCCUUCACAAAUUAAAAGAAUUUAAUUUUUAUUUAUGCCUUAUUUUUCACAAAUGCAUUCCUAAUUGUUUAUAUAAGGGUUUAAAUUUCAUUACUUUUAUUUGAAUAUUAUGAACACACUAGUUAAUUUAUUGGUCAUUUCUAGAAUAGCAUAAUUUACCUGAUGAGCAUAGAAAAGAAGUUAUAAUAUAUGUAUUAUGUGAAUAUCAAUAAUCAUAUUUUGGUGGUUCACUUAUGAUCCCUACUUUUCUCUACUUGUAAGUUGAGGCUAAUAUAUAAGAAUAGCUCAUCCAAUGUGUUUCUAAAUACUCACACUCAAAUGUGAAAUCAAGAUGUUCUCCUUUUGAAUUUGAUUGCUUGUUCUUCAUUUGUCAUUCUCUUUCCCUUUGAGAUUAAAAAAACAAAAGAAUAAAUGGAGUAGCAAAUUAAAAAGAGUGUCAAUUCAACUAGAUAAGAGUCUAAUCAAAAUUGGACAUUUCCUUGUAGCGUCUAACUAGCAUGAAUGAAUAAGGAUGUAUGAGUUGAUCAAUCAAGUUUUGGGCCUUUAAAUAAUCAUAUCAAAUUUUCACUUUCAAUUGCUUGAGAUAUUUCACUUGGAUAUCAAUCAAGCUUGGGGUUAAGAAAUUAAAUUAUGUAAUUUUCUAUAAUAAGCUAGUUUCACAAAAUGUUUAAUGCUUCAAAAGUAAUAACUUAGGAACUAAAGAAUCAAUCCCAACAUCAGCUUUAGUUAACAAAUGCAAUGCCCUAAUUUUAUAUUUUUGCUCAUUUGAAAUACAUAGGAACAAAUACCAACAUGCAUCUUAAAGUAUUCCAAAACAAAAUACUUGAAAUUGAAUUGUUCUUUCCCACCUAAUUUGAUUGCUCGUAGCUUGGAGAUUCUAUCUUUUAAGACCAAGAAUUAUGGAUAGUACAAAAGUGUGAGUUCAAAUUGGCAUGACUUUAAUCAAAAUUUAGAAAUUUGUUUGAAGUAUUUGACUUGCCUUGAUUAAUAUGGAUAACCAUGGUUUAACUGGUGGAGGUCGGGCAUUUGACAUUAUGUAUUUAGCAGCUUGGAAUAUCCCAUCAAAACUUGAUGUGCACUAACUUAUCCAACAAAUUGUUUGAUCUUCAAAAAAAAUUAACAAUGCAAUCAAGCUUAUCCUACAAAUUGUUUGGUCAACAUCAACAAUUCUCUUACUUGAAAUUAGCGUCUUGUACAGCAUAUCCAAUGGACAAAUUUGCAAAGAAGCUCCAGCCACCUGUGCAUAUGGUCCAUUUCAUGGUCUUGGGCAUCAACACCAUUACCAUCAAUAUUCUGCAUUGCGCCAUCACAGCUUCUCUGGGCAUCAGUAUUAGUAUCUUCUACUGCUGAUCUGGUAUCACAGCUUCUCUGAGAAUGAUUACUAUUGGUAUCUUGUACAGCUAAUCCCCAUGAGAACUGCUGCCUCGUACCAUUGUGAGAUUGUUGUGUUCUUAAUCAUGGGCAUACAGAAAGUGGAAGCCACACCUCUCCACUUUCCCUGGUUUAUUACUGGAGUGGCCAUAAAAUGAAGCUUUCAAGGUUCUCCAUUCAUUUGAGUGAUAUUUCUUUGGAAUAUUUGACUUAGAAUAAUAUAUCAACCACCCUUGAUUUGAUUCAUCUUCAUCGUAGCAGCAUUCACAAGAUUGUUUAAACCGGAUAACAUCCAACAGAAAAGAUGCACUGUCAUGAUCGAAAUUCAAUUUACAGUUGAAACUCCUAUGUUUUGCGGUCUCAGUAUCAAGUGGAACAUGAAGAGAGCACAGAACAAAGCCCAAGAAGUCAUCAUUUUCAUACCAACUCCAAGGAAGUUCCAUCGUUAUUUGGAACCCGCUUUUCUGAUGGCUUAUCCACUCGGGAAUCCCAUUACUUUCAGGAAUAAAAGUUUGGACAAUGGCUCCAACUUCAACCCCCUGCACAAAAAUUACCCUCUAAAUUUGUGUGUCCAUGAAAAGAAAUGUUAAAUGCUAUAUGAAAAUCAUACCUGAAUUUGGGAUUUUAAACAUUUGAAUAAAGAAGACCAGAGUAGACUUGAUUGACUGGAUAAAUUUUCCAGGGAUGUGCAGUGAUGGGCAUCUAGAUACGUUAAACCUGAUGGAAGUUCUGGAAUAUGUUGAAGCAUCUUGCAGUGACUCAAGUCAAAAUGUUUUAGGUUGUAAAGUUGACUGAUCCCAUCAGGUAUGCGACUAAAGUGGUUCCCUCCCAGAUAUAACAUUACCAGUGAUGAUAGGUAAUAAAUUUCACUGGGAAAUUCCCUUAGAUUGCAGGCUUGAAGCAUUAAUAUCCUCAAGGAGCAUAAACCGGACAAAGACGGCAAUUGAAAAUUCAUUGAAUCUAAAUACCCAACAAAAAGAUGUUCUAAAGAUUGCAGUCUCCCCAAGUUGUCUGGCAAUUUGUUGAAGUUUGGACAGCGACUGACAACGAGAGUUUUAAAAGAUGUCAAAUUACAAAUACUCUCAGGAAGAUUCACAAGAUUUUUGCAUUGUGAUAGAAACAAAGAUUGAAGCCCUCUUAGACGUUGAAUUGAUGAUGGUAUCUCUCUUAUGGCGGUUCCAUCUAAAUAAAGCUUUCUCAAUCUCUCCAUAUCUUGCACGAUUUCUGGAAAGCUCUCUAGUUGUGAACAGCCAGAGCAGGAGAGAGCUGCAAGGGAUUUGAAACCGAAAAUGCUACUGGGCAGACUCGUAAGAUUUUUGCAAUCCCGCAGACAUAAACUAUCAAGUUCCAAGGGAUUCUCCAUAAUGGGUACUUCAUUCAUAUCACUUCCCUUAAAACACCGCUUCCGUCGGCAUGUCACAUCCUGUUGGCAUUCACUGCAUAUUCUAACAUCUGCAUCCUCUGUCUGUAUCGUUAGUGGAUGGCUUUGUUGAAGGUCUUGGGAGUAUAUAAGGCGGACUCCGCACUCCUUUACUUUCAAGGCUUUCUCAGAAAUAUUGAAAAAGUCCUGAAAUGAAGUCCCAAUGAGAGUCCAUUGAUCAGAGUGAAACCACUCCUGAAUAGCCGCCUUGGAAUAGCAAACCACCCACAUUUGACCUGAUACACUCUCAUUGUCUUCGUCCUUGCCUUCUUUAUAGCAAAAACAAUUGGAUUCAAACAGGGAAAGAUCUAUCAUUCCAACUCCAUCACCAUGGACACUCAAAGAACACUUCAGGCUACAAGAAUGCGUAUGUUCAUAUUCAUUCUUACUAAAAGAUCCAGCCACAGAUUUAUCAUCUGUUUCAUUCUCCCAUGUAUGAGCAGAUUCAUCCUCAGAUUUAUCGUCUGAUUCACUCUCGGACCCAUGUGCAGAUUCCUUUCCGGGUAUGUCCUCAGAUUCAUCAUGAAGUGGAACAUGAACACAGUAUAUAGCAAAUCCCAAAAACUCAUUAUUUUGGUACCAAUUAGCUCUGUUGUCACCAAAUAUCCAUCUCUACGAUACAUCAUCCAUUCUGGAAUUCCAUCACUUCUGGGAAGAACAAUACAAAUUCCCUUCCCAUGGUAGGAAGAAUCGCUAAAACUAGUGCGUUCCCAAUCCUGCACCAAAACACCAUGUAAAUAUAGAGUCUGCAUAAAACAAGUCUGUGACAUGAAAAUUAUACCUUUGCCCAACUGAAGCAAUUGACCAGAGAAUGCAAUGGCAAAAACGGGGCUCUUGAUGAAGUGCAAUUUGAACCAUGGGCAUCUAAAAGCCGUAGACUUGAUGGAAGCUCUGGAAUUUGUUCAAGAUUGUUGCAGUGACUAAGUUAAGGGCUUUCAGCCUUGAAAGCUGAUUGAUGGUAGCAGGUAUGCAACUGAAAUGGCCCCCUUCCAGAUUUAGUUUCUGUAAUGAUGAUAAAUGGCAAAUAUCACUAGGAAUUCCUCCUUCCAUUAUGUUGCAGUUUCCUAGGUCCAAUACUUCCAAUGAUGAUAAGUGGCAAAUAUGAAUAGGGAUUUUGUGGAGCUUUGAACAGUCUUCAAGUAGGAGAGUUUGAAGACCAUUUAGAUGUGAAAUUGAUGAUGGUAAGUCCAUUAUAGCUAUUCCACUCAAAUCAAGCACCCUUAGCUUUCCCAUAUUGCCUUUGAUUUUGGGAAAUCUCUCUAGCUUUGAACAGCCAUUGCAAGACAAAGUUUGAAGGUGUUUCAACUUGUAAAUGCCUCUUGGAAGAAGCUCCAGGUUUACACACCCUGCCAGAUUCAAGGGAAAAAGAAAAACCAAGUUAGUUUUAGUAAUUAUAAUACUGCUGCACCAAACUUUUAAGUACCGUUGUACAACCUUCUAGAGUUAGAAUCUCCAAGUUUGGCACACUUGAGAAGUCUGGGAUUUUGAUGAGAUGAACAGAGUAACUGAGAUCAAUAACCUUCAACUUCUUAUGAAGCUAGAACAAAAUAUUUUUUUUUCAAUAGAUAAGUUUACAUAAACAAUGAAAAUUAAUAUAAAAAAAGUGUAACUAAAUAAUAAUAAUAAUACCUUAUUCCCUCUCCAAAGUUGCUUUAUAUUGUUGUUCCUUAGUAAGAGUUCAACAAGGUUCUUUGCAUGAAAAUUCAUUGGCAAAUACUCUAAAGGGUAUCCAUCCCAAUAAAGAUAUGUUAACUCAUGAGAAGAAAAUUCAAAAUCUUUUGGAAGAUGGUCUUUAAGAAAUAGCUUUCUAUGAAGGCUACUGUAGACCCUCUAUUUUGUCCUCCUAGCAUAUGUCUUAUCAGGUAUUUGUUCGAUACUUUACAGCUUCCCUGGUGACCCAUUACUACUCGCAUAGCCUAUCUUUUCUAAGUCACAUCGGGGACUUUGGUUGAGGGGUUCAUUUAAUCCCAUUAUGACUCUUGGCAGCCCUAAUUUAGACUUAGGCUCACUUAGCCACCUUUGGCCCAUUAGGCACCACCUUAGACACCUUAAACCCACUUAGGCACCUUAAGUCCACCUAGGCACCACCCUAGGCCCAUUAGAUACACCCAAGGUCCAUUAGACAUUCUUUGCAUGGCUUGAGUUGCUCACAUGAUUGCAUGGUUGCAUAGAUUGCAUGACACUUUACUAUUAUUAUUAUUAUUAUUAUUAUUAUUAUCAUUAUUUACUUAAUUAUUUUGUUAAUUUAAUUUGUUUAUUUAUUUUAUAAUUUUCUAAAACACCUUUGGAUUCAUUCAUUAAGUCUAAUUUUCUUUAUGUUUUUGUAGAAAAACUCGCCAAAGAACUCAUCACUGGAGAGAAAAAGGAAGGUUGAAAACGUGUAUUGGCAAGGAUAUUCAGGCGUGAGUCUUUCGGGAAAUAGAGGAUAUUCAGUUGGAAAAAGAAAGAGGAAUUUUCAUGUGUGAUUAUGGAAAGGAAAUAUUCAGCGGGUUGAAGGAUGGAUUCAAGGUGGUUGGAAGAGGAGCGGAGUAUGGAAGGAAAUGAACUAAGAAGGCAAGCAAGUAUGCACCCAUGCAUGUGUUGAUUGUGCUUCUGAUGGAAGGAAAUGAACGAAGAAAGAAAAUUACCAAAGCUGUUUUGGCAUGGAAAAAGGAAAGGUUCAGUGUGUAUUUGGACGGAAUAAAGACUAUGUUCAGGAAGGAGAGUCCUGAUGAUGCUGGACUGACGUGGAUGAUUGAGGCUCUCCGGGCUGGUGAGUUGUCUUCCCAUGUUGGCAGAGUCCUGAAAGAGAUGAGGUGAGAUUAAAGAUGGGAGAGAAGAUCAGGUGGAGGUGUGGAAGAAAGGCAUUGGAAAACUGUGGUUCAUUGGAUGAAUACGAGAAGAAAACAACCGAGUGGGUUUGAAAAGCUUGGGUUUCUUUCAAUUGAUUGGAAUGGGAGACACAAGCUGGUGGUCUUUUGGGGGGGCAUUCUGUUUAUGACCCGGAGCAUUCUGGAGAGAGGAGCUAGAGGAUCAAGAAAGACAACGGUUCUUCUCUUUCAGGAUGGUUUUCAAUCUUUGUUUCUUUUAACGUUGAAAAAUGGCUUUGAGUGUGAGGCCACUUUACCUUCCUCUCAGAAUGAUGGCCUCUCGUUUCUAUACAUAUCCUUCCUCUCCCAUUCUCGUUUUGAUCAUUCCUCGUGGGUUCUGUUUGGUUUCCAAGAAGAAAGUGAAGGAAUAGCACGCUGGUGAGGAAGAUUGAUGCGCCAACCGCAGAACAAAGGGAGAUCUCGACCACGGGAGGAAAAUGGGGGUGGCAUGUCAGAUUUCUCCAGGAAUACGCCCCCAUCAGAAUUUUGGAAGAACAGACAUGCACCAUCAGUUUUCUUCAAGGAUGGCGGACAUGCUGGGGUGGGAUCAGACUCUGUUAUGGAUGCCAUUCAACAAAGAAACCAGCCACAAGAGGUCUCUUUCACACACUCAGUACGCUGUCAAAGAACGGGAAGGCUACCAAUCGGUCCUAGAGAGGAUUGAGGACUGAUCAUAUUGUUCUUUGAGUGGAGAAUGAACAUUCAGCAUGGGUUUGGAAAAAAACAGUAUUGUAACUCAGACGUUUAUGAAGGUUUGUGGAAAGAGGGAGUACAUGAAGGUUGUGGUAAGUAUGCUUGGAAUUCGGGAAACAUUUAUAUUGGAAAUUGGAAAAGGGGCUGCCACUUUGAAGAUCCACAACACGCACUCCACUUGGAAAAGCGGUCCACAAGGGAGACCUUCGCGGGCUGCAUCCUUGGAUCUGCACAUGCACUAUAGGAGAGAGGGCGUGACCAUCCAAAAUGAGGAAAAGAGAUUUUUAUUAAUCUCCAUGGGCGCACUAUGAGUUUGAUGAAAAGAAAAGUGACAGAAUUCAAUUUUUUUUUUUUUGGAACACAACCGUACAGUGGGGAUUCUCCAAGGCUGCCACUUUAGGGUGAAAUUUUUUUUUUUGAAAGAAAAGUGGCAACAAGCUGCUACUUUAGGGUGAGUUUUUUUUUGAAAGGAAAGUGGCAGCAUGCUGCUAGGGUGAUUUUUUUUUGAAAGGAAAGUGGCAGCAGGCUGAUACUUUAGGGUGAGAUUUUUUUUAAGAAAAGUGGCAGCAGAUUGCCACUUUAGGGUGAGAUUUGUUUUAAAAAAAAAAAGUGGCAGCAGGUUGCACUUUGAGGGGUGAGAUUUUUUUGAAAGAAAAAUGGCAGCAGGUUGCACUUUUAGAUGGUGAGAUUUUUUGAAGGAAAAGUGGCAGCAGGUUGCAUUUUAAGGGGUCCACGCCUCAAUUUCCAUAAAGAUCUUCAUGGUAUCUUCAAGAGAACCAUGAACGCCACUGAUCCCCAAAGCGAGUAGGCUGCAUCUUCCAAAGGUAAGUGAGUUUCCUUGUUCUUGAGUUUUUGAUUUCUUUUUUAUCCAUUAGUUUAUUAGUUUUUUUAGAUUGAAAAUUAGAGCUUUGUUUGCUAAUUUUUUACUUUAUUAAGUUUUCGAGUCUCUAAAGUUUUAGUCGAUUAAUUUAUUUGGUUUUAUGUCAUCAUCAUCUUGUUUUUAUUUAAUUUUAGUUCAUGGGUUCGUCCUAAUUAAUUCGUGUGAUGCCUUAAAAUUUUAAUGGAUUAAUUUAUUUGAUUCAAUGUCAUUAUCAUCAUGUUAUUUUAUUCUUUUUUUAUUUUCAUCUUAGUUGAUUCAUGUGAUGCUUUAGGUUUUUAGGUGAUUAAUUCAUUUGGUUCUAUAUCAUUAUCACUAUGUUUAUUAAUUUCAGUUAUUUUUUUUUAUUGAUCAUAUUCGGUUUAUGAGUCUUUAGAAUUUUAAUUAUCUAAUUUAUCUGACCCCUUGUCAUUAUAUCCAUGUUUUAAGUGUGUUAAGCUCUAGUUCCUGAUUGAUCCUUACUCAGUUCGGAUGUUUUAGAAUUGUAAGUUCUUAUGGUACUAUAUUUAACAUUACCUUAAUCAUAGGUUUGUGUGUUCGACUAAUCUGAUUUAAUUAUUGAUUAUAUCCUCAAUUUAUGCGCUUGACUAAUCUUUGUUUGUUCUUGAUUGAUAUCUGGUUUACUUUAUUUGAUCUAAGGCCAUUUAGUUAUUUUCUUUGACAUUUGUUCGUUUAUAUUUAAUUCAUGGAGGCCAUCGGAAAAUUGUGAAGAUUGGCCUCCAUUCACACCAUUUCAGUUUGCUUGGUUGCCAAAAAUUUUACUUUAUGAUUUUGUUUCCGUUUGUUUUGCUUGGUAUAUUGUUUCUCAUACGUUUUAUUGUUCUCAAAUUAAUUUCUCUUAUUUUAAAAUAUAACACUUUUCUCGAAAGAUUCCUUUAAAAAUCUAUUUUUAAAAAAUUCAUCUAGAGUUCUUAGAAUCAAAAUCUCGUCUUCUUAAAUAACAUGCAACCAUGUUUUGAUCGGUUCGCAUCUUUCUUAAAUUUCAAAUAAAAUUACAGUUUUAAGUAAGACAUGAAUCCAAGCUUGUGGUCCCAAACAAAUGGGAUAAUUCCAGGCUAGAUUUGUGUAUAUCAAUCGGGGAAUUGGUGAAACCCCUACAUAAAGAAAAUUUUCAAAACUCAUCUUUGUUGCCCCCUUUGUUAUUUGAUGAACUCAUGUCUAUUUAUUUUUUUAGGAAUUAUAUAGAAGAUAUAAGUGAUAAUCAAUGGUUUCGUAUACUGUGAUAAUUUUUUUUUCUAUGCUAAUUAGAUAACAAGCAUGCUAGGACUUCUUAUUUUAUUGUUUGUUAUCUAACCUCUCAUGUCUUGUGGAAGCACAUUACAAGUUAUCUAUGCUAUCUAGGUACGUCUCCUGUCACCUACCUUCUAAAUUUUGUAAAUAUGAUUGUCAUUAUGAAUUAUACCUAUGUUUGAGAAUGCUUGGGAUGUCUUGAUAUUUGCUACAUUGUUUGAUCAUUCAUGAUAAAACGCAUGUUGAGUGAUAUAUUAUCUAAACUAACCAUUGAUGUUUUAUGAUAGCACUUAAGAAGUGGUCCAGGUACGCAUCCUAACUCUCCUUUAUGAGCGUGAUUGGUUUUUCUUGUUUGGCAUGCUAGUUUUGAGAUCACCUACCUAGGUACCCUCAAUUAAUCAAUUGAUUGCCACAUUUCCUUCAACAUAGUCAAUAGAGACUUUUGUAGGGCUUAGAGGGGUGCUACCUUCUAGAGGUACUUUCCCAAUAAGUAACCUGAUCCCCGACCCUAGACUCGGGUUUUUCAAAGACAUGCCUUUCCAAAAACUAUGGAGUCAUAGGGUUUUAUUUCUUGUUUUAUUUUCCCUUUAAAAUAAAAUAAAAUAAGUGGCGACUCCGACUUUUCCAAAAACAAAAUUUUCACCAAAUAAAAGCGAGUCUCGCUGAUCGAGUGGGGGCGCACGUGAGAAAUGCGGGUCCAUAGCUACGGAUUUUAAGCAAUCUAAGUCUAUUCAUCUCUUUGAAAGAUUCUCUAUUCAGAUGUGAUGGAUUAAAUUUACAUCUAUCUAGGAAUAGUCCUUCAAUUGCUUGUGCCCCCUGAAAAAUAUAAGACUGUAAGUGAAGCACAAGAUGUAGAAAACUUAAAUGAGUCAUAUAUAUGGUAAUUAUUUUCUUAAAAAAUAAUAAUAGUAUUGAAGCUUGCAUACAGACACAUUAAACUAAGUUCAAGCAUUUGACUCUUACCAUAUUUCUUGUUAGCACAUGAUAGGCAUCAGAAUCCCACAAUCUACUCCUUCUUCCAAGGUUUUCAAGACAUUCUUGACGAAUAAUUUCCCAACCCAUCUGUUGUAUUAAAUCAUGCAUAUCUAGCAUGUUUUUUGAAAUGGUUAAGAGGCAUCUAUCAUCUAGAGUUGUUAUUCCAUACUCUGCAUAAGGACCCAAUAUUCUUGACACAUAAUCUUUGUCAUUCCCUUUGAAAAAACAUGCAACAUCCAAAAAUAUUCCCUUGUCUACAUCAUCAAGUCCAUCAAAACUUAUUCUAAGCACAUUGUGAAUUUCCAUGUGGGGUAUUGUUUUUAGCUUACACAAUGCACUUUCCCAUUCACUUCUUGUCUUUCCAAAAAGAGACCCACCUAAAACUUUAAGUGCUAAUGGAAGGCCAUUAGCAUAAUCUAUGAUAUUGUAUGAGAGGUUUUUAUAAACUUCUUUGGGAAGAUUGUGUUGAAAGGCCCACAAACUAAAGACUUCAAUAGCUUCUUUCUUAUUUAAUUUUGAAACCUCGUAUGAUAUAUCUACUCCAUAUUGAGCAAGCACUUGUUUGUCUCUAGAUGUAAUGAUGAUUGUACUUUUGGCCUCAAACCAAUCCUUCUCUUCAGCCAGAUAUUCUAGUUGCUUCAACUCGUCUACAUCGUCAAAAAUAACAAGAACUCUAUUGGAGCUGAGACACCUCUUUAUCAUACUAAUUCCUUCAUCAAUAUUGUUUACUUUAAAAUUUUUCCCCUUUAGGAUACCAUGAAGAAGUUCUUGUUGUAAUUGAAGUAUAUCACCUUUGGAUCUCUCUCUGAUAUUUUUAAGAAAGCUACUACCAUCAUAUUGAUAUGAGAUCUCAUUAUAAAUAGCCUUAGCGAUAGUAGUCUUACCAACCCCACCAAUUCCACAUAUCCCAACCACGCUAACCUUAUUCAAGUUAGUGUUCAUCAAUGAUUUCAAUUUUUCCAAAUGAACACUAACUAUGUUCUUUCCCACACUUAAAGGUUGAUGGUUUAAUCUUCUAAUGAUUGUAUUAACAAUUUCUUUGACAACCUCAGUCUCAUACCUAUCAAUUAUAUAAAUUAAGUACAAUGAUGAGUUAGAAUGAGUUGCAAAAUAUAAUAAAUGUACAAUAAAUUUAGUUGUGUAUGGUAGUGUCCAAUAUUACUGAAUUAGUAGCAAUGGAAUGCAAAAGAAAGGGGCCCUGAAGCCAAUUUACUUACAUAUUUAAGCUUCAAAAUUUGCAAGUAUCAAACUACUAAUGUGCCAAGUUGCAAAUUUUCAAUACUCUUACUGUUGGACCAUUGUUUAGGACUCCUCUCUGAACAACCGAAUGACUUCUUUCAACUUUUAUUUCACAAAGAAGUUGCUUAUGAUUCCUCAAUUUCACUUGUCUUUAGGUUCUAUUAACUUAUCAAUACUCUUACGAUUGUUGCAAGGACUUCAUUUUUAGUCUGCCAAUUAAUUUUGCAUUUCCAUAGAGGAAUGAGGAAACAAGUGAAUGUAGAAAAUUUCAUGAUUUGCUUGAGGAUUAUGAACUUAAAUAUGAUAGAAGAAGUGUCAAAGUACACUUUAUAGAAAAUUAAAAGUUAAAUUUUGAUACUUGUACUUUUGGACCAACACAGGGAAAAAUUGAAGUUAGAAUUUGUUAACAUUUUCAUAUUCAUGAGGAACUAAAGCUUCAUUAUGAGAAUAAACUUACAAGUAAAAUCAUUCCAAAAGAGAAUGAUAGGAAUGUUAAAGGGCAGAGUUUAGGGUAAAUUAAUCCAAACGAGCUUGAAAGGUCAAAGGGACAAAAUUGUUACUCCCUUCAAACAUAAUAAAAAUCCAUCAUGAAGAUUAUAGAACAAACUUAGCAUUGAUAUUUUUGCAGUGAGUAUGCAUUGAGUGCAUGGGAAUUAAGACUUUUUGAAGAAUAAACACAAAAAAAAAAAAAAAAACAAGCAAAAAUAUAAAUUGAAACUUAGGAAAUCGAGGGAGAUGCAUGGGAAUCCUUGCAGUAAGUGAGCAUGGAAUUUAAAGGGAUUAUGCAAUCACUGUGCCUUAUAGCAAAAUAGGAUAUUGAUUAAAAGGAUUUAAAAAUUGCACAUAAAAUCCCUAAAGAAAUAUUCAAUGAAAAGAAAUAUCAAAUAACUUCCAUGUAUUGAAAAUUGCACAUGUAACCUCCUUUUGAUACGUUAUUAGUUUUUACUAACUUUUAUCCAAAAGUGUUUGAUGUGAGAUUGAAAUUAAAAAAUUAGUUAAGGGCAUUUUUGUCCAAAAGAAGUUAUAUUUCAUAUUUUUGAAAAAUGAAAGUUAUUCUUCCGAAUUUGCAUUUUCAAUAUUCCAUUUAAACAGAUAACCCAUUUCUACACAAGAGGUGAAGAGAAGCAUACUUACUGGUCAUCCACAUGGCAUCCACAUAGAUUAGCUGCUUUUCUCAAGGCAAUCCUCCACUUUUGUACCAUCUCUUUCUUUUCUUGAUUUGCAUCUCUUUCAUGGCAGGCAAGUGCGUCUCCGAAACUUCCCUUUUGGUUUCGUACAUCAGAUGGAUCCACAUGGUAGAAAAUUGGUAGAACCAGUGAUUCCUUUUGGCUCUUGCGUUCAAUGAUCUUUACAAGUUCAUUUAAACACCAUCUGGAGUAAGCAUAAUUUUUUGAGAAAAUAAUAAUAAAAAUCCUCGAUUCUUCUAUAGCUCUUAAGAGAUCAGAUGCAAUAUCUCCCCCUUUCUCAAGUUCUUCAUCAUCUUUGAAAGAAUGAAUCCCAUAUGCAGUCAAAGUGGUAUACAGAUGAUCAGUGAAAUUUUUGCGAGUGUCACCACCUCUAAAACUCAAGAACACAUCAUAAUUACGAGAAAUAGAAGUAGCAGAAGAGGCUCUACGGGUGCUGGAAGAAGCCAUUUUUGGAUGGCUUGAACCAAAAUUACCAGGGAGUUUGGAAUCCAAGAAAAUCAGAGAGAGGGUCCUUGGAUGCUCAAUGACUAUUGGCUCCAAACCUCUUCACCAUGAACAAAAAUGCAAGCUGGGAGGGAGGUUCAGCUAAAAAGGCUCAUCUGCAAUCAUAAAAGAAAAAAAAAACAUAUAUGAAGCCUCUUUGACAAAUUUCUUUGUAUAUAAAUUCUAAGAGAAACUCACACAUAUUUUACCUCUUGGUUGGGGAAGAUCCUUUCUCCAUUCCCUUUGUGUUGGAGACUGCAUUAAGGGAUGCAGAGAAGAUGGUGGGGAAGGUGUUGAAGAAGAGGCGGUGGGUAGCAGAGGUCUCGUUGACUAGUGGAUGGAAUGGAGUUGAGGAAUUCUAAUAUUUUGAAAUGAAAUUUCAUGGAAGGUGUUGUUUUUAGUUUUUGUUUCCACAAUAUUGGUGCGGCAGCUAGAGGACAUAAUUAUGAUGAUGAGAAAUCCCUAUUUAAGACUAAAAAGUAAUGCUUUUCUUUUUAAUUAAUCAUAUACUUAAUUUUUGUCCUUCCAUUUCAUAUUCUAAUUGUAAUUUGUUUUAUUUUUGUCUCUUGUAUUUUGAUAAUAUUAUUUUUUUAUAGAUAUCGAUUGAAAAAUUUUGUCAUCUUUUUAUGAAAUUUAUUAGAUUUUUUUUAUUAAAAAUAUAGAUUUUUAUAAAUAUAUUAGUAAAUCGGUUUUAUAUAUAUAUAUAUAUAUAUAUAUAUAUAUAUAUAUAUAUAUCAUAAUAUAACUGAAAAAUAUUAAUGAAACAAAAAACAAUUAAAAAUUAUAUAAAUGUCUAUAACAAUUCUAAGAAAUGAAUAGAAAAAAUAAUAAUAAAUAUUUUGAUGUUGUUUUAUUAAAAAAAUUAAUAUAUAUAUAUAUAUAGAUAUAUGAUAUAAUUUAUAAUAUUUAGAAUUUAAAAAUAAAUUUUAUAUAAAUGUAUCUAAUUCGAAUGUAUCUCAUGACAUAAAAGGAAUGAUGAUAAUUAAAUUAAUAUAUUUGUAAUAAUUUUAUUUAUAUACAUAAAAAACAUAUAUUAUAUUUAUAAAUAUGAAUAUAUAAAAAUGAGAAUCUUAAUAUAAUAUACAUAAAUAAAUAUUGUAUAUAUAAGUCAAACAUAACAAUAUAAUAUUAACAAAGUUAGGUUGGUGGCGUGCUGCUCUCACUCUAUGCCUGAGGUCAUGGGUUUAAAUAAUUUAUUUUUGAACCAUCGGCCAGCCGUAGCACUUAAAGUUUAAAUCUUUUCUUAAAGGUAAAAGGUGGAAUGCCACAUGACAUCGAACCUCGUAGAUCAUUGGGCAGGUAGCGAAGUUUGAAUGCGCAUGGUGGGCUGGGCCGACGUGGGCCGAGAUAUUUCCGAUACCUUCCAUCCUUUAUCAUACCCAAUAAAUUAUGCACGCAAAAACCUCCCAUAUAAAAUUUUAGAGAAGAGAUUUCCUUGCAUUUCCAACCAUUUAAUUAUUUUUAAAUACACCUUUGAGAAAAGGGGUUUGCUCUGACAACCCAGGCAGGAAUUCCUUCUUGUAGGUGUGCUUGCCGCUUGCCGCUUGCCGCUUAUCUCAACCCGAACAACCCCAGAGCACAGUUAGACCAACCAGCACUAACACAUUUGACAUUCAUUCCAGAGCCUCCUUAUUUGCUCUCAAAUCAUUCCAAAGAUGGUGUUAUAUAAGGAAUUUCUUAAAAAUGUGCUUGUCAAAGUUAUAUCAAAUUAUCCUUUGUUUGAUACCAAUAAGAAUUUAAAAAUCUCUUAACUUGAAGAUAUUGAAAGGAUUUUGUGGACCCCGCAUUUCGGCUCAUGCGUUUCCCACUCGAAAGCGAGCUCGAUUUUUAUUUGAAAAAUUGAUUUUUUAUUGAUUAAGAAAACUGACUUGGAGUCGCCACUUAUUUUUGUUUUAUUUUUAAAAGGGUAAACAAAAUAAGAAAGAAAAACCCUAAGUGUGACUCCUUACUUUGGAAAAGGUGGUCUGUGAAAAACCGGAUCGGGUUCGGGGGUCAGGUUACUUAUCGGGAAGGUACGGUAAAGACCGUAGCACCCCUCUAAGUCCCUAAAGUCGGGUCUCUACUAAUAAAAUGAAGCAAUCAAUGGCAAUUGAUGAGGGAAUCAAUGAAUACUCAGAGUGAUCCUGCACAUGUGGGAAUCUAAACAUGCAUACAGAAAAUGACCCAAGCGGGUGUGGAUGCGUACCUGGGCAGUGAUCCAUAAAGCGCUAUCAAGAAGUGAGGUUAGCGCACAAUUAAAGAAUAAUUUCGAGCAUGUCAUAGAGCGAAAUAAAAUCGAUCAUGCAUGACAAUUAAAUCAAACAAACAAUCAAUCAAUCAUAAGGGAAUCACAUAUGUUGGGCCCCCACCAAAACCCGAUUUAUAUUGCAUGAAUUAAUCCUACGAAUCCCAUUAUUUCGGAAUUAUGAAGAUUCAUCAUUCUUGCUUGUGUAAAAAUCAAAAGAAAUAGAACAUUAUUUAAAAAUCGGAGUGAAAUUAAAACUAUUCGAGAGAAAACUGGGUUUUUGAGAUUUAUUUGGAAAUUAGAGUUUCGAAAAUUAUUUGAAGAUUGGAGUCUUGAAAAAUUAAAUUUAAGAAUUGGGAUUUUGGAUAUUAAAUUUGAAAGAAAUUAGAAUUUUGGAAAUCGGAAAUUAAGUUCAGAAAUUGGAAUUUUGAAGAAUGUUUAAAAUGGAAUUUCAAAAUAAAUAACUAAAAUAAUAAUAAUUAAAUAGAUUAAUGUGAAUAUCAGAAUUUUCAGAAUUAGAAAUUAAAAUCGGAAGUUGGAAAUUUUAAUGAAUUGUUUAAAAUUGAAUUUUAGAAUAAACAAAUGAAAUAAUAAUAAUAAUGAAAAUAAUAAAGAUUAAAUAAAUAAAUAUGGAAAUUGGAAUUCCGGAAAUUAGAAAUUGAAUUUAGAAAUCGGGAUUUUGAAGAAUUACUUAAUGAUGGAAUUUUAAAUAAAUAAAUAAAUAAACAAUAAUAAUAAUAAUAAUAACAAAAAUAAUGAUUGAAUAAAUACAUAUGGAAAUUAGAAUUCCGGAAAUUAGGAAAUUGAGUUUGAAAAUCGGGAUUUUGAGGAAUUGCUUGAUGAUAGAAUUUUAAAUAAAUAAAUAAAUAACAAGAAUAAUGAUUGAAUAAAUAAAUAAGGAAAUUAGAAUUCCGGAAAUUAGGAAAUUGAGUUUGGAAAUCGGGAUUUUAAGGAAUUGCUUGAUGAUAGAAUUUCAAAUAAAUAAAUAAAAUAAUGAUGAUUUAAAUAAAUUGAUGUGAGAAUUUAAAAUUUCGGAAAGUGGAAUUUAAAUUUAGAAAUCGGGAUUUUGAGGAAUUGUUUGAAGAUUGAAUUUUAAAAAUAAAUAAAUAAAUAAAUGAAAUAAUGACGAUUAAAUAAAUUGAUGUGAGAAUUAAAAUUUCAGAAAUUGGAGUUUAAAUUUAGAAAUCAGAAUUUUGAGAGAUUAUUAAAGGUUGAAUUUUAAAAACGAACAAAUAAAUAAAUAAAUAAAAUAAUGACGAUUAAAUAAAUUGAUGUAAGAAUUAAAAUUUCGGAAAUUGGAAUUUAAUUUGGAAAACGGAAUUUUGAGAGAUUAUUAAAGGUUGAAUUUUUAAAAAAUGAACAAAUAAAUAAAUAAAUAAAAUAAUGAUGAUUAAAUAAAUUGAUGUAAGAAUUAAAAUUUUGGAAAUUGGAAUUUAAUUUAGAAAAAGGAAUUUUGAAGAUUCUUAAAAGGUUGAAUUUUUAAAAAAUGAACAAAUAAAUAAAUAAAUAAAAUAAUGAUGAUUAAAUAAAUUGAUGUAAGAAUUAAAAUUUUGGAAAUUGGAAUUUAAUUUAGAAAAUGGAAUUUUGAAGAUUCUUAAAAGGUUGAAUUUUAAAAAUGAAUAAAUAAAUAAAAUAAUAAUGGAGAAUUAAAUUUUGAUAUUGAGAAUUAAAAUUUCGGAAAUUGGAGUUUAAAUUUAGAAAUCGGAAUUUCGAGGAGUAGUUUAAAGAUUGAAUUUUAAAGAUAAGCAAGUGAAUAAAUAAUGGUGAUUAAAUAAAUGGAUGUGAGAAUUAAAAUUUCGGAAAUUGGGAUCAAAUUCGGAAGUCAGAGAAUUAAGAUUGUUUAAAGAAGGAAAACUUGAAAUAAAUAAAUACAAUAAUAAUAACGAAUAUAAUGAUUAAAUGAAUGAACGAGAAUUUUGGAAUUUCUUCAAAUCGGAAAUUGAAUUUAAAGGUUGGAAAAUUGGAAUUGGAUAAGGAAGGAUAUUUUGAAGUAACUAAAUGGAAUAAUAUUAAUAAGAAUGAUAGUUGAAGUUUUUGAAAACUAGGUUUUAAAGAUUGGAGCUUUGGCAACUAGAUUAAAAUUUUGAAUCUUGACAAUUAACUUUGGAAAUUAAAAAAAAAAAAAUAUUCUAAAAUGGAAACUUUAAAAAUUAGAUUUAAAAAGAGAACUUUGGACAAUUAAACUAUGAGAAUAUGGAUUUUGAAAGUUAAACACUGGAAAAUUGAAAUAAUAAUAAUAAUAGUAAUAAUAACAACUUAAUAUUGAGAACUUGAUAUUGAGAAUAUGGAAUUUGGAUAAAUGAAUAAGCAUAUAAGUGAAUAAUAUAGUGUACGUGUGCAUGAAAUAAAAAAGAAUGAAUAAAAGAAACUAAAGGGCUUUAGAGAGGGGUUUAGGAUAAAGGAUAUGCAGAUUUGGGCCUUUAGGAAUGGACCUUGGGCUUUGAAAAGGGGCUAAGGGUUGGAAAUGGGCCUUGGGCUUCAUCUUCAUCCUAGUUCCUCCACAGCCCAACAGCAUCCCCUCCAGCUGGGCAACUCCUUCAGGAUAUCUCCACCAGCACCGACGUAGAGAGAGACUUCACCACCGGUGGCAAGAUGGAGAGAGGAGCCAUGGCGGCGGUUCGGCGGCAACCUGAAGGUGCAGCCGUCAAGGUGGCUGGUGCGAGUGCUCGCCUGGCCGGGGCGGGUGGUGGCGGCUGGCGAGGUGAGCAAGCACCUCGCCGACGCGGUACACGCAGCGAGAAGGAGCGGGGAGGGGCGGCACGCGUGCAUGGAAGGUUGUGAAGCUCCCCAGGCCUCCGACAAACGCGUCUCUGAUGAAGACGGUAGGAGCGAUGACGGGUAUGAGGAGGAAGAUGGUGGAGGCGACUUGCAUGUUUGGACCCCAUGUGUGCAGAAGGGCGGCUUGGGGAGUCCUCGUGGAGAUGGGUAUGGCGGUUAGAGAGAGAAAAGGUGGCAAAUAUACAUGGGUAUGAGAUGGGAGAGAUAUAGGUGACGCAGCGGACUAGACGAUACAAAUCAGGUUUGAACUGAGGAUUCGGUGAAUUGGAAACUUUAACUAAAAGCUACAGGGGACUUUCUUAAGCUAUGCAUGAUACAAGGGAAUGAGUUGUGAGUUGUUGAGGGCAGCGAUGGAGUGAGAAUCUGGUGAAACAUGAAUAUAUCUAGCCUCAUUUCAAAUAUCAUCCAUGGGCCGAUACAGGUGAAUGAUAAAGAGCAUCAACGUGAUUCAUAACGAACCCAUGUACUCGAUGGCCUCUAAAGAAAAUCACAAAAAUGAGAUAAUAGCAUAGCAAACAUACCCAAGCAGUGAAUGAAAGCUUAAACGAUCGAGACAAGUGCAUGAAAAAUAAUACGAUAAGAAAAUAAUGAACAGAAAACCCACAAAACUUAUACCUGGGAGUGCUCUUUCUUAGCGAAAACCAAUCAGAAAAACCAUGAGUCUCCCCCGGUUCAGCAACUCUGCCUCCCUCCUAGAUAGCUCACUCUUUUCUUCUUUCCUUUUUUCCGAAACUCUGUUUUCCUUUUCUCCUUUUUUUUAGCUUCCUCUCCAAGCCAUCUCUGUACCCCAUCCCAUCUGCCGUCCCAGAGCCUCUCCUAUCAGUCUCCUUUUUGCUACCCCAAAAACAGCCCCUGACCAUCAUGUCGAGCGGCUCCGGAAAAAAGGUAGGAAAAAGAAAAGAAAUAAAAUAAAUCCAAAGAAAACUCUCUGCCUCCGGGGGGUCUACAAAUAUGCCCCUCUUUGAUAGAGUUCACGAGUGUAAGGAACGUGAACACUGGAGUGAAAAAGAAGUGUGAAAAGCGAGUGAAAUGAAGUGAACUCUAUCGAAGAACAAAGAAAGACCCCCGAACCCAAAAGGUACAAGUAGAACACAAACUCACUCAAGGCUCUAAAAUUCUAAGAGGCUCAAGGCACCUCUAAAGCUGCAUCAAGGACCCAGACUCCCUCUAAGAUGUCUCUAAAAGUGACCCAAGAGAUCAACAUCAAAGAUGAGUAACGGUCGAACCACCCUGGAGUACGAGCAAGAAUGCGCCCAAAGGGGACUACCCUAUGUGGACUACGAGAUGAAUAGGCGAUAAGCGCAGGAUAACGGAGUGAGGAAAAAAACCGAGGAAGAAUGUAAAACCAUGAAGGCAAGAUGCGCAAAGCCAGCGGAUAUGAACGUCAGGAGUUGUGACUCUGGAUGACAAGGCCGACUCUAAACACUUAAACCAAGAAAAUAAAAGCUCUAGAAGCCAAACCAAAAAGCGAACCCUAAAAGCUAAACUGAAAAAAUAAUAGUUCUGGAAGCUAAAACAAGACGAUAGUGAUGGCUCUGGAAGCCUAAACGAGGCGACAGUGAUGGCUCUGGAAACCUAAACAAGAUGACGGUAAUGGCUUUGGAAGCCUAAACGAGACGACAGUGAUGGCUUUGGAAGCCAACCAAAAAGCGAACUCUAAAAGCUAAACUGGAAAAAUAAUAGCUCAGGAAGCUAAAACAAAACUAACUCUAAAAACUAAACUAGAAAAUAAUAGCUCUGGAAGCCAAACCAAAACGACAGUGAUGGCUCUGGAAGCCUAAACGAGGCGACAGUGAUGGCUCUGGAAGCCUAAACGAGGCGACAGUGAUGGCUCUGGAAGCCUAAACGAGAUGACAGUGAUGGCUCUGAAAGCCUAAACGAGACGACAGUAAUGGCUCUGGAAGCCUAAACAAGACGAUAGUAAUGGCUCUGGAAGCCUAAACGAGAUGACAGUGAUGGCUCUGGAAGCCUAAACGAGAUGACAGUGAUGGCUCUGGAAGCCUAAACGAGAUGAUAGUGAUGGCUCUGGAAGCCUAAACGAGAUGACAGUGAUGGCUUUGGAAGCCUAAACGAGAUGAUAGUGAUGGCUCUGGAAGCCUAAACAAGAUGACAGAAAUGGCUCUGGAAGCCUAAACGAGACUACAGUGAUGGCUCUGGAAACCUAAAAGAGAUGGCAGAAAUGGCUCUAGAAGCCUAAACAAGAUGACAGAAAUGGCCCUGGAAGCCUAAACGAGAUGACAGUGAUGGCUCUGGAAGCCUAAACGAGAUGGCAGAAAUGGCUCUGGAAGCCUAAACGAGAUGGUAGUGAUGGCUCUGGAAGCCUACACGAGAUGGCAGAAAUGACUCUGGAAGCCUAAACGAGAUGGUAGUGAUGGCUCUGGAAGCCUAAACAAGAUGGCAGAAAUGACUCUGGAAACCUAAACGAGAUGACAGAAAUGGCUCUGGAAGCCUAAACGAGAUGACAGUGAUGGCUCUGGAACCUAAACGAGAUGGCAGAAAUGGCUCUGGAAGCCUAAACGAGAUGGUAGUGAUGGCUCUGGAAGCCUACACGAGAUGGCAGAAAUGGUUCUAGAAGCCUAAACGAGAUGGUAGUGAUGACUCUGGAAGCCUACACGAGAUGGCAGAAAUGGCUCUGGAAGCCUAAACGAGAUGGUAGUGAUGGCUCUGGAAGCCUACACGAGAUGACAGUGAUGGCUUUGGAAGCCUAAACGAGAUGGCAGAAAUGGCUCUGGAAGCCUAAACGAGAUGGUAGUGAUGGCUCUGGAAGCCUACACGAGAUGGCAGAAAUGGCUCUGGAAGCCUAAACGAAAUGGUAGUGAUGGCUCUGGAAGCCUACACGAGAUGGCAGAAAUGACUCUAGAAGCCUAAAAGAGAUGGUAGUGAUGGCUCUGGAAGCCUAAACAAGAUGGUAGAAAUGACUCUGGAAACCUAAACGAGACGAUAGAAAUGGCUCUGGAAGCCUAAACGAGAUGGUAGUGAUGGCUCUGGAAGCCUACACGAGAUGGCAGAAAUGGCUCUGGAAGCCUAAACGAGAUGGUAGUGAUGGCUCUGGAAGCCUAAACGAGACGACAAUGAUGGCUCUGGAAGCCUACCAAAAACUAACUCUAAAAGCUAAACUAGAAAAUAACAGUUCGGGAAGCCAACAAAAAAAAACUAACUCUAAAAGCUAAACUAGAAAAUAACAGCUCUGGAAGCCAACAAAAAAAAAACUAACUCUAAAAGCUAAACUAGAAAACUAAUGGCUCUGGAAGCCGAACCGAAAAUCUAGUUCUAAAUGCUAAACUAGAAGGCCCACAGGUGAACUAACAGUAGGGGAAUGCCUUAAACAAAGUAAACAAGGGGGAUGCCUCAAACAAGGCGACAGGAAAGGGGGAUGCCCUAAACAAACUGAAAGUAGGGGGAUGCCUUAAACGAACUAAAGGUAGGGGGAUGCCGUAAACAAAAGCGACAGUAAGGGGGAUGCCCUAAACAAAGUGACGAUAGGGGGAUGCCCUAAACGAGCUAAAAGCAGGGGGAUGCCCUAAACAAAGUAAAGGUAGGAGGAUGCCCUAAACAAACCUAAAGUAGGGGGAUGCCCUAAACAAAGUGAUGAGAACGGGGAAUGCCCUGAACAAAGAUGACAGUGGGGGAUGCCCCAAACGUAAAUGACAGUGGGGGGAUGCCCCAGACGUAAUGACAGUGGGGGGAUGCCCCAAACGUAAAUGACAGUGGAGGGAUGACCCAAACGUAAAUGACAAUGGGGGGAUGCCCCAAACGUAAAUGACAGUGGGGGGAUGCCCCAAACGUAAAUGACAGUGGGGGGAUGCCCCAAACGAAAAUGACAGUGGGGGGAUGCCCCAAACGAAAAUGACAGUGGGGGGAUGCCCCAAACGAAAAUGACAGUGGGGGAUGCCCCAAACGUAAAUGACAGUGGGGGGUUGCCCCAAUAGAAAAACGCUAAAAGGGGGUAUGCCCCAGUAUGACGACUCGCAAAGAUCAAGAAAUGGACUGAGUAAUGAGAAAGAUGUGCAAAACAACCGAUGUACUCAAAGACGGGGGUAUACCCCAGUGUGGCAUGCCACUGCAAAUCUCAAUCCGCUGGAAAUGGCUGAAAGGGACUCUACGAGUCUCAAACGACGCUCCGCUGAGAGCUCAGGAAUAAUGGUCAGUGAGGCGAAUACAAUAUAUCUCGAUCGAGUGAUGAAAACUGUAACGGAUACGUGAGAGAACGAUCGCCUCCAGGGCUAAAUGAAGGCAAUAUACCCCAGUAUGACAUCAAAUGUACCCAAUCUGUCCUGAUGACCCGAGAAUAACACCAAUGGGAUGCGUAACGGAUCUGAUAUGUACCCCUCUGAAAUGAUGACGCGGGAAAUCCAGGCACCAGAGACAACUCCAUCCAGGAAUCACGACUAUAUCAAAGGGUAUGAAUCUGGCUGAAUGACUCAAGAGAGGCUCCUCGGAGUAUCUAGACAAAAUAAAAUCAAACAUCGACCUGGCGUGUAUCUCAUAACCGUGGAUGAUCAUGUAAACCAGUGGGGAUCUAUAAAUCUCGAUCAAGAUGGGGAAUGUGCCCCAAUGUGGCAUCGAGAAUGCAAUACAUCAAAAAAUCAGAUGAGCUCAGGUCAUCCAUGCCUGGCUAGAUGGCUCUCGAUAGGCUCCACUAAGGAAUCAUCGUGAGGAUAGCGAAUAUAUCAUCAUCUCUGCAUACAUCUCGCCAAAUAAGGAUAAGCACGCGACUCCCUCAUGAUCUGUAAAUCUCGUCCGAAUCGAAAUAUGCCCCUGUAUGGCAUCGAAAUGUAUGAUAGGUCGGAGAUCAGAUAGCAUGGAAUCAUCUAUCCUCGAACAUGUGACCUCUGCGAAGAUCCAUAAAGAUCCUCCGAAACGGAAUAUGCCCCAGUAUGGCAUCAGGUGCGCGACAGGUCUGAAGAACAAAUGUCAUGAAAACAGCCAUCAUCGCACAUGUGAUACUGGUCAUCCGAAUCCAUAACUGAAUCAUGCACAUAUAUCCAAGAUGACCUCCCAGAUGGAGAGGCAUGAUGGCAUCCAAGCGUCGAGAAGUGCGGAACUAGCAGGAUGGAUCUCAGGGGCUCCGUAAGGUAACGACCAUGUCCACGUCUCAGUGAGCAUCCAGUAAGUGGUAAUGAUCGUGUAGAUCUGUGAGGAUCCAUAAACCUCCAAAUGAAAUGGGAUAUGCCCCAGUGUGGCACCAGAGGUAUGAUAGGUCAAAAAUCAGGUGACACCAAAUCAAUCGGCAUCAAACUCACGAUCCUGGUAAUCCGAACACAACUGAAUCAGACCUACACAUCAAAGAGGCGACUCCCAGAAGAAGAAGCAUGACAAUAUCUAAAUAUCAACCAGAUCUCAAUCACCUGUCCAAGUAGAGGCUGCUGAAGACGACAUCUGAUCCCAUGGCCUCAGGGUGGUCUUAAGACACGGGACGUAACGUAGGCCAAGGUGAUAGGGUGAUAGAAAUGAAAGAAAACUAGGCUCAAAUACCCAAUGAUCAAAACUCAUGCCCUCAUAUAUGAAAUGCAACAUGUAUAGUGAACCUCAUGAGCCAUGGACCUGAGGAUGCCUAAUGUGAAUAUGAUAUCGAUAAGGAGACAAAUGAAACAGGAUGAACUGAUAGUGAUAUGUGUAAUGAUGAUGCGAAGUGAGCAUCGAACCUGAGAUGGGUCGCUGUAAGGAGAGAAUGAGACGCGAAGGGAAUGAGAUGAAUCACAAGCAAUGAUAAAAACGAUAGCGAAACAAUGAAUACGUGAAGAAAAGUGGUGAUCGACCCAGAUCAAACAUGAAGUGAAGUCACAUCAAUAAUGAAUGUAAUGAUGGAAAGGACAAUGACUCGGAGUCCUUAGGAGAAGGUCACUCAUAUCUCUCACAAAUAGAUAUGACGAAGCAAUACAAAUAACAUGGGAUUUCAGAGAGCUCACAUACGAACUCCCAAUAACGAACAUACUCGAUAAAAAUGACCCCCAGACAUCAAUAUACAUACCCAAUGAUCGAGAAUACUAUGCACAUACACACAUGUGCUAAUAAUAAUAAUAAUAAUAAUUUUCUUUUUCUUUUUCUUUCUUUUUUCCUUUUUUUUUUUUUUUUUUUUUUUUUUUUUUUUUUUUUUUUUUUUUUACAUAUAUACAAAUGCUCGUACCCUGAACGUGAGCAAAUGAACCCCAAAGAUGAUAUCAAUAACAAAUGGACACACCCCCAAGUGCUAAGGUAACCAACAAACUCUCUCUAACAAGAUGACCUUCUCAAACUAAGGAUCUCUAAACCAAUGUCCGUGAGAUAGAUGGUGGAAAUGAUGUGACUAUCCUCCAUGUGAUGAACUGAGGAGGCUCACCACUCAGGGUGGAGAGAAUAUGAGACAAACAAAUAGUAGAUAGGAUAAGGAAGAAGAGAUGAAUAGCAUAACCAAUAAGAUGAGAUGAAAAUGCAGAGGUGUAGUGAUAGGAAAAGAUAAUGAGAAAAACAUGCCCCUAGGUCCAAAGCUCAUGAAACUACCAAACAAUGCAUGCAUACAUAAAAGGGCCCCUAUCCCGGUGUGAAAAUGUGAGCAAGGCGAUAAGAAAGAAAGGCUAUAAUGCGCAUGCGAGGCUCAAUGGGCUAGCAACGGACUAUGUAUCAUAAAGGAAUAACAAGGUAAUGGCUAACCGAAAUGACGGCCACCCAUCCUGCGACCAUGGUCUCAAACAUAGUACCUCUUUAGCUGAUCCACAUUGGUUGGCUCUGAGAAUCGGUUUCCAUCUAAAUCCAUCAACCAUGCAGCGCCCUCUGGGAUCAACUCCCUGAUGAAAUAAGGUCCGCUCCAGUUGGGUCUGAACUUCCCUCUAGGAUCUCUGAUCAAUCCCCUGAUGACUUUCAAGACUAAGUCACCUACAUGCAGUGGUCUGGGCUUGACCCGCUUUUUGAAAGCGCGGGCCAUCUUCCUCUGAUAUGCACGAACAUGGUCUACUGCUCUCAAUCUCCUCUCAUCUAGGAGAUUGAGCUGAUCAAAUCGAGCCUGAGCCCAAUCUGUCUCGGGAAUCUGCUGCUCUAGUGCUACCCUCAACGAACCCAUCUCAAUCUCAACGGGUAGCACCGCCUCCAUGCCAUAUACCAAUGAGUAGGGUGUGGCGCCUGUAGAGGUGCGAAAAGAGGUCCGAUAAGCCCACAAUGCAAAUGGGAGCUUCUCUGACCAAUCCCGAGAAGUCUCGACCAUCCUCCGUAAUAUCCUCUUGAUAUUCUUAUUCGCGGCCUUUAUUGCCACAUUCGUCUGCGGCCUGUACGCAGACGAUCUAUGAUGCCGGAUGCUGUAUCUCUAUACUAAGGUAUCAACCUCUGCUCUGAAAUGUACUCCUCUAUCUGAAAUCAACUCAUGAGGGACUCCAUAGCGACAGAUAAUGUGUGAUCUGAUGAAACUAGCGACUCCAGCUGAUGUCAACCUCGCAUAUGAGGCGGCCUCCACCCACUUGGUGAAGUAAUCGAUGGCGACCAGGAUGAACUCAUGACCACUGGAAGAUUUCGGUGAAAUCUUCCCGAUGAUAUCAAUACCCCAGACGGAAAAUGGCCAUGGUGAAGUCAAAGCGUGCAGCUCGGAGGGCGGCACGUGAAUGAGGUCCCCAUGUAUCUGACACCCGGGACAUCUCUGAACAAACUGGCAGCAAUCCGUCUCCAUGGUCAACCAGAAGUAACCGGUCCUCAUGAUCUUACGGGCCAACAUAUGUCCUCCCAUAUGUGGUCCGCAGACUCCCGCAUGAACCUCUCUCAUCACUCGAUCGGUGGAGGCACGGUCCAAGCACAAUAAUAGCAUCCCAUCAGCUGAUCGUCUAUAUAAUGUCUCACCACAAAUCACGAAUCGGGCUGCUAACUGUCUCAAUGCCCUCCUAUCCUUGGCCGUGGCUGCCUCAGGGUACACGCCAAGUCUCAAGAAGUGAUAUAUGUCAUGGUACCAAGGCAGACCAUCAUCUGGCUCUACAUCAUCGAUCAGGCAACAGUAGGCAGGAGCAGAUCUCGACUCGAUCAACAAAGGUCGAACAGUGGCGUCAACGGGAAUAUCGAUCAUGGAAGCUAGAGUAGCUAAAGCAUCAGCAAACUGGUUCUGCGCUCUAGGCAGAUGGGUAUAUCUCAAAUCAUCAAAUCUCCCAACCAUUAGCUCCAAAUAUACAUGAUAAGACCUAAGCUUCACAUCUCUAGUCUUCCACUCGCCCUGAAUCUGUCUCAACACCAGAUUGGAGUCACCAAACACCUCUAUCUGUCUAAUCCCGAGCUCGAGGGCUGUCUCUAAUCCCAAGAUACAAGCCUCAUACUUAACAAGGUUGUUCGUGGCAGGAUGUCGAUCCGAGAAUGCCAACCGAACAGAUCUGGGAAUGUGAUCACCAUGAGGGGAUAUCAACAGGACGCCUAUCCCGUAUCGAGAAUGGUUGGCUGCACCAUCAAAGUACAUGCGCCAACCUGACAGACUAGUCACAGCAGCGACAUCCUCGUCUGGAAAAUCAUCGUCAAUAGCUCUGGCAUCAGAAACUGGUAAUGAGGCUAGAUGAUCUGCUACAAUGCUCCCUCUGAUGGACUUCUGAGUGACAUAAUGGAUGUCAAACUCAGUCAGAAGUACCAACCAUCUCAUGAGGCGACCAACCAGAGCGGGUCUAUCAAACAAAUAUCUCAGAGGAUCCAAGCGAGAUAUCAAAUGCACGGAAUAUUCGGUCAUGUAAUGUCUCAACCGGCCAGUGGCCCAAACCAAUGACAAACAAUAACGCUCAAUCAUGACAUACCUCGUCUCGUAGUCUAACAUCCUCUUACUCAAAUAGUAAAUGGCUUGAUCCUUGCCCGAAUCAUCGAGCUGAGCUAACAUGCAACCCAAGGCCACGUCUGAUACGGACAAGUAUAAGAGCAGAGGACGGCCUAGUGUAGGAGGCGCCAAAACAGGAGGUGACAACAAGUACUCUUUGAUCCUCUCGAAGGCACGCUGGCACUGGUCAUCCCAAACAGUAGGUUGACUCUUCCUCAAGAGUCGAAAUAUGGGCUCACAGAUGUCUGUCAAUCUGGCUAUGAAUCUACUGAUGUACUGAAGUCUGCCCAGGAAGCCUCUGACCUCUCUCUCUGUCCUCGGCGCAGACAUGUCAAGAAUGGCUCUAAUCUUGUCCGGAUCUACCUCUAUGCCUCGCUCACUGACCAUGUAUCCCAAGAGUUUCCCAGAAGUCACUCCGAAAGUGCACUUCUUGGGAUUCAGUCUCAACCUGAACUGUCGGAUCCUCUCAAAGAAUCUCUCCAGAGCUGCUAAAUGAUCUGAUCUACCUCGGGAUUUCACUAUCAUGUCGCCUACAUAAACCUCGACAUACCGAUGCAUCAUGUCAUGGAAGAGGGUGGUCGCUGCUCUCUGAUAGGUGGCUCCUGCGUUCUUCAAUCCGAAUGGCAUGACUCUAUAGCAAUAAGUACCCCACUCGGUAAUGAAGGACGUCUUCUCCAUGUCCUCUGGAGCCAUCAAGAUCUGACUGUACCCGGAAAAUCCAUCCAUAAAGGACAACAUCGAAUGACCUGCCGUACUGUCAACUAGCAUGUCGAUGUGUGGAAGAGGAAAAUCAUCCUUAGGACUGGCCUUGUUGAGAUCUCGGAAAUCAACACAGACUCUCACUUUGCCGUCCUUCUUGGGAACAGGGACGACAUUGGCCAGCCACUCCGGGUACUCAACCACUAAUAAGAAUCCUACACUGAGCUGCUUCUGGAUCUCCUCUUUCACCUACAAGCUCCAACGAGGGUGCAAUCGUCUCAACUUCUGCUUAACCGGUCUGGCAUGGGGCAGAAGUGGCAAACGAUGCUGGACGAUAGAUGGAUCAAAGCCUGGCAUGUCCUCAUAGGACCAUGCGAAAACGUCCAAGUAGGAUCUGAGUAGCUGGAUGAGGCUAUCUCUCUCAUCUGUAGACAAAUCCGAUCCGAUCCUCAACUCCCUAGGCUGAUCUGACGUGCCAAAGUCAACAAUCUCGGUGUCCCCUACAGCAGGUGAAACUCUCUGAUCAACGGGGUCUGAGUCGGAAGUAGAAGACGAGUCAUCGUUUGAGUCGUGCUGUGCAAUCUCAUCAUCAAUGUCAAAAAUCUGUGAUGUGGGUGAAGAUGGUGCAGAUAAAUCAAUAACAUGAGAGACAGGCAAAUACUCAAAGGUGCUCAAAUCCAUAGAUGAAAAGUCAGAAACAUAGUCAUGACGGGAGACAAAUCCCGAUAAAACAUCAAAGGUGAGAGGUGGGUCCACAAGGUCGGACGCUCCCUCAACUAGGCCAACAGGGCCAUCAAACAAAUCAACAGCAACUAUAACAUCCUCGACGACCUCUGGAGUGGGGGCAACCUAGAUCUCCUCGGCGAUCUCGAGGACGGACACCCCGAAGAGAUCAAAUGGUGAAGCGAGCUCCGGCGGGGCUAUCUCCUCGGUCUGGCUCAAGCUCAUCGCGAGCAUCUCAUCAACGUACUCGUCACGCGGCACGGCUCCAUCCACUACGUCUCCAAUCUCGGCAAAAGUCCCGUGAUCAUCGAUCUCAUUCCGGAAGCAAAGCGUCAUAAGGCUCGUGCGAUCUGGGGAGGGAGGAGCAAUCAACACAGAAGCCGAAGGGCCAGGGGCUCCGUCACUCAACUGUAAUUGCUGGACGAGGCGCUGAAGCUCGGCCUCCUGGGUGGUGCUGAGUCCUCCGAUGAUCCCAUCAGAUGGUGCAUGUGACUCCGAUGCCCUCACAAAGUAAUCAGAUAAGCUCCUGGUGUAUGGGCGAAGAGGAUAGUCGAAAGGCGUGUGGGUCAGCCGAGCCCUCACUCUCUCCUUGCGCAAACGCGCCAUGUAUCGAUAGUCAACCUCGGUGGGGAUGAACCCAAGCCCAAAUGGUACGUCAUGAUCAGGAAUGGUGAUGAACUCGCUCGGUCCAUACUGACGUCGACCCAACCCCAUGCCGGGUAGAUAGGACAUGCUCCGCAUAAUAUCGAGCACCACUGUGCUCCUAUGCUCGUCAAAGGACAUGGCCACAAAAUCCCGGCAGAAAUCCUCCAUCUCCACGGUCUGCACCUCAGCGAAGGUGAAUCCAGUCAGAAAGAUAUCGUCAUCAGUGUGACUAAUCUCGAGCACAGGCUCGACAGCAAUGAACAUGUCCCCCACGGACUGCACCACGACGACCUGACCAUCAUGGAUGAACUUCACUUUCUGAUGAAGUGAAGAAGGAAUGGCUCCAGCUCGGUGAAUCCACGGUCGGCCCAAAAGCAGGUUAAAGGAUGUAGGAAUCCUCAAAACCUGAAAGAUAGUGAUAAAUGUGGUCGGACCUAUCAGGAGCUCAAUCUCCAGUGUACCCAUGACCUCUCUACGGGUGCUGUCAUAAGCUCGAACGGUCUGAGUGGAUGGACCGAAAUCGGAUGGUGCGUACCCAAGAGCGAUGGCGGUGGCCAGAGGACAUACAUUCAGGGUCGAGCCAUUGUCCAGAAGGACAGAUGGAACUCGGCGACCUGAACAGCCAACAGAUAUAUAGAGAGGACGCGUGUGGCCAAAACCCUCUGGUGGCAAGUCGUCAUCGGAAAAGACGAUACAAGUGGCUCUGCCAACCGUCAUCAUAUGAAUGAGUCCCUCAGGAGUGGUCGUGGUAUCAACUCUAAUCUGGCUCAGAGCUCGAGUCAGUGCAUCCCGAUGAGUACUGGAGGACGCUAAAAGGCUCCAUAUAGAAAUACGAGCCUGAGUGCUCUGCAACUGCCUCAAAAUCUCGUCAUCCUCUACUCUGACCUCCUCCUGGGAUGAUGUACCCCCUAAGGGUCUAGCGGCAGCGGCUGGAGGUGGCUGUCUCAAUACUCUCCCUCCCCAGAGGAUAUACUAAACGUCCGGAGUCUGAAGAUCAUCACUGUGUGGAGCCUGAAACUCCUCAACAUCGGGGACUAAGACGAACGGCGUCUGAACACUAUAGCGCGUGGAAGUCGGAGGCUCGACAAUGGACGCAUGUACUGAGGCUGUCUCAGGAAAUAACCCGAAGGGAGUGGGCACCUAAGGCCCCAAAGACAUGCUGCUCAUCCCGUAAAUAUCCCCCAACUCUAUGGGCUCUGGAUCUAUGUCAUCCCAGCUCAUCAUGCAAACAUGGUCAUCAGAAUCAGCAAAAUCCAGAAAAUGAAUACCCCUGUCUGGUGGAGGAACUGCAUGCGUGGAAUGGGCCGAUAGUGGGUUUUGGGCUAUACUCGGCUGACCCAAGUGAACCAAACCCUGAUCAAUCAAGUCCUGGAUGGCGUGCCUCAAUGCGGUGCAUCGAUCAGUCUCAUGUCCUAGCCCCUGAUGAUAGGCACAAUGCAAAUCCAUCCUAUACUGAGGAGGUAGAGGCUGUGGGGGCGGUCUCGGAGCGAGUGCAGUCAACAAACCAGCCUCUAUGAGCUUCCGAAGAGCCUGGCUCAACGGCAUGCCUAUCUGUGAAAACUGUCUCUACGUCCUCAAAGCAAAAGGUGCAGAGGUCUGCUGAGCUCGAGGCCUAGGGUAUGAAGGUGCGGGCCUCGGAGUGAACUGUGCAGCGUAGCAUGGCUGUCCAGUGGCCGUGUACGAAACAAGAAGCCUCUCAAUGCCCUGAGUGGCAUAGUAAGGUAGAGCCAAUGGCCGAGCCUGAUAUGUCUGAUCGAAAGUCGGGCAAGGUGCCUGUGGCCUGAACUGUUGAGGUGCGUAAGACGGAUGAGUCUCAAUGAGCUGUGGGAUCGGCUGAUGACGCCUAGGAGGCCUCUGACUGGAUAAACUGAUAGCACUAACAUCUGUCGACCUCUGUCCUACGAAUGGUUUCUUCCCCUUAACAUCACUAGGGGAAGAAUCUGUCCAUAAACCUCUCGAGAUGCCGUCCUCGACAUCAUACAAAGCCAUAACUAGAGACCCAAAAUCCGUGAACGGGGCCCCUACCACAUGUCUGGCGAUCCGCGGCUGCAAGCUCCUCAAAACCAUCUGAAUCUGGUCCCUCUCUGAUGGUCUAUUGAUAAUCUCAGCUAUCUUCCCGCGCUAGCGGGAAAUGAAAGAAGAAACAGACUCCUCUGCCCUCUGUCUCAAAGCCUCGAGCUCCCUCCUCGAUACAUCCACGACAGUGUUAAACGAAAACUGUCGUAGGAACUCCUGGGCCAAGUCGUCCCAUGUGCGGCGCCUCGAGGCCUCCAAAGAUGCAAACCAACGCUGGGCCGCCCCACUCAAAGAUAGUGGGAAAAGAGUAAUCAUCUGAGGCUCGUCCAGUCCAUGAGCCCUCAUCACGGUGCUGUAUAAUCGGAGAUGGAGGCGUGGACAACCAAUGCCAGUAUACCUCUCAAUGUCAGGCAUCCUGAACUUAGCCGGCAAGCUGGCUACCGGCACUCCAUCAAAACCCUCCCAAGUAGUGGCUCUAUCUGAAGUCCUCAACUGCCUCAAACCCUGCUCAAGCCUAUCCAUGCGAGCAUGUGGGUCCUCUGAGGUCGGGGUGGGCACGGUGAUGGGAGGCGGGACAACCCCGGUCUGACUAUGCAGAGUGAACGGCAUGGCCUGUGGCGCUGACUGACUGGGUGGAGGAGGUGGUGGCACUGUAGGGUCAUACUGGGCACCAUCCUGGGGCGGGACCUGCUGGGCCUGCUGCCCAUCCAUCCUCCGACCGAGGCUAGCUAUAGCCUCCUGAAUCGAAGCCAUGGCCUCAGCAAACUGAUCGACGGUAACUACCUGUGAAUCCAUAUCUCUCUGAUCUGAUCUUUGGUCUGACUGGUCCGAUACCCUGAUCAAUCUACCCUCAACUCUGAUCCAAGAGGGUGUAUCCAGGCUGUGAACAAAAUCCGAUCCUGACAAGACUCCUCCUCUACUCUAUCCCACGAAGGUAUAUCCAAAUGAAGAACAAAGGUCCGAUCCUGAGAAAGCACGAAGAACGGAAUAAGGAUAUGGCUCUGAGAAUGUACAAAAGAAAAGGUAAUCUAAACGGGAACCAGCAAAGCAUCCAAAUGAAGAUGAACGGUCCGACCGUACUCAAAACUAGCACUGAUCUCUGUGCAUUCUCAACUGGAGACUAAAGAGGGAGCGUCGAAUCCAAAAUGUGACCACAGAGGCGCCGAAGGCCCUCAGAUGCACCCACGUGUAGGGAGGGAGUCCUAAUCAGAGGAUCUACGGCUCAACCUACAAGGUCAAGGUGGUUCUAAAUAGAUAUGGGUGGACUUUAAAAGAUCCCUAGCAGAAGCGAUCGUACCCUCCGACAGUACGCAACCCUUUGCACGUCUCCGAAGAGACGGGGCGCUUCCAUGCAAGGUGGUCAUCACCUCCACACAUGCACUACCUCGACAUCCCAGGGGGUUUCCUAUGGUGAAACCUCUCAAACUCUCAACGCUCAAUGGUCAACUAAAGUGCACAGUGAAUGGUGUGGGUGCAUCCGAAAACCCUAAGAAUCUAGAGCAGAAGAGGAAACACACUGGUCGCACGACUAUCCAUGAAACCUAGCUCGGGGCUAUACAGGUCUUCAAUGAUCGAACUCCAAUCGACAUCAAAGUGUCGUCCUCCUCCUGAAUGCUCCCGUACAUCGAUAUAGCCCGUCGCUAGACCCUACUCCUAAUCUCUAUCUCAGUCAGAGUACAAGCACACACAAGGCCCCACACUUGCAAAAGUGAGAACCAGAAUGAAGGAAAUGACCGAGACUAGAGGGUCGGAGAUAAGGGGAUAGAUGUGCUACCCACAUAGACAGGCGACAUACAAUCACGCAGAGGAGGGCAGUCAUGCAUCAUACAGUCAGGCAGAGCAGAAUAUAUCACUCAUGUACACACAAGAUAAGCGAGAAUACGACAAUCAAGAUGAAUAGUGAUACCAACAUCAUGCUCAAGGACGAUCAAAAUAGUAUACAAGUUAGAGAAUCAAUAUGUCAAGCCGAGUGAUAUACAAUGGUGAGUGUAUGCAUGUGAAGUGAUCAGAACAAUCAUGCCAAAAUCAGAAUCAAUACGCUGAGCAAUGCAAUAAGAUCAAUCAUCAAUAAUCCAACAUGUCAAAAUCUCAAAUGAAUACGACAUCUAAGCAUGCAUCAAGAAAUCCUCAAUGUGCAAUCAAGAGAUGAGCAUCCACUGAUCGUCCAAUCAAAUGCCACAUUUGCUUCACUCUAAGUUCAAGCUUGACCCUCUAAAAAAAAAAUCCCCAGCGGAGUCGCCAUUUUGUGGACCCCGCAUUUCGGCUCAUGCGUUUCCCACUCGAAGGCGAGCUCGAUUUUUAUUUGAAAAAUUGAUUUUUUAUUGAUUAAGAAAACUGACUUGGAGUCGCCACUUAUUUUUGUUUUAUUUUUAAAAGGGUAAACAAAAUAAGAAAGAAAAACCCUAAGUGUGACUCCUUACUUUGGAAAAGGUGGUCUGUGAAAAACCGGAUCGGGUUCGGGGGUCAGGUUACUUAUCGGGAAGGUACGGUAAAGACCGUAGCACCCCUCUAAGUCCCUAAAGUCGGGUCUCUACUAAUAAAAUGAAGCAAUCAAUGGCAAUUGAUGAGGGAAUCAAUGAAUACUCAGAGUGAUCCUGCACAUGUGGGAAUCUAAACAUGCAUACAAAAAAUGACCCAAGCGGGUGUGGAUGCGUACCUGGGCAGUGAUCCAUAAAGCGCUAUCAAGAAGUGAGGUUAGCGCACAAUUAAAGAAUAAUUUCGAGCAUGUCAUAGAGCGAAAUAAAAUCGAUCAUGCAUGGCAAUUAAAUCAAACAAACAAUCAAUCAAUCAUAAGGGAAUCACAUAUGUUGGGCCCCCACCAAAACCCGAUUUAUAUUGCAUGAAUUAAUCCUACGAAUCCCAUUAUUUCGGAAUUAUGAAGAUUCAUCAUUCUUGCUUGUGUAAAAAUCAAAAGAAAUAGAACAUUAUUUAAAAAUCGGAGUGAAAUUAAAACUAUUCGAGAGAAAACUGGGUUUUGAGAUUUAUUUGGAAAUUAGAGUCUUGAAAAUUAUUUGAAGAUUGGAGUCUUGAAAAAUUAAAUUUAAGAAUUGGGAUUUUGGAUAUUAAAUUUGAAAGAAAUUAGAAUUUUGGAAAUCGGAAAUUAAGUUCAGAAAUUGGAAUUUUGAAGAAUGUUUAAAAUGGAAUUUCAAAAUAAAUAACUAAAAUAAUAAUAAUUAAAUAGAUUAAUGUGAAUAUUAGAAUUUUCAGAAUUAGAAAUUAAAAUCGGAAGUUGGAAAUUUUAAUGAAUUGUUUAAAAUUGAAUUUUAGAAUAAACAAAUGAAAUAAUAAUAAUAAUGAAAAUAAUAAAGAUUAAAUAAAUAAAUAUGGAAAUUGGAAUUCCGGAAAUUAGAAAUUGAAUUUAGAAAUCGGGAUUUUGAAGAAUUACUUAAUGAUGGAAUUUUAAAUAAAUAAAUAAACAAUAAUAAUAAUAAUAAUAACAAAAAUAAUGAUUGAAUAAAUACAUAUGGAAAUUAGAAUUCCGGAAAUUAGGAAAUUGAGUUUGAAAAUCGGGAUUUUGAGGAAUUGCUUGAUGAUAGAAUUUUAAAUAAAUAAAUAAAUAACAAGAAUAAUGAUUGAAUAAAUAAAUAAGGAAAUUAGAAUUCCGGAAAUUAGGAAAUUGAGUUUGGAAAUCGGGAUUUUAAGGAAUUGCUUGAUGAUAGAAUUUCAAAUAAAUAAAUAAAAUAAUGAUGAUUUAAAUAAAUUGAUGUGAGAAUUUAAAAUUUCGGAAAGUGGAAUUUAAAUUUAGAAAUCGGGAUUUUGAGGAAUUGUUUGAAGAUUGAAUUUUAAAAAUAAAUAAAUAAAUAAAUGAAAUAAUGACGAUUAAAUAAAUUGAUGUGAGAAUUAAAAUUUCAGAAAUUGGAGUUUAAAUUUAGAAAUCAGAAUUUUGAGAGAUUAUUAAAGGUUGAAUUUUAAAAACGAACAAAUAAAUAAAUAAAUAAAAUAAUGACGAUUAAAUAAAUUGAUGUAAGAAUUAAAAUUUCGGAAAUUGGAAUUUACUUUGGAAAACGGAACUUUGAGAGAUUAUUAAAGGUUGAAUUUUUAAAAAAUGAACAAAUNNNNNNNNNNNNNNNNNNNNNNNNNNNNNNNNNNNNNNNNNNNNNNNNNNNNNNNNNNNNNNNNNNNNNNNNNNNNNNNNNNNNNNNNNNNNNNNNNNNNNNNNNNNNNNNNNNNUUUUUAAAAAAUGAACAAAUAAAUAAAUAAAUAAAAUAAUGAUGAUUAAAUAAAUUGAUGUAAGAAUUAAAAUUUUGGAAAUUGGAAUUUAAUUUAGAAAAUGGAAUUUUGAAGAUUCUUAAAAGGUUGAAUUUUAAAAAUGAAUAAAUAAAUAAAAUAAUAAUGGAGAAUUAAAUUUUGAUAUUGAGAAUUAAAAUUUCGGAAAUUGGAGUUUAAAUUUAGAAAUCGGAAUUUCGAGGAGUAGUUUAAAGAUUGAAUUUUAAAGAUAAGCAAGUGAAUAAAUAAUGGUGAUUAAAUAAAUGGAUGUGAGAAUUAAAAUUUCGGAAAUUGGGAUCAAAUUCGGAAGUCAGAGAAUUAAGAUUGUUUAAAGAAGGAAAACUUGAAAUAAAUAAAUACAAUAAUAAUAACGAAUAUAAUGAUUAAAUGAAUGAACGAGAAUUUUGGAAUUUCUUCAAAUCGGAAAUUGAAUUUAAAGGUUGGAAAAUUGGAAUUGCAUAAGGAAAGAUAUUUUGAAGUAACUAAAUGGAAUAAUAUUAAUAAGAAUGAUAGUUGAAGUUUUUGAAAACUAGGUUUUAAAGAUUGGAGCUUUGGCAACUAGAUUAAAAUUUUGAAUCUUGACAAUUAACUUUGGAAAUUAAAAAAAAAAUUAUUCUAAAAUGGAAACUUUAAAAAUUAGAUUUAAAAAAAGAACUUUGGACAAUUAAACUAUGAGAAUAUGGAUUUUGAAAGUUAAACACUGGAAAAUUGAAAUAAUAAUAAUAAUAGUAAUAAUAACAACUUAAUAUUGAGAACUUGAUAUUGAGAAUAUGGAAUUUGGAUAAAUGAAUAAGCAUAUAAGUGAAUAAUAUAGUGUACGUGUGCAUGAAAUAAAAAAGAAUGAAUAAAAGGAACUAAAGGGCUUUAGAGAGGGGUUUAGGAUAAAGGAUAUGCAGAUUUGGGCCUUUAGGAAUGGACCUUGGGCUUUGAAAAGGGGCUAAGGGUUGGAAAUGGGCCUUGGGCUUCAUCUUCAUCCUAGUUCCUCCACAGCCCAACAACAUCCCCUCCAUCUGGGCAACUCCUUCAGGAUAUCUCCACCAGUACUGACAUAGAGAGAGACUUCACCACCGGCGGCAAGAUGGAGAGAGGAGCCGUGGCGGCGGUUCGGCGGCAACCUGAAGGUGCAGCCAUCAAGGUGGCUGGUGCAAGUGCUCGCCUGGCCGGGGCGGGUGGUGGUGGCUGGCGAGGUGAGCAAGCACCUCGCCGACGCGGUACACGCAGCGAGAAGGAGCGGGGAGGGGCGGCACGCGUGCAUGGAAGGUUGUGAAGCUCCCCAGGCCUCCGACAAACGCGUCUCUGAUGAAGACGGUAGGAGCGAUGACGGGUAUGAGGAGGAAGAUGGUGGAGGCGACUUGCAUGUUUGGACCCCAUGUGUGCAGAAGGGCGGCUUGGGGAGUCCUCGUGGAGAUGGGUAUGGCGGUUAGAGAGAGAAAAGGUGGCAAAUAUACAUGGGUAUGAGAUGGGAGAGAUAUAGGUGACGCAGCGGACUAGACGAUACAAAUCAGGUUUGAACUGAGGAUUCGGUGAAUUGGAAACUUUAACUAAAAGCUACAGGGGACUUUCUUAAGCUAUGCAUGAUACUAGGGAAUGAGUUGUGAGUUGUUGAGGGCAGCGAUGGAGUGAGAAUCUGGUGAAACAUGAAUAUAUCUAGCCUCAUUUCAAAUAUCAUCCAUGGGCCGAUACAGGUGAAUGAUAAAGAGCAUCAACGUGAUUCAUAACGAACCCAUGUACUCGAUGGCCUCCAAAGAAAAUCACAAAAAUGAGAUAAUAGCAUAGCAAACAUACCCAAGCAGUGAAUGAAAGCUUAAAGAUCGAGACAAGUGCAUGAAAAAUAAUACGAUAAGAAAAUAAUGAACAGAAAACCCACAAAACUUAUACCUAGGAGUGCUCUUUCUUAGCGAAAACCAAUCAGAAAAACCAUGAGUCUCCCCCGGUUCAGCAACUCUGCCUCCCUCCUAGAUAGCUCACUCUUUUCUUCUUUCCUUUUUUCCGAAACUCUGUUUUCCUUUUCUCCUUUUUUUUAGCUUCCUCUCCAAGCCAUCUUUGUACCCCAUCCCAUCUGCCGCCCCAGAGCCUCCCCUAUCAGUCUCCUUUUUGCUGCCCCAAAAACAGCCCCUGACCAUCAUGUCGAGCGGCUCCGGAAAAAAGGUAGGAAAAAGAAAAGAAAUAAAAUAAAUCCAAAGAAAACUCUCUGUCUCCGGGGGGGUCUACAGAUUUUUUUCUAUUUUUUUGAAAGGAUUUCAUUAAAUUUGUCAAGAUAAGGAAUUUUUUUCCUUAUCUUUGUUUUUCUCCCUUUGAAUGAUUCACUUACAUGUUAUGGGUUAGUUUCUAUGAAACUUUUUCUUAAAGAAAAAUAUUAUUUUUAAUUGGUAAAUAUAUCUAUCAUUCUCUUGAUAUUAUAGAAACUCUCUUUUUAAAAAAUUGUUUAGUUUCUACUAUUGUUUUAAAAAAAAAUCUCUUUCAAAUGGAGGAAAACCAAUUAAUGGUUAUUUAAAAUAAGUAUUAUAAACUUCUAGAAAGGAGACGUAGCAUUCAAAAAUCAACAAAGUUAAAAUCCUUGUUUUUUCUUUUUUUCUCCUUUCAACAUUCAACAACCAAUCUUCUUACUUUUAGUGUUUCUCUUAUAAGUUAAAGGUCUUUGAUGACUAUAUUUUGCAUUUUAUUUUUGUUGUUCUCCUUUCAACAUUCAACAAUCAAUUAAUCUUCUCUCUUAGUGAUUGUCUUGAACUUUGAUGACAAAGGCAUUCUAAGAAAUUUGCUUGAAGGCCCACUACCAUCCAAAGUCUAAUAAACCAAGGAAAAUUGCAUGAAAAUAUUUCAUAUCAUUUUUUGAAAUUUAGAUCUUUGUAAGAAAUUGUUUUGAAGGUAAGCUACUACUAAAGUUUAAUAAGCCAAGGAACUUUCUCACUAUUUCUCAUGUUCGGGUAACAUGAAAAAAAUAAUAGUUGUUUUUUUAUCUCCUUUUCUUUAAUAUUUAUCCUUUUGUCAUUACUACAAAGUAAGCGCAAUUAUGCUUCAUUUGAUGAUUAAUGGAGAAAAAAGUUACUUCUUUAUAUUAAAUAUUUAUCCUUUAAUUAUUUUUGCAAAGUUAAAUUAGAGUUUUCAUGAAUGCCUUUUCUACUACAAUUAUGAAAUUCAAAAUUUAUCUGCUCAAUACAUUGAAAUCCCUCAAAGAAAUUGAGAAAGCAAUCAUUUAACCAACUCCUUGAAGAACUUACCAUAAAUAACGGUAGUGCAAAAGAUAAGUGUCAUGAUUGAAGUUCAAAAUAAUAUCUAUAACUUAAAGAUUUCUUUGAACAUUAAAGUUUAGUGCUAGCUAUAUUAUAAUAGCAACUAAAAAAGGCACUUUUUGCUCCUUUUUCCCAUUUAUUCUUUUGGAAGUAUGAAAAGAAAAUUAUUCCAAAAAAAAAAUUACAUAAAAUAAUAAAAAAAUUUAUAAAAUUAAUGCUUAUAAAAAUUAUAUGAAAAUAAUCAUUAUUUUAAAAAAAAAUCUCACCCCAUUUUCUUUAAUAUUUGAUUACAAAUAUAAUAUAGUUAAAAAGAGUAUACUAUUAUACAAAUCAUGUAACUUCUAAAGUAUCUCUAUUUAGGCAUUGUUUGAAAUCAUAGAAUAAAGCAUGGGAAUGAGUUAAUGUGUUUGGAUUGUUUUUGGAAUAAGAAUAGGAAUAAAAAAUCAUUGUUAUGGAAACCAAAUUCCAUUAUCACUGGGAUUUUGAUUCCUUUAUCUUAUCUUACAUGAGAUUAGGAUUCACCAUAUCCUCAUUCUAUUUCCAUUCCUAUUUUCAUGUACCAAACGAAACCUUAGACAAUGUUUGGUAUGUGGGAAUUGAGAUGAGAAUAAACAUUUUGUUUUCAUUCUUAUUUGAUCUUGAAUAAAAAUAAAUUUGGUAAUUCCAAUUCUUGUAUUUGAAUGCACUUAUAAAUGGAAUGUUGAAAUGAUCAUUUCUUUUCAUUUUAUUGUUUGAUAACAAUAGGCAUGAAAUUAAUUUUCUCAUUAGAAGAACAAAAACCUUAGAAUAUAAUGAAAAGUUUAACAAAGUUGAAAGGAGGAAAUCAAUAAAGAAAUGAUAUUUUUAACUUUCUUAAGUUUUGUGCACUUCUUUUUAUAUUAAAUUCAAUUUUUAAAUUUGUAAUUAUUUAACCAAAUCCAAAACAACAUAAUUAGCUUCAAUUUAUGUUUCCAACUUGUAUGUGUUAAUAUAAGACUUAGUGGUAGUAAAGUAGUUUUGAACCAAUAAGCUAUAGAGCAAAUUUGUCUACUUAAACUAGUACAUUGACAAUCUCAUCCUUUGAAAAUUUUGGAACAAUACAAAAUAUUGCAAUACAACCCUCUAAAACUCUAAAAUUAAGAUCCUUAAGUCGCUUGACCUAAUCCUUACCAAAGAUCACUCACUAUAAAUAACACCUUCUUAUCUUUCUUUUUUUGCAUGAAUAUGUCACCUCAUAACACCUUCUCCUCUUGAAUUUGAUUGCUUGUUCUUAAUUUGACAUUCUCUUUCCCUUUUAGAUUUGAAAAAAAAAAACAAAAAAACAAAAAAAAUGGUGUAAAUUCAACUUGAUAAGAGUUUAAUCAAAAUUGGAAAUUUGCUUGUAAUAUCUAACUCGCCUUAAUGAAUAAGGAUGUAUGGGUUGAUCAAUCGAGCUUUAGGCCCUUGAAUAAUCAUCUCAACUUUCACUUUCAAUUGCCUGAGAUAUUUCAUUUGGAUAUCAAUCAAACCCAAGGUUGAGACAUUAAAUUGUACGUAUGUUAGUUUUUAUGAUAAACUAGUUUCACAAAAUGGUUGAUGCUUCAAAAGUAAUAACUUAGUUAACAAAUGCAAUGUCAUAAUUUUAUAUUUUUGCUCAUUUGAUGUAUGUGGGAACAAAAACUAACAUGGAUCUUAAAGUAUUCCAAAACAAAAUACUUGAAAUUGAAAUAUUCUUUCCCACCUAAUUUGAUUGCUCAUUCUAGGUUGGAGAUUCUAUCUCUUUACACCAAGAAUUAUGCAUAGUGCAAGAGUGUGAGUUUAAAUUGGCAUCACUUUAAUCAAAAUCUAAGACUGGGUUGAAGUAUUUGACUUGCCUUGAUUAAUAAGGACAUCCGGCCAUGGCUUAACUGAUGGAGGUUGGUGUGUACUAACUUAUCCAACAAAAUGUUUAAUCUGCAAAAAAAUUAACAACAAUCAAGCUUGUCCUCGAAAUGCCCUAAAACGAGUCCCAAUAAAAAUGGGUUUUGAAAAAAAAAAAAAAAAACAAAACAAAAAAUUCUGUAGAAGGAAUUUCAGCCCCUUGGAAUCAGCAAGGCAUAUAAAAUAGAAACUAAGAAAAGGAGGGUGGCUUAAUUACCAAAAAGUUGAGGUAAAUGUUUGGUCAACAUCAACAAAGAAGCUCCAGCCAUCUGUGCAUAUGGUCCAUUUCAUGGUCUUGCGCAUCAACACCAUUACCAUCAUUAUUCAGGGUGGUGCCAUCACAGCUUCUCUCCACAUCAGUAUUAGUAUCUUCUACUGCUGAACUGGUGUCACAGCUUACUUCUACGUUGUACAAUUGUGAGAUUGUUCUGUUCAUAAUCGUGGGCAUAUAGAAAGUGGAAGCCACACCUCGCCACUUUCACUGGUUUAACACCAAAGUAGACAUUAAAGAAAGCGUUCAAGGUUCUCCAUUCAUUUGAGUGAUAUCUCUUGGGAAUACGUGACUUAGGAUAAUAUAUCAAGCACCCUUGACUUGAUGCAUCUUCAUCAUAGCAGAAUUCACAAAAUUGAAAAGACUGAUAGGAAAAAUAGGCACUGUCAUCAUCGAAAUUCAAUUUACAGUUGAAACACCUAUGUUUUUUGGUCUCAAUCUCAAGUGGAACACAAAGAGAGCACAGAACAAAGCCCAAGAAGUCAUCAUUUUCAUACCAACUCCAAGGAAGUUUCAUUGUUAUUUUGAACCCGCUUUUCUGAUGGCUUAUCCACUCCGGAAUCCCAUUACUUUCAGCAAUAAAAGUUAUGAGAGUUUUUCUAAAUUCACGCCCCUGCACAAAAAUUACCCUCUGAAUUUUGUGUCUCAAUGAAAACAAAGGUUAAAUGCUAUAUGAAAACCAUACCUGAAUUUGGGAUUUAAAACAUUUGAAUAAAGAAGACCAGAGUAGAUUUGAUCGACUGGAUAAAUUUUCCAGGGAUGUGCAGUGAUGGGCAUCUAGACAAAAUAAACCUGAUGGAAGUUCUGGAAUAUGUUGAAGCAUCUUGCAGUGACCCAAGUAAAGAUUUUCUAGGUUAUAAAGUUGACUGAUCCCAUCAGGUAUGCGACUAAAGUGGUUCCCCCCCAGAGAUAAUGUUACCAGUGAUGAUAGGUAAUAGAUUUCACUGGGAAAUUCCCUUAGAUUGCAGCCUUGAAGCUUUAACGUCCUCAAGGAGCAUAAACCGGACAAAGACGGCAAUUGAAAAUUCAUUGAAUCUAAAUGCCCAACAAAAAGAUACUCUAAAGAUUGCAGUCUCCCCAAGUUGUCUGGCAAUUUGUUGAAGUUUGGACAGCGACUGACAACGAGAGUUUUAAAAGAUGUCAAAUUACAAAUACUCUCAGGAAGAUUCACAAGGUUUUUGCAGUUUCUCAGAAGCAAAUAUUGAAGCCCUCUUAGACGUUGAAUUGAUGAUGGUAUCUCUUUUAUGGCGGUUCCAUUUAAAUAAAGCUUUCUCAAGCUCUCCAUAUCUUGCAGGAUUUCUGGAAAGCUCUCUAGUUGUGAACAGCCAGAGCAGGAGAGAGUUGCAAGGGAUUUGAAACCAAAAAUGCUACUGGGCAGACUCGUAAGAUUUCUGCAAUCCCGCAGACAUAAACUAUCAAGUUCCAAGGGAUUCUCGAUAAUGGGUACUUCAUUCAUAUCACUGCCCUUAAAACAGCACUUCCGCCGAGGUGUCCCAUCCCGUUGGCAUGCCCUGCAUAUUCUAAUAUCUGCAUCCUCAUGGCUUUGUUGAAGGUCUUGGGAGUAUAUAAGGCGGACUCCACACUCCUUUACUUUCAAGACUUUCUCAGAAUUAAUGUAAAAGUCGAAAAAGGAAAACCCAAUGAAAGUCCGUUGAUCAGAGCAAAACCUUUCCGGAAUAACUGCCUUGGGAUAGCAAAUCACCCACGUCUGACCUGAUACACUCUCAUUAUCUUCGUCCUUGUCUUUUUUAUAGCAAAAACAAUUGGAUUGAAAGAAGGAACGAUCUACCAAUUCAACUCCAUCACCAGCCACAUCCAAACAACAGCUAAGACGACAAGGAUGUGUAUGUUUAUGUUCAUUCUUACGAAAAGAUUCAGCCACAGAUUUAUCGUCUGUUUCAUUCUCCCAUGUAUGAGCAGAUUCAUCCUCAGAUUUAUUAGCUGAUUCAUUCUUGGACCCGUGUGCAGAUUCCUUUUCAGGUAUGUCCUCAGAUUCGUAAGCAAAUGGAACAUAAACACAACAUAGAGCAAAUCCCAAAAACUCAUUAUUUUGGUGCCAAUUCUGAGGGAGCUCUGUUUCUGUAAAAUAUCUUUUUGUCCGAUCCAUAAUCCAUUCUGGAAUUCCAUCAGUUCUGGGAAGAACAAUGCAAGUUCCCUUGCCACGGUAGGAAGAAUCACUAAAACUAGUGCGUUUCAAACCCUGCACCAAAGCACCAUGUAAAUAUAGAGUCUGCAUAUAUAACUAGUGUGUGACAUGAAAAUCAUACCUGUGCCCAACUGAAGCAAUUGACCAGAGAAUGCAAUGGCAAAAACAGGGCUCUUGAUGAAGUGCGAUUUGAACCAUGUGCAUCUAAAAGCCGUAGACGUGAUGGAAGCUCUGGAAUUUGUUCAAGAUUGUUGCAGUGACUAAGGUUAAGGACUUCCAGCCUGGAAAGCUGAUUGAUGGUAGUAGGUAUGCUACUAAAAUGACCCUGUUCCAGAUUUAGUUUCUGUAAUGAUGAUAAAUGGCAAAUAUCACUAGGAAUUCCUCCUUCCAUUAUGUUGCAGUGACCUAGGUCCAAUUCUUUCAAUGAUGAUAAAUGGCAAAUAUGAUUAGGGAUUUGGUGGAGCUUUAAACACUCUUGAAGUAGGAGAGUUUGAAGACCAUUUAGAUGUGUAAUUGAUGAUGGUAAGUCCAUUAUAGCUGUUCCACUCAAAUCAAGCACCCUUAGCUCUCUCAUAUCGCCUUUGAUUUCUGGAAAUCUCUCUAGCUUUGAACAGCCAUUGCAAGACAAAGUUUGAAGGUGUUUCCACUUGUAAAUGCCUCUUGGAAGAAGCUCCAGGUUUACACACCCUGCCAGAUUCAAGGGAAAAAGAAAAACCAAGUUAGUUUUAGUAAUUAUAAUACUGCUGCACCAAACUUUUAAGUACCGUUGUACAACCUUCUAGAGUUAGAAUCUCCAAGUUUGGCACACUUGAGAAGUCUGGGAUUCUUAUGAGAUGGACAGAGUGACUGAGAUCAAUAACCCUCAACUUGUCAUGAAGCUGUAACAAAAUAAUUUUUUUCAAUAGAUAAAUUUACACGUUAAAAAUUAAUAUAAAAUUAAACUGUAACUAAAUAAUAAUAACAAUACCUUAUUGCCCCUCCAAACUUGCUUUAUAUUGCUGUCCCUUAAUGAGAGUUCAACAAGGUUCUUUGCAUGAAAAUUCAUUGGCAAAGAUUCUAAAGGGUAUCCAUCCCAAUGCAGAUAUGCUAACUCAUAGGAAUAGAAUUCAAAGUCCCUUGGAAGGUGGUCUUUAAGAAAUAGCUUUCUACGAGGGUUAUGGAUUUUGAGCAGUCUAAGUCUAUUCAUCUCUUUGAAAGAUUCUGUAGUAAGCUCUGAUGGAUUAAAUUUACAUCUAUCUAAGAAUAGUCCUUCAAUUGCUCGUGUCCCCUGAAAAAUAUAAGAUGAGUAGGUGAAACAAAAGAUGCAUUAGGCUUAAUUGAGUUAUACACACGGCUAAUUUCUGAAAAAAAUAAUAAUAGUAAUGAAGCUUGCAUACACACGUAUAAACAAGUUCAUGCAUUUGACUCUUACCUUAUUUCCUGUUAGCACAUGAUAGGCAUUAGAAUCGCAUAAUCUACUCCUUCUUCCAGGGUCUUCCGGACAUUCUUGACGAAUAAUCUCCCAACCCAUUUGUUGUAUUAAAUCAUGCAUAUCUAGCAUGUUUUUUGAAACAGUUAUGAGACAUCUAUCAUCUAGAGUUGUUAUUGCGUGCUUUGCAUGAGGGCCCAAUAUUCUUGAAACAAAAUCUCUAUCAUCUCCUUUGAAAAAGCAUGCAACAUCCAAAAAUAUCCCCUUGUCUAUAUCAUCGAGUCCAUCAAAACUUAUUCUAAGUACAUUGUGAAUUUCCAUGUGGGGCAUUAUUUUUAGCUUACACAGUGCACUUUCCCAAUUACUUAUUUUCUUUCCAAAAAGAGAAGCACCUAAAACUUUAAGUGCUAACGGAAGGCCAUUAGCAUAAUCUAUGAUAUUGUAUGAGAGAUUUUUAUAAACUUCUUGGGGACGAUUUUGUUUAAAGGCCCACAAACUAAAGAGCUCAAUAGCUUCUUCCUUGUUUAAUUUUGAAACCUCAUAUCGUAUAUCCGCUCCAUAUUGAGCAAGUACAUGUUUGUCUCUAGAUGUAAUGAUGAUUGUACUUUUUGCCCGAAACCAAUCCUUCUCUUCAGCCAAAUAUUCUAGUUGUUUCAACUCAUCCACAUCAUCAAAAAUAACAAGAACUCUAUUGGAGCUUAGACACCUCUUUAUCAUACUAAUUCCUUCAUCAACAUUGUUUAUUUUAAAAUUUUUUCCCCUUAGGAUACCAUGAAGAAGUUCUUGCUGUAACUGAAGUAUAUCACCUUUGGAUCUCUCUUUGAUAUUUAUAAGAAAGCUACUACCAUCAUAUUGAUGUGAGAUCUCAUUAUAAAUAGCCUUGGCGAUAGUAGUCUUGCCAACCCCACCAAUUCCAUAUAUCCCUACGACACUAACCAUAUUUAACUCAGUGUUCAUCAACGAUUUCAAUUUUUCCAAAUGAACACCAAUUCCAACUAUGUUCUUUCCCACACUUAAAGGUUGAUGGUUUAAUCUUCUAAUGAUUGUAUCAACAAUUUCCUUGACAACCUCGGUCUCAUACCUGCCAAUCAUAUAAAUUAAGUACAAUGAUGAGUUAGAAUGAGUUGCAAAAUAUAAUAAAUUUAAAAUAAAUUUAGUCUUGUAUGGCCGUGUCCAAUAUUACUGAAUUAGUAGCAAUGGAAUGAAAAAGAAAGGGGUGAAGCCAAUUUACUUACAUAUUUAAGCUUUAAAAUUUGUAAGUAUCAAACUACUAAAAAUGUGCCAAGUUGCAAAAUUUCAAUACUCUUACUGUUAGAGCAUUGUGUAGGACUCCUCUAUGAACAAGCUAAUGCCUUCUUUCAACUUUGAUUUCACAAACAACUUGCUUAUGAUUCCUCAAUUUCACUUGUCUUUAGGUUUUAUUAACUUACCAAUACUUACCAAUGUUGCAAAGACUCUGUUUUUAGCCUGCCAAUUAAUUUUGCAUUUCCAUAGAGGAAUCAGGAAACAAGUGAAUGUGGAGAAUUUCAUGAUUUGCUUGUUGGUUGGGAACUUAAAUAUGAUUUGCUUUAGAGAAAAUUAUAAAAGGGUUAAAUUUUGAUACUUGUAUUUUUGGACCAACACAAGGGAAAAAUGAAAGUCAGAUUUUGUUGACAAUUUCAUACUUACUGGUCAUUCACAUGGCAUCCAGAUAGAUUAGCUGCUUUUCUCAAGGCAAUCCUCCACUUUUGUAUCAUCUCCUUCUUUUCUUGAUUUGCAUCUCUUUCAUGGUAGGCAAGUGCGUCUCCGAAACUCCCCCUUUGGUUUCGUACAUCAGAUGGAUCCACAUGGUAGAAAAUUGGUAGAACCACUGAUUCCUUUUGGCUCUUGCGUUCAAUGAUCUUUACGAGUUCAUUUAAACACCAUCUGGAGUAAGCAUAAUUUUUUGAGAAAAUAAUAAUAAAAAACCUCGAUUCUUCUAUAGCUCUCAAGAGAUCAGAUGCAAUAUCUCCUCCUUUCUCAAGUUCUUCAUCAUCUCUGAAAGUUUGAAUUCCAGAUGCAGUCAAUGUGGUAUAUAGAUGAUCAGUGAAAUUUCUGCGAGUAUCGCCACCUCUAAAACUCAAGAACACAUCAUAAUUACGAGAAAUAGAAGUAGUCGAAGAAGAGGCUCUAUGGGUGCUGGAAGAAGCCAUUUUUGGAUGGCUUGAACCAAAAUUACAAGGGAGUUUGGAGGGUCCUUGGAUGCUCAAUGACUAUUGGCUCCAGACCUCUUCACCAUGAACAAAAAUCCAAGCUGGGAGGGAGGUUCAGCUGAAAAGCUUCAUCUGCAGUCGUAAAAGAAAAGAAAAACGUAUAUAAAGCCCUCUUUGAGAAAUUUCUUUGUAUAUAAAUUCUAAGAGAAACUCACACAUAUUUUACCUUUUGGUUGGGGAAGAUCCUUUCUCCAUUCCCUUUGUGUUGGAGACUGCAUUAAGGGAUGCAGAGAAGAUGGUGGGGAAGGUGUUGAAGAAGAGGCGGUGGGUAGCAGAGGUCUCGUUGACUGGGUGGAUGGAAUCGAGGUAAGGAAUUCUAAUAUUUUGAAAUGAAAUUUCAUGGAAGGUGUUGUUUUCAGUUUUUGUUUCCACAAAUAUUUGUGCGCGGCACCUAUGAUGAUGAGAAAUCCCUAAUUAAGACUAAGUAAUAUUGCUUUCCUUUUUAAUUAAUCAUUUAUACUUAAUUUUUUUCCGUCAACUUAAGUAUUUUGAUAAUAUUAUUUGUUAUAGAUAUUGAUGGGAAAAUUCUAUCAUCUUUCUAAGAGAUUUAUUAGAUUCUUGUUGGAAAUCCACGUCAAAGUAGGCUGCUAACUAAAAGUUAAUAGAGGUCUGUGACUUUCACAUUAAAAAAUAGUUGGAUUGAUGUAGAAAAGGCAAACCUUCCCCCCACACCCAAAUGUAAUAUUUCAUUAUUUUUUGUAAUUUUAUUUUUCUCUCUAGUUCCUAUAUUUGUACAACUUCCUCCUUUAGUUUAGUUCCUUUUCUUUGUAAUAUUUAUUUUGAUAUUUUUACAACUUAAAUUUAUGGAAUAUCUUUAUUUAAUAAUUUUUAUAAAAAAUAUUAAGUUUUUAUAGAUAUAUCAAUAUAUAGGUUUUACAUAUAUAUUGGGAUAUAUAAGGAAAUAUCGAUGAAAUGGAAAUUGAUCAAAAAUUAUAAAAAUAUUCAAUAUAAUUCAAUAAAAAUGAAUAUUAGAAAUAAUAAUAAACAUUUUGAUAUUGUUUUGUUAAAAAAAAAAAAAGAUCGAUAUAUGUAUGAUAUAAUUUAUAAUAUUCAAAAAUAAUAUUUAAAAUUAAAAAAAAAUUAUAUAAACAUAUCUAAUUUGGAUGUAUUUAAUGACAUAAAAAAUUAUGAUAAAAGUAUUAGUACUUUUAUUUUAAAAUAUUGACAAUUUUAUUUAUAAAUUUAUAUAUGGUUAUUUUAUAUUUAUUUAUUAUACCAAACAUAUGAUAAUUAAAAUUUAUUCAUUUAUAUAUAUAUACAAAAAAACAUAUAUUAAUUUAUGCAUAUGUAACAUAAUUUAUAAUAUAUAUAUAUAAAAGAGAAUCUUAAUAUAAUAUACAUAAAUAAACAUCGUAUAUGUAAGUCAUGCAUUGCAUUAUAAUAUUAACAAACUUAGGUCGGUGGCGUGCUGCGCUCACGCAAUGCCUGAGGUCAUGGGUUCUCAAACCCAUCCUUCCACUAACGAUUCUCUUUUUUAAUGUUAAGGGGUGGAAUCCCACAUCGACCAGCCAUAGCACUCAAAGUUUAAAUCUUUUUUUAACGGUAAGAGGUGGUAUCCCACAUCGGCCGGCCACAGCACUUAAAAAACCUGCUCAUAGACCCUUCUACCGACGUAGACGCAAUAUUUUCCAAAAAGGCUGAUGUCUCUCCGAGCCGAGAUAUCCACCUGCUGUAUCGUGUCGGAUGUUACGGACAGAAGAAAUAGUUCCAGCUACUUUCAUCUUGAUCAUAUCUUCAUAAUUGAUUAUUCAUUUUGAUGUUUUACUUCUAAUAUACCUGACAUUUUAGUUUGGUGUUUCGCUUAGGCUUUGAUUACGGAACUAUUUCUUAUAAUUAUUGGUAGGAAAUUUCCUAUGGUCUUCCAAGUAGGCUAUUUACAAAAGAUUGAAAAAUUGAAAAACCUCAAUGUCCUUUCACAUUUGAAGAUAGUGAAAUUCAUAUAAAAACAAUCAAUACUACAAAAAUUUGUAUGAAGAUAAUGCUAUUUAAAGAAGGUUAAUAGACCUUGAUGUCCUUUUAUAUUGAAAGAUAAUGAAAUUCUAUAUAAAAUAUUAAUAAUAAUAACCAACGCUACAAAAGUUUGUGUGAAGGCAGAGACCAUUUACAAAAGGUCAAUAGACCUCAAUGUGCUUUCACAUUGAAAGAUAAUGAAAUUCACAUAAAAAUAAUAAUAAUAGUAACUAAUGCUAUAAAAAUUUGUAUGAAGACAAACUAUUUACAAAAGCUCAAUAGACCUUAAUGUUCUUUUAUAUUGAGAGAUAGUGAAAUUUAGAUAAAAAUAUAUAUAGCCAAUGCUACAAAAGAUUGUAUAAAGGCAAACUAUUUAUAAAAGGUUAAUAGACUUUAAUGUCCUUUUAUAUUGAGAGAUAGUGAAAUUUAUGUAAAAAUAUAGUCAAUGCUACAAAAGUUUGUAUAAAGGCAAACUAUUUAUAAAAGGUUAAUGGACUUUAAUGUCCUUUUAUAUUGAAAGAUAGUGAAUUCAUAUAUACAUAUAUAUAAUAAUAAUAAUAACCAACACUACAAAAGUUUGUAUGACAGCAAACCAUUUACAAAACCUUAAUAGACCUCAAUGUCCUUUCACAUUGAAAGAUUGUGAAAUUCACAUUAAAAAAAAAAAAAAAAACCAAGCAUAUAUAUAUAUAUGGUAAUGUGAUAUUUCAUCUUAAUUCCUCUUUUAUUUUCAUCUCUUGGUAUUGAAUAAUAUAUUCUUCAUUUCUACAACUCUUUCUUUUUUCUUAACUUUUUUUUUUUUUUUGUACUCAGUAACAAUGGGUUCAUUUGACAUUCAUUCAAGAUCCUCCUUGUUUUGUUCUCAAAUGAUUCAAAAAAAAUGAUACCAUAUAAGGAAUUUCUUAAAUAGAUGCUUGUAAAAAUUAUAUAAAAUUUAUUAAAAAAAAAUUAAAAAUCAAAGAAAUAUCACUCCUUUUCUUUAAUUUUUAUCCUUUAAUCAUUGGUGCAAAAUGAUAAAAGUGCAAUUAUGCUUUAUUUGGUACUAAUAAGAAUUUCAAAAUCUCUUCACCUCAAGAUAUUGAAGUUUAGGUAAGAAAAUAGAUGGAUAAAAGUAUGACAUAAAACUUUUUUUCCCCAUUUGGAAGGUGUUUGUAGUUAAAGUAAAUAUAUAUAUAUAUAUAUAUAUAUAUAUAUAUAUAUAUAUAUAUAUAUAUAUAUAUAUAUAUAUAUCAAGUGGCAUAACAAAAAACAUAGGAUUUCCAAAAAGAACUUAAAAUGCAUUCAUCAUGCAUGUAGCUUGUCCACCGUAUUUCUUCAAAUAAUAUUAUUAUGGUUUGUUUGCAGUAUAUUUAUUAACAUAAAAUUUUAAUCAGAGAAAUGCCAAAAAAAAAAAAAAACUCAUUUUGAUCAUAUCUUCAUAAUUGAUUAUUCAUUUUGAUGUUUUACUUCUAAUAUACCUGACAUUUUAGUUUGGUGUUUCGCUUAGGCUUUGAUUAUGGAACUAUUUCUUAUAAUUAUUGGUAGGAAAUUUCCAAUGGUCUUCCAAAUAGGCUAUUUACAAAAGAUUGAAAAACCUCAAUGUCCUUUCACAUUUGAAGAGAGUGAAAUUCAUAUAAAAACAAUCAAUACUACAAAAAUUUGUAUGAAGAUAAUGUUAUUUACAAAAGGUUAAUAGACCUUGAUGUCCUUUUAUAUUGAAAGAUAGUGAAAUUCUAUAUAAAAUAUUAAUAAUAAUAACCAACGCUACAAAAAUUUGUAUGAAGGCAGAGACCAUUUACAAAAGGUCAAUAGACCUCAAUGUGCUUUCACAUUAAAAGAUAAUGAAAUACACAAAAAUAAUAAUAAUAAUAAAUAAUGCUAUAAAAAUUUGUAUGAAGACAAACUAUUUACAAAAGGUCAAUAGACCUCAAUGUCCUUUUAUAUUGAGAGAUAGUGAAAUUUAUAUAAAAAAAAACAACCAAUGCUACAAAAGUUUGUAUGAAGGCAAACUAUUUAUAAAAGGUUAAUAGACCUUAAUGUCCUUUUAUAUUAAAAGAUAGUGAAAUUCAUAUAUAUAUAAAACUAAUAAUAAUAACCAAUGCUACAAAAGUUUGUAUGAAGGAAAACCAUUUACAAAAGGUUAAUAGACCUCAAUGUCCUUUCACAUUGAAAGAUAGUGAAAUUCACAUCAAAAAAAGAAAAAGAAAAAACCAAGCAUAUAUAUAUAUAGUAAUGUGAUAUUUUAUCUUAAUUCCUCUUUUAUUUUCAUCUUUUGGUAUUGAAUAAUAUAUUCUUCAUUUCUACAACCCUUUCUUUUUUCUUAACUAUUAUUAUUAUUAUUAUUUUUUGUACUUAGUAACAAUGGGUUCAUUUGACAUUCAUUCAAGAUCCUCCUUGUUUGUUCUCAAAUGAUUCAAAAGAAUGAUAUCAUAUAAGGAAUUUCUUAAAUAGAUGCUUGUAAAAUUAAAAAAACAAAGAAAUAUCAUCUCCUUUUCUUUAAUUUUUAUCCUUCAAUCAUGGGUAAAAAAUGAUAAAAGUGCAAUUAUGCUUUAUUUGGUACUAAUAAGAAUAUCAAAAUUUCUUCACCUCAAGAUAUUGAAGUCUAGCUAAGAAAAUAGAUGGAUAAAAGUAUGACAUAAAACUUUUUUUUUCCCAUUUGGAAGGUGUUUAUAUAUAUCAAGUGGCAUAACAAAAACAUAGGAUUUCCAAAAAGAACUUAAAAUGCAUUCAUCAUGCAUGUAGAUUGUCUACUGUAUUUCUUCAAAUAAUAUUAUUAUGAAUUUGUUUGUACUAUAUUUAUUAACAUAAAAUUUUAAUAAGAGAAAUACCAAAAGAACUGAAAAAGAUGAAAGCAAAUGUAGAAAAAAAAUUAAAUUAAUUCAUAAGAUAAAACAUACUAAGCAAACAAUUUCUAGGGGAGAAAAUUUUGAAAUUUUUAGUAAAAUUAGAAGUAUAUAAUAACAACAUAUUAAAGACUAGUUGCAUAUUUAUUCUAUGAAAUCAUUUCAAUUCAUGACAAAAUGAUAGUCAAAUGAAAAGAAGUUUGAAUGAAAUUUUAAGAUUAUUGAUAUGUUAAUACAUUAAACUAAUCAAUAUUUUUCUAUAUCUUAGCAGCCAUCAAUGACCUGAAGUUAGUAGGACUUCCCUCUCUCUAUAAGACUUUUUUUUUUUUUUCUCUUUUUUGAAAGGAUUUCAUUCCAUUUGUCAAGGUAAGGAAUUGUUUUUCCCUAUCUUUGUUUUUCUCCCUUUGAAUGAUUCACUUAUAUGUUAAGGGUUAGUUUCUUUGAAAAUUUUUUCCUAAAGAAAGAUAUUAUUUUAAUUGGUAAAUAUACCUAUCACUUUGUUGAUGUUAUAGAAACUCUCUCCCUUUUCAAGAUUGUUUUGUUUCUACUACUAUUUGAAAAUAAAAAAUAAAAAAAAUAUUUUAAGUGGUAGAAAACCAACUAAUGGUUAGUUAAAAUAAAUAUUAUAAACCUCAAGAAAUGAGAGACAACAUCCAUAAAUCAACAAAGUUAAAAUCUUUAAUGUCUUUUUUAUGCUUGUGAAGUGUGCAUAGCUGUCCUUCAUUCUCAAUGAUUUUUUAUUUCUAGGAUGACUUUAAGGACUCCUUCCUUUGCAUUUGCUUCUCUCAUUUUAUAAGUCAAGGUCUUUGAUGACUAUUAUUUGCAUUUUGUUUGUUUGUUUGUUCGUUUUUGUUUGCUUUUCUCCUUUCAACGGUCAACAACCAAUCUUCUUACUUUUAGUGCCUUUCUCAUUUUAUAAAUCACGAUCUUUGAUGAUUAUCUUUUGCAUUUUGUCUUUUUGCUUUUCUCCUUUCAACAUUAAACAACCAAUCUUCUUGCUUUUAGUGCUUCUCUCAUUUUAUAAGUGAAGGUCUUCGAUAAUUAUCUUUUGUAUUUUGUUUUUUGCUUUUCUCCUUUCAACAUUCAAUAACCAAUCUUCUUGCUUUUAGUGAUUGUCUUGAACUUUGAUAACAAGUGCCUAAGGCCUUCUAAGAAAUUUGCUUGAAGGCACACUACCAUCCAAAGCUCAAUAAACCAAGGAAAAUUGUAUGAAACUAUUUCAUAUCAUUUCUUGAAAUUCAGAUCUUGGUAAGAAAUUGAUUUGAAGGUAGGCUACUACCAAAGUUUAAUAAACCAAGGAAAAUAGAAUUCUUUUCACACUAUUUCUCAUGUUUGGAUAAUAUGAAAAAAAAAUAAAACAUUAUUAUUUUUUUUAAUUUUGUUUUUCUUUUGUUUUUCUCCUUUUUGACACUAAUUAGUAGUCUCACAUACAUGGAAUGCUCCCUACUAGAUCAUAUAUCCACAUCAAAAGUUAGAUUCAUUAAUCAUAGAAAGAAAAUUAGUAGCCUCACAUAACACUUAAAACAUUGUGAAAAGGUGAAUCUCAAUGAUGGACUACACCUAGAGGGGGGAGGAGGGGGGUGAAUAGGUGUUGUAGAACAAUUUAAAAAUUCUCCCAACAAAGAUUACCUAACCUUAGACUAUCUCAAUGUUAAGAAACUUCUCUUCCAACAACUUUUCAACAAAGCAUAACAUCCACAAGCAAGAGUGAAUGCAUCAACACUCUCCCAAUAAUUUAUAAAUGCAAAACACAUGCAAAUGCUUCAACACUCAAAAAUAAAUCAAAAGAACAAUCAUCUCCUCAACUCAUAUCAAUUGACUCCAUGAUAUCAUUAAACAAAAUGAACAUACAAAAUAUUAAAGAUAUUCCAUGGAUCAUCACACUUAUAUCACCUCAUAUUUCUUCCAUUCAACAUGUAUGCCCAAGUAAUCAAUGAUAUCAAAAACAGAAAAUAAAUCAAAGUGUAGAGUGAGAGAAAUAGACAAUGAACACCGGAUUUUUAAUGUGAAAAACCUCUAAAGAGAUAAAAAAAAAACUACAGACCUAUCACCAAUUGAAAAACUCCAUUAUGAAGAAUAAAAACUGAGUGCAAGGUUUUACCUAGCUCAAGCCAACCAAUCCUUCCCAGACUACUUGACUAGUACCUUCACUUUCAGCUUCUCACCUUCUUCUUUCGGAGCACACUUGGAGUCCGCACCAAGCUCAAUCACGACCUCUUCUUGAAUCCACACAAGAAGAAAAUGGGUUUUUGCACAAACCCAAAUAGAAUAAGAGAUUGAGAUAUGAAUGAAGGAAUGAAUCAACCCAUUUAUUGCUCAAGAAAAUCCAUUAAAAACUAGUUUGGAAAACAUUAAGAGAAGUGGAUUUUCUUUGCAAUCAAAAACCCCAAAUUAGGAAAACAAGAUGAGAAAAUGAAGAACACAUGGAGUGGAUGCUCUCUUCACGUUUUCUGCAGUCCCUGCCUAAAAAAAUGAGAGAAGAUUGUUUUUUUAAAAUAUAAAAAGAAGCCCUUAAUCUAAUGGCUAAUAUUUGAUCUAAAAAAAAUUAGUUGGAUCGAUCCACCCUUGCACCUAGAUAGAUCCAGAAACAGGGGAAUAAAAGUCUUGCACCAAAAACCAUUUCUCCCAACUUUCUAACAUAUUUAAAUAUUAAAAACCGAGUUGACUCACAUUCAAUCACCACACACUCAGCUACAUACCUCGGCCUCUUAGCAAAGUCUUAGUCUUCAAAGUCAAGUAGUCCGAAAAGGAAUUGGAAAGCCGAGUUAGGGGACACUUAGGAAUUUUGUCCGGAAUUGCCAACCCUAAACACUCACACAUUCACAAGUCACUAUCUCUAUAAUAAAACAAAUAGAGUAAUUAGAGUAUUAUUUUUUAAAGCUUUAUCACACAGCUUUCUAUGUAACAAGAAAGGAAGUAUUUUGAAAACUUGGUACAAAGUCUCCAUCCUCAUAAUUCGAUUUGGAAGGGUUUAUUGAAUUAAACCCUCCCUAAAGCGUUUCACGUGUGCCCACAAUUUGUGACGAUCAGGAAGAUUUUCAUUGAUCACUGGAACCUACUUAAAAUUCUGAAUCCAUGCAUGCAAUCGAGGGAAUGUGGUGGAAACCAGCAGUUUUGUGCCAACCAAAUGCUAUGUCCACCAGUCCUAUAGCUUCCCCUCCAAAAAACUUCUUAUCCCCAAGGCCUUUCUCUUCUAUGAUUUUCAGUAUUUCCACUGUUUCUUUUAUGGCCUUCUCUUGCUCUUCCCCAGCAGCAGAUUUAAAGAGUUGAAAAAAAGUGGCACUCUAGAAGAAAUUAGCAACAUGUAUAUUUAGAAUUGAAUGCAUGGUUGAAAACAAGAGUACGGUGAUCUCAAAUAUGAAUAAAAAUUAUAGUUAUUAAAUUAAUUAAAAAUAGGGGGAAAAAAAAAAGAUUUAGAAAGUCUACAAGUUCUUUUCAUUUUAAUCAUAGGUAUUAAUGGGAGAUUUCAAUUUGAUUCCUCUUUCCUCUCCAAAUUCCUUAAUUCCAAACCUAGCUAGGGUGUGAUAGCCAAACAGAAUACAGCCAAGCUCCAGCUCUCCCAAACCAAACCAAACUGAUCAAGAACUCAGCUCCCAGUUAGUUACAACAACCCAAGGAAGUUAGAACAACUGUAUAGUAGAGUAGAUUCAACUGGUAUAAAAACCAUGAUGUUGCUAUUAUAUUCAAGAGAUGAAAUGAAAAACACGGUUUUCAGUUCAGUUUCUAUCAUGGUAUCAGAGCAGAACGAGCUCUUGAAAGAAGUCUUCUUGAAAAGAUAAGCUUCAGGCUGCACAAUACGCUCAUCUCUCAAAAAACAAAAAAAAGAUUUAAAAAGUCUACAAAUUCUUUUCAUUUUAAUCAUAUGUAUUAAUGGGAGAUUUCAAUUUUAAAAAGUAUCAUGGCUAAUUUUUGGAUCACUUCAAUAAAUUUUUACAGAUAGCUAAUUAGAAAUUCACUAAUGAAUACUUUCACAAAUGACUGAAACCAAGAAAUGGGCUAUGAAAGCUAGAUGGAGAGCUUUCAUAUAUUUCAGUCUUGCAAAAGAUUCGGAAAUUAAAUCAUAAGAAUUGAUAAUAAAAACAAGAUUAGUGAGUUAAACCUACAUUUGAUUCUCCAAAAUUGAUCCAAAACCGAGCCAUGGCUCUCUCAUAAGCAUCUGUCGGCAGCAGUACAUUCUCUGGCCAUGUUUCUUCGAAUUAUUCGAGGAUUACAAGGGACUCGGCUACUGCUUUGUCACCAUGAAGAAGCACCGGAAUCUUCUUGUGAACUGGAUUGUGGUAUAACUGCAACUGGCUCUUGUUACCAAGGUCUUCCUCUAUAUACUCAUAGUUUAUGCCCUUGAGUUUUAGAGUCCAAAUCACUCAGUAACCAAAAGGGCUUGCCCAAAACUCUAAUAGCUUCCCUCAUGCCAUUGUUUUAUAGUAUGCCAGCUCAAUUUGCAGGGCUAUUAGUUUCAAAUCUUUGAACUUGGAGGAAGAUAGGACCCUUCUCUUCAACUAAGGAUUUUCAGCCUGUGUAAGGAGGAUUAUUUUUCAUGGCAUGCCUAGUUUUAUGGACUUCUUUUUGAAAGGGAGAUAUGAGAAUUUUUUUGAAGAUGACAUCAAUUUUUUUAAAAGGAGAAAGGAAAACAUUUAAAAGGAAUAAAGAUAUGAAAUUUUUUGAAGAUGACACCAAUUCUUUUUUUAAGGAGAGGAGAUUUUUUUUUUUUUUUUUUUUUAAAGGAAUAGGAGAUAUGAAUUUUUAUUUUGGAAGAUGGCGUCAUUUUUUUUUAAGGAGAAUGAGAAUUUUUUGAAAUAGAAUAUGAGUUUUUUGGAAGAGGAUAUCAUAAUUCUUUUUUAGAGGAUAUUUAUUGUAUAUUGUUUCACGUUAAUAAAGUUUUGAUUUUUAUUGAGUGCUUACAAAAUUGUUAGGACUUAUUUUUCUGGUUAUUAUGUAGUAUCUCUGAUUUUGUAUAUUGUUUCAUGUUAUUUAAGCUUUGAGUUCUAUUGAAUGCUUGUACUAUUUAUCUAAUUUUAUUAAAAAUAAAAUUUUGAAAAAUUUUGGUUUAAGUUUUAAAUUUUUGGAUAUUAUUCAUGAAAUUAGAAUUUUAUUAAAAAUCAAAAUUUGAAAAGUUUUGUUUGAGUUUUAAUUUUCUGGAUAUUAUUAUUCAUUUCAUUAGAGUUUUAUUAAAAAUCAAAGUUUGAAAAGUUUUGGUUUAAUUUAAUUUUCUUGAUAUUAUUCAUGUAAUUAAAAUCUUAUUAAAAAUCAAAAUUUGAAAAGUUUAGCUUGAGUUUUAAUUUUUUGGUACUAUUUAUUUCAUUAAAAUUUUAUUAAAAGUCAAAUUUUGAAAAGUUUAGUUUGAAUUUGAAUUUUUUAGAUACUAUUCAUGUAAUAAAAUUUUUAUUAAAAAUCAAAAUUUGAAAAGUUUAGUUUGAGUUUUAAUUGUCUGGUAUUAUUCACUGCAUGGGGAGUCUUCAUGUAGUGGAUAGUAGGUCAAAGACCCAAGCUUUGUCUUGUUGUUAUUUAUAUAAGAUACUGGAGUGUUCUCUCUAAUAGAAUGUUAAAUCAAUUUCAAAAUUGGAUUAUAAGGGAGCCAAUACUCCUAUGAGCCUUAGUGUUCCUACUCUGAGCUCAUAUACCAUGAUGAUACGGUUUGAAGGGAGGGUUGGUUUGACUCUAGGUUUAUUCUUGUGCAUAAGAGUGUUUUGGUAAUUAUACUAGGUUGCAUAGGGGAUAGUGAACAAGGUCUUUGGUUUGAGCUAAUUGAUUAAUUAGAUGACCCUAAGUGAUUAAUUAAUCAAUUAGAACUCGUUUUGGGCUAGAUUAAGUGACCUAGGCCUUGAUGGGCUUAAGUCACUUAAGCCUAAUGGACAAUCCUAUAAAUACCCCUUUAUGGGUUAGGGUUUCAUAAUGACUUGUGGUGAGAGUUGUCUUCCAACCCUAGAGAGAAAGUUAUAGCCUCCUCUUUUUCAAAACCCACACUUUUGAGUAUUAAGAUUGUGGUUUAAGUCAUCGAGUAGAAGAUCUUGGGUGUACAAGACCUCCUUGGAUGAAGGCUUACAACACUUGGACGUGCAUAGGUCGCGUGCAUGGGAUGCACAUAGGCGUGUGCAUGAGAAGUGCAUGAGAAGUGCAUGAGACAUGCACAGGCCUUGUGCAUAGGAAUCGCAUGGGAUGCGCACGUGGGCAACAACAUGAGGAACAUCCAUACAUGUUCUUCACAGUAAGGAAUUUAUUUGGGAACAUCCAGAUCCGAGGAUGAACACUUUUUAUCUAUAUCUUUAUUCUAAUAUGGUUUUUAUAGCCAUAUGUUUUCACUAUAAUAGAUUUAGAGAAGCUUAGAAUAGUUUACAUUCACCCUAUGAUAUCUAGGGCAUGAGAACAGAGUAAUCUAGGGUUCCCAACACUAGUAACUCUAUUUUAAGAGUGUUGAUUUAUCACAUGGCCCAUAAAAGUGAAUACAUGGACAUUUAUUUUUAAUAUGAAUGAAUGGAUGCAUGUUGAUUUUUUUAUUCUUUUUUCUCUUUCGAUUAGGUUGUAAACUUCAUAAGGAGUAUAGAAUUUUAAAUUUCUCCGUAAAAUAUUUUUCUUUUAAUGGAUGAGUUGUAAGCUCCAUUUUGAGAGCAUAAGGGUUUGUAUUCUUUGUAAAAGAAUUUAACUUUGGUCUAUCUAUGGUGACCUAAAAAAGGGAAUUAGAGCCCCUGAUUCAUUCAGGGGCAUUCAGAUAGAAAAAGUGAGUUUUUUUGAGAAAAAAAAUUGAAAAAAAAAAUGGAGAAUCAAGCUCUCAACAUAGUAGUCCAAGUGGUAACGCUCAAAUGUUACAAAUCACAACUUAAGCGUUUGAGUGCUCCUUUAGGUGUUUUGAGUACUCUUAUUAUGAUAGCUAUAAUUUCUCCAACAUGAGUUUUUUUUUCUUUUUUUUUUAAGGUUUUUCUAUAAUUUUAGAUUUUUUUUUUCCCAAUGUUUUUAGAAUUGGACUGGUCAUUGAAUAAAAAAGAUGACCAGUGGUCGAAGAACUAUCGAACCGAUGACGUCAUAAAUAUAUAAUUUAUAUAUUAAUAAAUAAUAAAUAAAAAAAUAAUAUAUAUAUAUAUAUAUAUAUAUAUAUAUAUAUAUAUAUAUAUAUAUAUAUAUAUAUAAAUUAAUAAUCAAUAAUAUUAAUUAUAUCUUUGAUAAAAGAUAAAAACAAUUAAUAUUUUGAAUUUUAUUAAAUGAAAUAUGUAUAACAUUUAAAUGUGAAAAUAUUCAAAAUGAAAGGAAAUCUGAUUAUCGGAUUUUAACUAAUUUUAUAAUUUUAGAAAAUAUUAUAUUAUUUUUAUUUAAUAUUAUAAAUCAUUUUAGAAACAAAUAUAUUUUUUCAUUCGCCAUUUUAAUCAACAAGAUGCAUGCAGCCAAGUGGUGGUGUACAUCUUUUGUUCAGCAUACAUCGAAUGUGGAUAAGUAAAAAAAGGCCCUUAUAUACCCAAAACUUACCCAAGUCACAUAUGCAGCACAGGAAACCAAGGUGUAGCCUAUCCAACAGUGUUUGAAUUGGGCUUUUAUUUGGGCCUCAUGGAAUUAAAAAAGAGGGGAAGUUUGGGUUUUAGAUUGGGUCCAUUUUAAUGAAAGAACAGUUGGGAUUGAACCGUUCGGUUCAUGUGAAACCGCCCAGUCCAGGUGGUUCAUCGGUUCAACCACCGAUUCGGACAGCUUGUUACCGAUUCAAUUAAAGGGAAGCAUUUGUACCACACCAGUUCGGGAAAUAACUAUAUGUUAAAUCCCCAAUGCAAGGAAAAGAUCCAAGUGACCAGAAUCUCCCUUUUUGUAUAAGGAACUUGAGCCUAGUUGUCUCAGCUGAUUCAUGUCCUCUCAAUUGUCCCUAACAGUGGUGCCAUUUGAUACGUGUCCAGCUGGUGUCCCUUGAUUGUGGUCCUCAUGGAGUAAUCAACAAAAUUUAUAACCUAUUACACCAUGUACUAGGAUAGCCUUAGCUAGCAUAGCAUAGUGGCUCUAGGGUCAUUCACUGGGAUGGGUUUUCACUUCACAAUUGAUAUUAAUUCCAAGUUGAAUUGGUGCGUUUUCAUUUCAAGGUUAGCUUUAAAAGAAAACAUAAUCUUUGGUGGAAAAAGGCCUAACAGUUUAACAAGGUGGACUGGACUAGAAAGUCCACCGGUCCAACCGAUUGGAGUGCCAAAUCGGUUCAGUUUUUAAAACAAGGUUUUUUUAUUUCUCUAACUUAAUUUUGGUUGCAUGGGUAUUUUGGUAAAUUUUUGAAUAAAUUGGAUUCUAAAUAUUUUUGCUACCAAAAUUUGUGACAAGAUGCCUAAGGGGGGAGGAAUUAUUUUAAUUUUCCUUUUUUUAUUCUUAAGCUUACAUAUAUAUAUGGCAUGUUGUGCAUGAAAAUUUGAUUUUUAGUAAUUUUGAUAGAAAUAAAUUUCUUUGAAAAUUAGAUUUCAAAAGGAUAUUUUUAUUAAAUUGGAAAAGUAGUGACUAAAGAAAGAACUUUUUAUCAAAAUAAAAUUUAAAUAAAGAGAGAAAAUUUUCAUUUUAUAAAAUUAUUUUGAAGGAUUUUAAAAUCCUUUUAUUUAAAAUUAUUUUAUAAGAUUCCUGAAAAAUAAAAGCUUUCUUUCUGGAUAAGAUACUCGCUAUAUUUUAAUUUUCCAUUUUUAGAAAUUUUCUUAUUUUGAGAAUUUUCAAUUAGAACAAUAAAUAAUUUUGGAAAAUUUCAAGAUAGGCAAUAAUAAGAUAUUACUAAAAAGUUUUGGAAACUUAGUAAUUUAAUGAGCAAUAAAUUUCUAGAAAAAUAUUAAUUUCAAGAUAAGAUAUUUAUUAAAUUGGAGUGGUGUAUGAGAAAGGAUAAUUUUAUAUAAAUUGAUUUUAAAAAUUGAGAGCAAUUUUUUUAUCAAAAUAAUUUAGGAUAAAAUGCUGUUACAAAAACUUUAUAAUUUUCAAAGUUACAUUCUCUUAUCUCCCUUGUGUUUCUAAUUACGAAAUUAAUAAUUUUAAAAUAUUUUAUAGAAGAUAAUUAUUUAUGAAGGGAAUUACCAAGAAAUUAAAAAGCUCUAAUUAACUCAAAAGAUAAAGUAGGCAAGGCCUUAGCAAAGCCCACAACCUUCAUUAUCAAGUCCACCUUGAUUUUGUGUCAUUGUCAUCCCAACAGUGAGUUGGCUAAGCAAUCAAAGGAUAUGAACUUUCCAAUUGGCGAGACUAGAUAUGUUAGUAGAACAACCGCCUCAACAAUGAAUUUUUUUUUUUACCAAUAUUAAUAUGAAAGAUAAUAAUCACACACUUAACUUAGAAGUAAAAUGGUUGAAUCAACCAAUGUGGUCCCACUUACAUAAUUAAAGGUUAAAUAAAAGGAUAUGUUGACCUUGCCUUAGAAUUUUAAGAUAGGAAGAUCAAUAUGAAAGGGUCUCUACCUAGUAAUAAGAUCAUGUCCAACCUAAGGUGGCAUUGAUACUUAUGAUUCUAUGAUAUCUAGAAAAAGCUAUGUAAUCAUAAGAGCUCUAUAUUUUGCUAAAUUUAUUAUCUUGCUUUAGGGUUAAUGCUUAGUAUUUAAUGCAUGUUGUUUAUUUUUGUUACAUUAAUCAUGUCCUUUAAUCCAAUUACUCCCAUUCUCACAACAAACAAAUUACUUAAACAUAAUUAUGUGAAUUAAAAGAGAUACUUUGAUAUAGUGCUUACAUCAAAGGAGCUUAAAUGGGUGUUUUAGGAAUUUACUUUUAUUGGAGUUGGGUUUAGGUGCCCAGAUGGGCUGACCCAACCCUGUCUAAUAAAUGAGAAAAUAUGGGAGGAGUUUCUAGGAGUUUUAAAACUACCCAAAAAAUGCCAUUAUUAAAAGAUUUAAAAAAAUGUUUUUUUCUCUUUUCUCUCUUUGUGAAAACUCUCUCGCUGAGAAUUCUCUCUCUCCAUGGAAAACCAAAGAGAGAAAGAGUAUGUUUUCUUUCUUCCUGAAAAUAAAGGCGAAGAAAUACGUUUUCUUUUUUCCCUAGAAAACAUAAGAAAGAAUAAUUUUUCUUCUAAAGAAACAAAAAGUUCUUUCUCUUAAAGUUAUUCUUGUUUUCUCCGUGAAAACGAAGGUUAAGGCUCUCGUGUUGUGAUAAAAGAAUGGUUAUCAUAUUUGUAGUUCCAUUCACGACUUGAGGCGAGAAAAUUAGUUAGUGAAACAACCAAUCUGGGUCUUGGGUAUUUCAGAAGGUAACUCAGAAUUUUCUACCUUUUAUUUAUUUUAUUUAUUUUUUUGUUUUGUUUUAGAGAAAGAAGAAUAUUUUUUUUUAAACAAAUGAACAAGGAAUAAACUUUUUUUUCUAGUUGUGGUUUUAGAAAAACUAAAAAAAUAAAUAAACAACAAAAUGGAUAAAUAUGAUUUUGGAUAUUGUUCCAAAUUAAUAAUAAUAAUAAUAAAAGCAAUGUUCCGGAAACAAAAAAUAAAUAAAUAAGGAAAAAAUAAGAACCACUUGGAGAAAAAAUAGGUGCAAAGUGCAUCCACUACAGCAACCUUGGACAAAUUGAAAUGGACAAUUAAAAGCCAAAAAAAAAAAAGACGAGCCACAAUUUUUUGGUUAUGGUUCCAGAAAAGCCUUUCUCCAAGACAAACAAAGGGGAACAUUUUUCUGGAAUUUUUUUUUUUUGAAAAAGUAAUAAUAAUGCUAAACAAGUUAAAUAUGUUUUAGUUUACUAAUUAACAUCAAAGUUGAAUUACUCUUGUUGGUUAGAACUCCUCUCAUGCUCACUUCAUACCCAACUUCGAGCUUUGAAGUCCUCAUCAUUCCUAUUUCAAGUUUUUUGAGUUGAAGUCAAAUUAUGUUGAUUUUUAGACUAUAAAAAAAUAAAAUAAAAAAUGAGGGUCUUAAAUAUGUUACCCAUUAGAAUAAAUAAAUAAAAAUGGAUGAGGGAUUGCGUAUGAAAAGGCUUGAUCCCUGACCAUAAGAGUAAGAGUCUUGCACUCUACCAACUAGGCUAGAUGUUUUUUGUUUUCAUAGAAAGACUAUGAUUAUAGAAAAUAACAUCUAGAGUUAUAAAAGACAUUGUGAAUAAUCCUAAUAUUGUUGUUCCUUUUAGCUUCAAGAGAAAAUAUUAGUUCUUUUUCUACAUGUUACUUUUUUAUGCUUUAUACAUGAAAUGUAUAUAUCUUAUAUGCAAGAUAUGAUAUGAAUAUUUAUUGUUUGAUAAAUGAGUAUGUCUUUUAUGUACAUGCAUGUCUUCAAUUAUUUUGUAUAUAUUAUUGAUACAUGCUAGUUGUAUAAUAUUUUUUAUGGAGUGAGAGGUUUUAGGCUAAAAAGAAAUUUAAGUAAUUUCUUGCCUAAAAUUAGAAAUACUUGAAUAGAUUAUUUCUAAUUUGUAUAUAGGAUUUUAUUGGGAACAUAGUGAACUUUCGUUUCUAUUGCAAUUUAAGGUUAUUACACAUUAAAAGAUGAUUAGAGCAGGUAAAAACAUCAAUAUCCAUAAAACUACCACUUAAUAAGAUUGUGCAAUAUCUCUAAGUAGUUCAAUAUGUCAACUACAACUAGGAACAUCAUAGUAGAAUUGAACAAGGAUGAGAAACUAAAUUACAAUAACUACAAGGUUUGGUAUUGCAAAGUUCAAUAUAUCCUUGUUAAGCAAGAGACUCUUGAUACACUAAAUCAUAUCAUGUAAGAACCUAAAUAAGGAAACUUUGCUCAACAUAGAAGAGAUCAAGAGGCUUAAAUGGCCUAGAAGAAAAAGAAUUUUUUAGCUCGCAUCACAUUAUUACACUAUAUGCAAGAUGAUCUCUUGAUUAAGUAUAAGGUUUACUAAACUGCUCAUGAAAUGUGGCAAGCUCUAAAGGAAAAGCAUGGUGGACUUUCAAUUAUUAAGCUGUGAGAACUUGUAAUGAAAUUUGAAAAUUACAAGAUGCGAUUGAACCAUACAAUGAAACAACAUCUCAGGGCGAUGAAGAGAAUGAUAAGAGAGCUUAAGGCAUCUGGGCAUGUCUUCACUGAUAAGCAACAAGUUGAGGUGGUCAUCAAAUCUCCACCAAAGAGUUGGGAACAUAUGGUGGUGAAUAUGACACAUAAUGAGAGUGUCAAGACUUUUGAUGAUAUAGUUCGUCAUUUCGAAUUGGAAACCAAGCAACUUAUGGUUGCUAGGCCUAAUAAACAAGCUCAUGUAACUGAAUCCAAUUCUCACAAACUUCCGGCUCUAAGUGUAAUAGAAAAUUCUUUAAGAAGAAUAAGAUAUCUAAUGAGGCUUCAAAGAAAGGAAAGAUUGAGACACACAAGAAGUUUAAGCGUACCAAGAAGGAUAAAAGCAAGUUGAAAUGUUAUAACUAUGGUAACAAAGGUCACUUUACUCGUGAAUGUACUAAGUCAAAGUAGACUCAGUCCCUAUUAAUCGAACAACUAGAGGCCAAAGAGCAUAUGUAGAGUUUAGGCCAAUUAGUUCUGAUACUAGAUGAAUUUAUGUAGGGAACAACUCCAAAGUUGAGGUCAAGAGUAUUGGAACUUGAAAAUUGGAGUUGCGUAAAGAAUGUGUCCUAUUCCUACAUGAUGUUAUUUAUAUUCUGGAUAUUCGAUGAAAUUUGGUCUCUGUGUUAGUCCUUUUUGGUUUAGGUUUCAAUUUGAGUUUUCAUAAUUCAAUAAUGGAGUUGUAUUUGGGAACAACAUAAUAUGGUUUUGGAUUUAUUUUGAAUGGUUUUAUAGUUCUUGACAUUGAUAAAUGUGUGUUGUCUAAUACUAAUGAUAGUUAUUAUUCAUUGAUGACUACUUCUAAAAAUGCAUGUGAUAAUGUGAUCAUACGGCAUGCUAGACUUAGGCAUAUUGGACAAGAAAAAAAUAAAUAGACUAGCUAGAGAAAAUCAUUUUGGUCAAUUCACUAAAGAUUGAUACACCAACUUGUGAAUAUUGUCUAACUGAUAAAACUACAAGAAAACCAUUUGGAAAAGGAACUAAAACUAAAACACCAUUGCAAUUAAUCCAUUUUUUACAUUGGUGAUCCUAUGAGUGUUAGAGCAAGGCAUGGAGCCUUGUACUUCAUCACAUUUAUAGAUGACUUUACUCAUUAUGGUCAUGUUUAUUUGAUUUCUCAUAAGUUAGAAACAUUAGAUUGUUUCAGCUGCUACAUUAAUUUAGUUGAGAAUCAGUUGGACAAAAGGAAUAAAACAUAAAGAACAAAUAUGGGAAAAGAAUAUCUAUUAGAACAAUUUAAAGAUUUAGACUCCACAACAAAAUGUUGUUGCUAAGAGGAAGAAAUAGAAUGUUGUUACACAUGGUUAUGUCAAUGGUGGCUCAAGCAAAUCUUCUUAUUUCAUAUUGAGGAGACACAUUGUUGACUACUUCUCAUGUACUUAACCAAGUACCCUCAAAGUUUGUUUCACCUACUCUAUAUGAGUUUUCGAAUAACCGAAAGCCUGAUCCUAGCAAUUUGCGACCUUGGGGGUCGAUGGCUUAUGUUCACAAUCCUUCUCAUAAAUAUGGAAAAUUAGGUCAUAGAGGGACGAAAUGUGUAUUUAUAAGAUACAGUGAACACUCCAAAGGGUAUGUGUUCAUAGGUGAGUAUGAAGAUGGAAAUUAGAAUCACGAGAUGUCAAGUUCUUAAAGGAUGAUUUCCCACGUACGGGUGAGAUUGAUAGGGAUUUACAUCUUUAUGAAAUGAUGGAUCUCGAUAUAAGAUCCGUACCCAAACAAAUUGAUGGUUGAAUCAAGUGGGAGUGAACUAGUACUCGUAGCAAGUAUAGUAAAAGAGUCGAUGUUGAGAAAAAGUUCUCAAUAAAUUAUUCCUCCACAACGAUUUGAGAUUGAAGGGGAAAUUCAUAUUGUCACUCAAUAUGAUGAUGUUGAGCCUAAUUUGGUUCAAGAGACUCUUACUUGUCCAAGUAAGGAUGAAUGGAGAAAAACAAUGGAAGAGGAAUUGGAGUUGAUGCAAAAGAAUCAAGUCUAGGGCUUGGUUGAUUUGCCUUUAGAUUGAAAAGCUAUUGGGAACAAAUGAGUUCUUAAAAUAAAACAAAAGACAGAUGGAUCCAUUGAAAAUUAUAAAGCUCAAUUAAUGACUAAAGGGCAUACCCAACAAGAGGGUAUAUAGACUACGAGGAAACCAUCUCUUUAGUAGUUAGGUUUGCCUCAAUUCACCUCAUUCUAGCUAUAAUAGCUCAUAUGGAUUUAAAGCUACACCAAAUAGAUGCUAAGACAACUUUCCUUAAUGGAGAGUUGAAUGAAGAAAUCUAUAUGGAACAACUAGUGGAUUUCAUUAUCCAAGGCUAAGAGCACAAAGUGUGCAAGUUAAAUUGAUUGAUUUAUGGCCUUAAACAAUCAUCUAGGUAGUGGUACUUAAGAUUUCAUUGUGCAAUAACUUCAUAUGUUUUCACAAUGAUUUAUGAAGACCACUGUGUUUAUAUUAAGCAAAAUAAAGAAAUUUUUUUUAUUAUCUUUAUACAUGAAUGAUAUACUUAUAGCUAGAAAUGAUUUGGAGUUUGUUUAAACCAUUUAAUGAUUUUUGUCAUCUACUUCUGAGAUGAAAGAUAUGGGAGAAGCAUCUUAUAUUCUUAGAGUAAAGAUCCAUAGAGAUCGUUCUCAUAAACUAGUCGUUCUUUCACAAGAAUACUAUAUUAAGAAUAUCCUUGAAUGAUUUAAUGUGCAAGAUUGCAAUUCCAUUGACACUCCUUUUGCAAGAGGUGAAAACCUAAGUAAAUAAAUGGGUCCAAAGACUCCAAAAGAAAAGAAAAAAAAUAACUAAUGUUCCCUACUCUAGUGUUAUUGGGAGUCUAAUGUAUGCUACGAUGUGUACAAGACUACAUAUAUCUAUUAUGUUGUUAGGAUGGUGAGUCGUUACCAAGAAAAUCCUAGAAUGAUGCUUUGGAAAAUAGUAUAGAGAAUUCUUCGGUAUCUAAUAGGCAUGUGAACUAUUCUUUUUGUUAUCUAGGCAAAGAAAUGCGCUUGUGGGUUAUUCACAUAUUGUUUGGGCAGAUGAUCUAGAUGAGCACAAAUCAACAUCUAGAUACACAUUCUUGCUUAAUAAUGGUGUCAAAUUAUGGAAAAGCAAGAAACAAACUUGUAUAGCUUUAUCAACCAUGGAAGCUGAAUUUAUUGUUUGUUCAACUGUAAUAUAAGAAGUCGUAUGAUUGAAAAGUUUUUUUGCAAAGCUUGGGAAUAGUCAAUGAUGUUCUUAAGCCAAUGACAGUCUAAAGUGACGGUCAAUUUGUGACUAUUUAUGUAAAUGAUCUGAAAUAUCAUAGAAAAACUAAACAUCUAGAUACCAAGAAUAAUUUUAAAAGAGAUGUUAUUGCAUGAGGAGGAAAUGAUCCUGAAUAUUUACCUACAUGUAAAAUGGUUGUUGAUCUAUUCAUGAAAUCCAUUCUAAGGAACAUAUUUUCUAUACAUGUAAAGUCAUUAGGACUAUGUAGGUUAUGAUCUAUGUGGAUCAUAUGUCAUGGAUUAUUAUUGAUUGGAUAUAUGAUGCUUUAUAUAUGUUAAAAUGAUAUGAGUAUUUGUUAUUCAUAUAAUUGAAUGUGUAAUUGGUACUUACAUAUAUAUAUGUAUGUCAACAAGUUGAGGUUAACUCUCUCACAUGAGCAAUUGCCCCAAUCAAUAUGUUUAUGAGUUGGGAUGAGACAAUAUAUUAAUGAUGACGAAUGAGUGAAUAGUAUACAAAAGAUUAUGAGUGUUGUCUUGAUUAAUUAUUAAGAUGAGGUCUAUAAUAAAUGAAAUCUUGACUGAAUGUAAUCGCCCACAAUUAUAUUUACCUGUUUGAACCGGACUUGAGUUUUAUCAUAAAAGGUUUAAAGAGAACAAUAGACGCAAAACGCAAACAAUCUACUGGUGUGAAGCUCUUAAUUAAGGUCCAUAUGGUGGUAGUUUGACAUACACUCUCUAAGUGGAGAGAAACCACCAUAACAUGUAUUUCAUACUACAUGUAUUUGAAUGUGACUAAUAAGGGAAGUGAGUGAUUAAUCUUUGCAUCUUCACUGUGUGAGAUCCUUAGGGCUUAUUACAAUUAUAAUAGCCCAUUAUUGUACUCUUUGUACUUUUGACUAUGUUUUGAGGUGACAAAUUAAUGUUGCUACUUUGGUAUGUUUUCGAUGGAAAUGAAAUAAUUUAUCCUUAUGGGACAUAUUGGGCAAACAAUUAAUUUGGAUCUAAAAGACAUGAGCUCAAAAGGAAGCCUUUUUUCUAGUUACAUUGAAAGAUGGUACCCUUCUUUUAAAGAAGAAAUGUCUUUUAUACUCAAAGAUUGUCUUUAUAUUCCUAACUAUAGAAAUAAUUUGAUUUCACUUUCUAGUUUAAAUAAAUGUGACUUUUUGGUUUCUUUUAAUAAAGACAUUAUUAGAAAGAAUGUUGUAUUGUGAAUAAUGGCACUGGCGUGAGAAGAAAUCGUGCAUCAUCAACUUUAGCACCAUAUUACAAUUGAGAUCAUGCACAACAAAAGUUCACUACAACUUAAAAAAAUAUCCUAUAAUUAAAGUUGUUUUUUUUUUUAUUGAUCAUAAGAAUGAACAUGAGUACAUUUUUAAUAUGGCUAGAUUUUAACAUGCAAGAAAAUCUAGAUGUGGAUGUAUCCAUGAUUUUACUUGGUUGGCUAAUAAAACUUCAAGGUCCCUCGCAAAUUAAAAGAAUUUAAUUUUUAUUUAUGCCUUAUUUUUUGCGAAUGCAUUCCUAAUUGAUUAGAUAAGGGUUUAAAUUUCAUUAUCUUUAUUUGAAUAUUAUGAACACACUAGUUAAUUUAUUGGUCAUUUCUAGAAUAGCAUAAUUUACCUAAUGAGCAUAGAAAAGAUGUUAUAAUAUACGCAUUAUGUGAACAUCAAUAGUCAUAUUUUGGUUGUUCACUUAUGAUCCCUGUUUUUCUCUACUUGUAAGUUGAGACUUAUAUAUAAGAAUAGCUCAUCCAAUGUGUUUCUAAAUACUCACACUCAAAUGAGGACUUAUUUUUAUUGUCUUUAGGAAUUUCUACCUAAAAGUGGUCAUAAAAUGCAAGGUUUCAAUUUUAUAGAUAUUUUCAUAAUAAUCAUAUUAUAAACAAUCAAUAAAAGUUAGUUUCAUGUAUGAAAUCAUAUAUUAACAAAAUAUAAAAAAUACUUAAAUCAUCUUUCCAAAAUAUUCAAAUAAUAAGGUGACUAAAGAAUUUAAAUAUACUUAUAAUUCACAUAAACAUGUAUACAUCCAUUACUUGUGAAUUAAAGAAUGAAUUCCAUAAAGGUUUUAAUCAAGCAAAAUCAGUACCAUAAUUUUGUCUUUAACUCGUUGUAAUAGACAGGGACAUAUACCUCUCUCAAAACAUUUGAAAUGAAAAUUUUGAAAUCACGAUGUUCUUCUUCUUUUGAAUUUGAUUGCUUGUUCUUAAUUUGACAUUCUCUUUCCCUUUGAGAUUAAAAACAAACAAACAAACAAACAAACAAACAAACGGAGUAACAAAUUAAAAAGAGUGUCAAUUCAACUCAAUUAGAGUCUAUUCAAAAUUGGAAAUUUCCUUGCAGCAACUAACUAGCUUGAAUGAAUAAGGAUGUAUGGGUUGAUCAAUUGAGCUUUGGGCCUUUGAAUAAUGAUAUCAAAUUUUCACUUUCAAUUGCUUGAGACAUUCCACUUGGAUAUCAAUCAAACCCAAGGUUAAGACAUUAAAUUAUGUAAUUUUCUAUAAUAAGAUAGUUUUAGAAAAUGUUUAAUGCUUCAAAAGUAAUAACUUAUGAAAUAAAGAAUCAAUCACAACAUAAGCUUUAGUUAACAAAUACAAUGCCAUGAUUUUAUAUUUUCGCUCAUUUGAAAUACGUAGGAACCCAGGGUUAUCAAUCAAACCCAGGUUUAAGACAUUAAAUUAUGUAAUUUUCUAUAAUAAGCUAGUUUCACAAAAUGUUUAAUGCUUCAAAAGUAAUAACUUAUGGAAUAAAGAAUCAAUCCCAACAUAAGCUUUAGUUAACAAAUGCAAUGCCAUAAUUUUAUAUUUUUGCUCAUUUGAAAUACAUAGGAACAAAUACCAACAUGCAUCUUAAAGUAAUCCAAAACAAAAUACUUGAAAUUGAAAUAUUCUUUCCCAUUUUAAAGGAGAUUCUAUCUCUUUACACCAAGAAUUAUGAAUAGAGCAAAAGUGUGAGUUUAAAUUGGCAUCACUUUAAUCAAAAUCUCAAAUUGGGUUGAAGUAUUUGACUUGCCUUGAUUAAUAAGGGCAUCCGCAUCCAUGGCUUAACCAAUAGGGGCUGGGCAUUUGACAUUAUGUAUUUAGCAGCUUGGAAUGUCCCAUCAAAGCUUGAUGUGUACUAACUUUUCCAACAAAAUGUUUAAUCUGCAAAAAAAUUAACAAUGCAAUCAAGCUUGUCCUACAAAUGCCUUAAAACAAGUUCCAAUAAAAAUGGGUUUUGAAAAAAAAAAAUUAAAAAUUAAAAUUCAGCCCCUUGGAAUCAGCAAGGCAUAUAUAAUAGAAACUAAGAAAAGGAGGGUGGCUUAAUUACCAAAAAGUUGAGAUAAAUGUUUGGUCAACAUCAACAAUUCUCUUACUUGAAAUUAGUGUCUUGUGCAGCAUAUCCAAUGAACAAAUUUGCAAAGAAGCUCCAGCCAUCUAUGCAUAUGGUCCAUUUCAUGGUCUUGGGCAUCAACACCAUUAUCAUCAAUAUUCAGGGUGGUGCCAUCACAGCUUCUCUCCAUUCAUUUGAGUGAUAUCCCUCGGGAAUAUUUGACUUAGGAUAAUAUAUCAAGCACCCUUGACUUGAUGCAUCUUCAUCAUAGCAGAAUUCACAAAAUUGAUGAGACUGACAGGAAAAAUAGGCACUGUCAUCAUCGAAAUUCAAUUUACAGUUGAAAUCCCUAUGUGGUGUGGUCUCAAUCUCAAGUGGAACAUAAGGAGAGCACAGAACAAAGCCCAAGAAGUCAUCAUUUUCAUACCAACUCCAGGGAAGUUUCAUUGUUGUAGGGACCCCUCCCUCUGGGAAACACGUGGCACGCAUCUCACAAUGACACGUGGCACGUGUCAUCAGCUGGACCAUCAUCAUCCGGAUCCCCCUAAGGAUGCGUAUUAUACAGUUCUCCUAUCCGGACCGCCUCAAGGAAAGGCAAAUGACGUUUCAGCUUCUCCUAUCCAAGGAAGAGCAAACGACGCUGACAGAUCAUAGACAUCCGGACAACCUUCAUAACACAUUCGCUCCACAAUACAUCCGGAUAAUCAGCAUGUGACAUCCGGAUAUAAUCGUCCGGCUCAUCAAUUAAAGUAAAGCGAGUCUUACACGCUAUCACAACAAACAGCCAUGGCCCACAUCCUAUCAUCUGCAAAGUGAGAAGACAAGAUGAGGUGACAGCAAGUCACUUCCCACGAUCAAUUUUACGUGAUCACUUCCCACGAUCUCUGACAGCCGCAUCACCUACCAUGGUUUCUGACAGCCGCUCGUAGGGUGAUGAUGCUCAUACUGACGCCUAUUAUCAUCAUAACAACAUAAAAUAUCUCCUCACCAUUAAUGAGGAGGACAGUACCCCUAAAGCUGUAUAUAUAAGCCUUCACAUGAAGAAGAAGGGAAUCCCCCUGGUAACCUCCUAAUACCUGGUAAAGGGCCAACUGAUUUAUAUCUCUCUCUGACCAUGGCUAACAAAACCAUCGGAGGGUGCGUCCGGACACCCUGUCCGGAUGCCUUCUUGCAGGUAUAACGACUGGAUCAAGAACCUUUAUGAGUUGAAAUCACGUGUCCAUCCAUCUGGCAACUACGUGGAUCAUCAAAGACGCGAGGUAUCAACAUUGGCGCCGUCUGUGGGAACUUUUUACUUUGAUUCAGUCACUAAAAAAGAUGGCCACACCUUCCCAAAGCCGUUCAUCUGGUAGGGGAGAGGAUGAUAAUUUUGAAUGGCGCCUAGCCAUCGAAAGGAGACAGUUGGCAAGCGAAAGACAGCUAAAAGCUCUCCUCCAGGAGACAGAAAGAUUGAGAGAAGAAAACGCGGUGUUACGCAUCCAGGCUUCAACAUCAGGGCCUCCUCGACGUCAGCGUUCGAGGAGCCAAGUAGCAAACUCAAGGCCUCAACAAGAACCAGAGUCAAUAUAUCCUGGGACAACAGGAGCUAUCCCAGGAGCAUGCAACGUAAGACCUCAUGAGCCACGCACGCCUAUGCCUCGAGCUCCCCGUGAGGAAAGCUCAGACUCUACUCAUUUUUCAGCGAAGAGACAACGUGAUAAAAAAUCCCAAUUGUCAAAUUCGAUGCGCGCAAGACUAGGCCCACAAGAGCCUGGAAGAUCAAGGCCACCAAUGGCCACAACUUGGGCACCACGCCCUGACCCCAUGGCCACCCCCAUGGUGCAAAACGUUUACCCGCAUCGUGACCCCGUAGUCACCCCCGUAAUGCGGAACGUUCAUUCGCACCCAACAGAACAGCCAACUGGGAGAAACAUCCCAAACGGGCCACCCAUUGGCUCCAUCAGCAAAAGGCUGGAUGACAUGCUCUCCACGCCUUUCUGCUCUCAUAUCAUUAAUUACGAGCCCCCAAGGGGAUUCCUCGUACCAAAAUUUUCCACAUACGAUGGAACCAAUGAUCCCUUCGAUCACAUCAUGCAUUAUCGACAACUCAUGACGCUCGAUAUUAGCAACGAUGCACUACUAUGCAAAGUAUUUCCCGCCAGCCUACAAGGACAGGCCCUUUCAUGGUUUCAUCGCCUACCGCCCAACUUCGUUGGCAAUUUCAGGGACCUGUCCGAAGCUUUCGUGGGACAAUACCUGUGCUCCGCUCGACACAAGCAAAAUAUCAGCACCUUGCAAAACAUAAAAAUGCAAGAUAAUGAAUCCUUGAGGGAAUUUGUGAAGCGGUUUGGCCAAGCCGUACUUCAAGUGGAAGCUUGCAGUAUGGAUGCUGUCCUAUAGAUCUUCAAACGAAGCAUCUGUCCAGGCACUCCAUUUUUCGAAUCACUGGCUAAAAAGCCUCCUACUACGAUGGAUGACUUAUUCAGACGAGCCAACAAAUAUUCAAUGCUCGAAGAUGACGUACGUGCAGCCACCCAACAAGUUUUGGUUGCCGGAAGGCCGUCUAGAAGUAAUUCGGAGAGAAAUACUAAACCUCCGGAUCGGCCAAAAUCGUUUGACCGAAGGCAGGAAGGGCCAAGUCGCCCGAAAAUGCCUCCUCUCACACCUCUUUCUAUAUCAUAUGAGAAGUUUCUCCCGAUGAUCCAGGACUUGUCCAACUUCAAGUGGCCUAGACCCAUUGGAACGGACCCAUCCACAAGGGAUCGUAGUAGGAGAUGUGCCUUCCACAAAGAUCAUGGCCAUACAACAGAGACAUGCCGAUCUUUCCAGUAUCUGGUCGAAAGGCUCAUAAAAGCAGGGCAUUUGAAGCAAUACCUCCGAUUAGAUAAUGGACGAAGGGACACACCCCAACAUCACAACCCCGAGAACCUUAGGGCCCCAGCUACCCCCAAGGCCGUUAUAAACUAUAUUACCGAGGGUCCAUCUGACGAGGAGUACGACUCUAGGCGAAAGAGGCAAAAAUUGUUGCGAGCCGCAUCAAUACGCGAACGCAUCAACUCCAUCCGGCCUGGGCUAACUGGAGGGGGCCCUUGCCCCAUAGAUGGAACAAUCAUUUUUCCACCGGUGGAUCCCACCCGAACACUGCAGCCGCAUCGCGACGCCCUCAUCUUGUCCCUGGAAAUUGGGGACUUCGAUGUGCGGCGUAUCUUGAUUGACCCAAGCAGUUCGGCCGAUCUUGUGCAAGCAUCGGUCGUGGGCCACAUGGGACACACUCUCACAGGCCUCGAAAACCCUGGACGAAUCCUAUCCGGAUUCAACGGGUCUUCAACUACAUCCUUGGGAGACAUUGUACUGCCGGUCCAAGCAGGCCCAGUCACUCUCAAUGUACAGUUUUCAGUAGUACAGCAGCUAUCACCCUUCAAUGUCAUUUUGGGGCGCACAUGGCUCCACUACAUGAAAGCUAUCCCCUCUACAUACCAUCAAAUGGUGAGUUUUCUCACCAACGAUGGCCAAGUCGACCUAUAUGGCAGCCAAUUAGCCGCUCGCCAGUGCUAUCAGAUAGCACGUGAAGCAGGGGCCAACCAGGAGGAUGCAUCUCCCCCUGAACCCAGCAUUGCACAUGACCAAUAGCAAUUAUUGGGUCCGACGGACAAAGAUCCCCCGGCAGCAGAUCCCUUACAAACAAUCCAAAUUUCAGAGGAAAACACUCACCUCACGAACAUCAGUUCCCUCAUGACACGAGAAGAAACGCAGAGCAUGCAAAAUAUUCUCAAACAGAACCAUGACAUCUUCGCAUGGGCACAUUCUGACAUGAAGGGAAUUCAUCCCUCCAUUGCAUCUCACAGGCUUAACGUCUUUUUAACUGCCAGACCCGUCCGGCAGAGGAUUAGGCGAUUUCACCCGGAUAGACAAAGAGUCAUCCGGAAUGAGAAUGACAAAUUACUCGAAGCCGGAUUCAUCAGAGAAGUUUCUUAUCCGGAUUGGUUGGCAAACGUAGUAGUGGUACCCAAAAAAGAAGGAAAAUGGCGAGUUUGUGUAGACUAUACCAAUCUCAACAAUGCGUGUCCAAAAGACAGUUUUCCCUUGCCUUGAAUAGAUCAGAUUGUGGAUUCCACCUCCGGGCAAGGAAUGCUCUCUUUCUUGGAUGCCUUCUCCGGAUAUCAUCAAAUCCCCAUGUCCCCGGAUGACGAAGAAAAGACAGCAUUCAUAACGCCACACGGCCUCUAUUGCUACAAAGUCAUGCCAUUUGGACUCAAAAAUACUGGCGCCACUUAUCAAAGAUUGAUGACUAAAAUCUUCAAACCUCUGAUAGGCCACUCGGUAGAGGUAUAUAUUGACGAUAUCGUGGUUAAAAGCAAAACUCGAGAACAGCAUAUCCUUCACUUACAAGAAGUUUUUCACCUCUUGCGAAAGUAUGGCAUGAAGCUAAAUCCUUCCAAAUGCUCCUUUGGCGUGAAUGCUGGCAAAUUCCUGGGAUUUAUGGUCAGCUAAAGAGGCAUAGAAGUCAGCCCGGAUCAAGUCAAAGCAGUCAUGGAAACACCCCCUCCCAGGAACAAGAAGGAGUUACAAUGCCUCACAGGCAAGCUCGUUGCGUUAAGGCGUUUCAUAGCCCGCUUCAUUGAUGAGUUGCGACCCUUCUUCUUGGCAAUACGAAAAGCUGGAGCACACGGAUGGACGGACAGUUGCCAAAACGCUUUGGAAAGGAUUAAGCAUUGUCUUAUACAACCACCCAUCUUGAGCAGCCUCAUCCCAAAGGAGAAAUUGUACAUGUAUUUGGCAGUAUUAGAAUGGGCAAUCAGCGCCGUUCUAUUCCGCUGCCCCUCACCCAAGGAGCAGAAACCUAUCUACUAUGUCAGCAGGGCAUUGGCAGACAUAGAAACCAGAUAUUCAAAAAUGGAACUAACAGUCUUAGCCCUUCGGAGCGCUACCCAAAAGCUCCGGCCCUAUUUCCAAGCCCACCCGGUGAUCGUGUUAACCGAUCAACCCCUUCGCAACAUUCUGCACAAACCAGAUUUAACCGGGAGAAUGCUGCAAUGGGCCAUUGAGUUAAGCGAAUUUGGAAUCGAAUUCCAACCUAGAUUGGCCAUGAAAGGCCAAGUAAUGGCUGACUUCGUGCUAGAAUAUUCCCGAAGACCCAGCCAACAUGACGAAUCAAGUAAAAAAGAAUGGUGGACUCUGCGAGUUGACAGAGCCUCACGCUCAUCAGGCUCUGGAGUCGGGCUCCUAUUACAGUUCCCAACUGGGGAACAUUUGGAACAAGCCAUCCGGCUGGGAUUUUCUGCCUCUAACAACGAAGCAGAAUAUGAAGCCAUCUUGUCCGGAUUGGACCUCGCCCUCGCUCUAUCCGUCUCCAAACUCCGGAUCUACAGUGACUCACAACUCGUGGUAAAGCAUGUCCAGGAGGAAUAUGAGGCUAAAGACGCACGCAUGGCGCGAUACUUAGCUAAAGUAAGAGACACCUUGCAGCAAUUCACCGAAUGGGCAAUCGAAAAAAUCAGGCGAGCUGACAACAGGCUCGCUGACGCCUUGGCCGGCAUAGCUGCCUCCCUCCCCAUCAAAGAAGCCAUUCUAUUGCCCAUACAUGUGCAACCCAACCCCUCUGUCGCAGAAAUUUCCACCUGCAAUACCAUUGAGACAAACCAGGCGGAUGGCCAAGAAUGGACGUAUGACAUCACAGAGUAUAUCCGGACCGGCACCCUACCCGGAGAUCUCAAACGGGCACACAAAGUCCGGGUGCAAGCUGCCCGUUUCACCCUGAUUGGGGGGCACCUGUACAAGCGAUCCUUCACAGGACCUUACCUUCGAUGCCUAGGGCAGUCAGAGGCCCAGUAUGUGUUAGCUGAGUUACAUGAGGGAAUAUACGGAAAUCAUUCGGGAGGACGAUCUCUGGCACAUAGAGCUCAUUCGCAAGGAUACUAUUGGCCAACAAUGAAGAAAGACGCGGCAGCAUAUGUCAAAAGAUGUGAUAAAUGUCAAAGGUAUGCUCCCAUUCCACAUAUGUCAUCAACAACGUUAAAAUCAAUCUUAGGCCCAUGGCCCUUCGCACAAUGGGGCAUGGACAUAGUGAGACCUCUCCCAGCUGCACCUGCCCAAAAGAAAUUUUUGCUUGUUGCCACAGACUAUUUCAGUAAGUGGGUGGAAGCUGAAGCAUAUGCUAGCAUCAAAGACAAUGGUCCACAAUUUGAUAGCAUUGCAUUCAGGAAUUUCUGUUCGGAGCUAAACAUCCGGAACUCAUACUCCACACCACGAUAUCCUCAAAGCAAUGGGCAAGCAGAAGCCACAAACAAGACCCUAAUCACUGCCUUAAAGAAAAGGCUUGAGCAAGCCAAAGGAAAAUGGGUCAAGGAGCUGCCCGACGUCCUAUGGGCCUACCGAACUACACCCGGACGGCCAACAGGAAACACUCCUUUCGCUCUCGCAUAUGGAAUGGAUGCAGUCAUUCCUACCGAAAUAGGUUUCCCUACUAUCCGGACUGACGCAGCAAAACAGAGUGAUGCAAACAUAGAAUUAGGAAGAAAUUUGGAUUGGACGGAUGAAGUGAGGGAAAACGCGGCCAUCCGGAUGGCAGAUUAUCAACAAAGGGCAUUAGCACAUUACAAUCGCAAAGUGAGGCUAAGAAGCUUCAAAAAUGGUACGCUAGUCCUUAGAAAAGUUUUUGAAAAUACUACUAAAGUGGGUGUGAUUCAUGCCCAAUUGGUGUCUCAGCUGAUUCAUGUCCAGCUGGUGCUCCUUGGAUGAGGGAGUGAUCAACAAAAUUUAUACCUAUAACACCAUACACUAGGGUAGCAAAUAAAAAGCUACUAUAGUAUAGUGGCUCUAGGAUCGUUCACUGGGAAUGAUUAACAAGCAAUCAAGGAUACCAAUUCCAAGUGAAUUGGUCUUGUUUCAUUUCACGGUUAGCUUAAGAAAUAAAACACAAACUUUGAUUGGUAAAGGUUGAGACUUAAACUAACUAACUUAACAGAAGUUUGGAAUAAUUUAGGAAGAAAAGCAUUCCUUGGAGAUUUAGGUUCACUGGGGUGGUUCCUCAUGCAAAAGACACGGCUCUGGUCAGUUGGUUCAUUUCCUCGCAUUAGAGAUUCAACAUAUAGUUAAUUCUCUAACCGGUGAUGUACAGAGACUCCUUCAAUUAGAUUUCACUUUAAUUCUCUCACUGAUGCAACUUGCAAUGGUUCAUGCCUCUCACCAAGCCUCAACCAUUCAAGGUGAUCUUUAACCUUGGACUUCCUUUCACAAACUCACAAGAGAUAACUAAUGGAUGUCUCCUAAGAGUCCAAAAGCUUAUCAAGUGUUGGUUAUUCUAGAAAAUCCCACCUUGAAGUCACCUACCAAAGGCUCGCAAGGGGUAAACUAGUGCAUUUCCAUGGUUGGAAAUCACUUGCCUUACCAAGUGUUGGCCCAGGUGACUCUAAGGUGUUUUAAGUUAACUAAAAACAUUGAAAUCACUAAAGGAUUUCACUUCCUCUUCAUUACUAGCUAAAACCACAAAGCUUUGCAUUCUUGCACUUGGAACCUUCCCCGGCAACCUUAGCUCCAAGGAAUUGGAGGUUUAGUUACUCAUUCUCUGGGGAAAACUCCUCAGAGAAUUUAUAACUAAAAAAUAAAAUGAAAAUACAAAGUGAGAAGGUAAGGCAGUAGAAAGAAAAGACCUUUACUUGCUUACCAAAUGGUUACAGAAAAAACUCCUCCUUGAGAACAUGCUCCCGAGAGGUAUUUAUAUCAAAACAAAAUAAAACUAAUUCUUACAAAGAUAUUUAGUCUUUUUACUAACUUAAAAACUAAGGAAUCAUGUAAUUGGUCGUUUACAAGGAGUAUUUUGGGAUUUAGACAACAAAAAUCUAAUGGAAAAUAUCUCCCAAUGUCGGUAGCAAGCUUCGGGAGGCUUCAGGAGCCAUUUUGCAGGAGAAAAGUGGUGUCUGCGAAAUUGGUAGCAAGCUUCGGGAGGCUUCAGGAGCCAUUUUGCAGGAGAAAAGUGGUGUCUGCGAAAUUUCGCAGACACCCAAGAGGGCUGCGAAAUAUUUUUGCAAUAGCAAGCUAUCUUCACCAGGCUGCAAAGUUGGCUUCCAUCUUGAGGUUCCUAGCUUCCCUCUUGCGGCAUAAAUCAGGCAUCGUCAGAAGGAGAAACACUCUACUGUACAAAAAUGCUGCGAAAUCACUUCGCAACAAAAGGGUGAUUUCGCAACACUCUCCAAAAUGUUCUCUUCAGCUCGGAGUGAUUGGCUUGUAAUGGCUGCAACUUCUUCGUUUCAACUUCGAAUUGCACACCGUUUGAAGCAUUGGAUUGUUGACUUCCUGAGCUUUGAAAUGGUAUAUAGCAUGCAUCAUUUGGACUUCAGAAAGUGCCCCAAAAGUGGCUGCUACAACUGUCAUCAAGAACAUGCUUUAUGGCAGAUUCUCUUUGCUUUUUCUCCUUGCAAUCCGGAUUCACUCUUCUAAGCUUUGCCCAAGAUUCCUCAUAGCUCUCCUCAUUAUUGACUUGCUUUGGUGAUCAAAAUACUAACAAAAACACCAAAACUUACACAAAGUGAUCAAAAUUGCUUUAAAGGAUCCUUAACAUGCCAAUUGAGUUAAAAGGCCUAAACUACUACUCAAAAGUGGUUAAAAGGAUUGAUUAUAGGCUAAUCAAAUAGCACUUUUUGAGUAGUAAUCAGGGUGCAGGGAAAUUCCAAGCCAACUGGGAAGGACCCUAUAUAGUGUCUAAGGCAAGUGACAAUGGAGCCUAUCAUUUACAAAAGUUAGACGGAACUCCAUUACUUAGGCCAUAGAAUGUGUCUAAUUUAAAACAGUAUUAUCAAUGAAAAAGCAAAGACAAGUGCAAAUGGAAAAAUAACUGUUUUAUUGAUGUAUAUAAAUGUAUGUACAAAGAGGUCUCCGGACCAUAGAAAGUACAAAAAGAAGAUUACAGCAAAAAGUUGCAAAACGACAAAAGCUAUCAGGGAGCAGCCUUAAAGUUUCUUCUCUUCACCCGGAGGAAUUGAAGGGACAUCCCGCUUUAUGCCAUUCUUCUUCAUACAACAGCGAUAGCCGAAGAUGAAGGUGUCAUCCACUUGUUUUUGGUAGUCCACUUCAAGUUCCUCCCUUUCUACAGCAAACUCCCGCUCAAGCUCUUCUCUUUGCACGGAUAAGCGCAACUGCAAAUCUUCCUUCUGCUUCUUUUCAAUAGAAGCCUCUGUCCGGAGUUGCCUCACCUCUCCCCCUAUCCGGGCUAUCUCAUCCUCUGCCUCAUGCAGACGGGCAAUCGAUGAUUCCUCCCGGUCCUUAGCCUCAGCCAAUUCCACCCGAAGGGCUUCAUUGUCCUCUCGAGCGGUGGAUAAGCUGGCUUCAGCCUCCGCCAGUCUCAGGCGCAACUGAUCUUCAGCAUCUUUGCGCCGAAUGGCGAAGGCCUUCAUAUAAUCAGUGGUCCGCAGCAGGUCAGUGAAAAGAUCGUAUUGAUUGGCCAUGCCACGGAGACCACUCACCAGCUGCAGGCAAAUAGUCAAAACAAGAAAAGCAAAAUUAGAAAUCACACCGCAAACGCACAUCAGGAUGACAAAAAUCAAAGAAGCAUAAAAGCAGUUUACCGUUUCCACCAUCUCGAACAUCUGGGCUGAAGUCAUGACAGUGGGCAAGCCAGGUGGAAUCUGUUUCAGCUUCUCUUCCAACUCCGUGUAGCUAAAAGGACUAGCGGAGCCGCAAGCAGCAUCAUUAACAGGAUCCCCGCCUGAUGAGGCAACAGAAGGAGACUCUUGUUCCGGAUUCUGGGCCUCAACAUUUACGACCGGAUGGGUCUCCCCGGGUGCAACCUCAGCCGGGACCAUCACAGGGACGGCUGAAGGCUCAGUUGCCAUCUCCACUUCACCCCCCUCCGGAUGAGCGUCGUGGGCGGAUGAGCAACUAACUUCAAUCUCUUGCUGACGAUCUUGAAGCCGCCCGAGGAGUUCGGACCUCAGAUUGCGCGCCGAGCGAGGCCUCUUUGAAGGUGGCCCCUUCACCAGAAUAAGAGCCAGACAGUCCAGAUCGUCAGAGGGCUGACUCUGACUUUCCGCCCCAGCUUCCUCCAUGGGGGUCGCACAAACGGCCUCAGCUGCAUCGGCAUCUGAAUUACGAGAGUCCGGAUGGUUGACGGACACAGCUUCCUCAGCCAAAUUCGCCAGACGGGCAACCGCUGCCAAGGAGGUGCUUGAGUGGUUCAGCCCCGCGACGUGUCCGGAUCCGCUUGAGAUGGAAUGAGGAGCAAGGUUCACGGGCUCCUCUAUCAUUACCUCCGCCUCGUGAGUAAUGGGCGGAGGAGCAAAUUCCUUGGGAGGAGUGGGCUCCUUCACGUCCUUCCCAUUCUUCUUCACCAGCUUCCUCCUUUUCGCUGGAGUUUUCUUUGGAGAAGAGUCUUGAUUACUACCAAAAAGUGCUAUUUUGUAGACCUAAUUAUAAUGGUUUUAAGCACCUUUGCGUAGUAAUCAUAUUCAUUUAACCCAAUUAAUUCAUUAAGGUCCUUAGUAAUUGGUUUUAACCAUUUUGUGGCAAGUUUACAUGUUUAUAUCAGCUUAUGAAUCAAUUCAAGCAUGCCAAAUGAUGGAGGAGCUACUUGGACAAGUUAAAGCAAGAUUUUAGCUACACCAAAGCAAGCCAACAAAAGGAGAAAAGCAAAGAGAAGCAAAGAGAAGCAAAAAGAAGCAAAGAGGAAAACAGAUGACAGCAGCUUCAGUCUUCUUUGGCACUUUUGGAGUACUUCCCGAAGUCCAUUUUCUACAUACUAUAUACCAUUUCAAAGCUCAGGAAGUCAAGAAUCCAACGUUUCAAACCGUGUACAAUUUGGAGCUGAAAUGAGGAAGAUAUGGCCUUCAGAAGACAACUGCUCCAGGGUUGUGCGAAAAUUUCGCACAACACCUUCCAAAUUCGCACAGCCCAUGCGUGGUGCGAAUUUUCCUCUGUUUCUGCCGACUCCACACGAGAUCUUUUCUUUUGGAUAUUUUUGUAUAAAUUUCCAUUCUUCUCCUUGUAAUCCACCAAUCAUAAGAUUUCUUAGCUAGGAAGGUUGGAAAAACUUCUCUAUUUAUAUCCCCUUGCAUCCGUUGUAACAAAUAUUGAUAUAUUGAUAUAUAGAUAUAGAAUACAUAUUACGUUUUACACUUAGAAUAUUUACAGAGCUCUCCCGUUUCUAUUUUCUUAGUAGCCAAACAGCCUUUGAGGGUUUUUCCUCAAAGGAUGAUUGGCUAAAACUUUUAGUUUCUCAAAGUAUGGAUGUUAUGUGAUGACUUGGAUGCAAUCCCAUGGAAAUUUCUCGCACCUAGAAGGUAAGGUAGUCGUUUUUCAUUAAAGGUUCAUUAAGGCAAAGUUUGGUUUUUAUUUCCUUUGGACAACUUCCAACGGCCAAUACUUGAUAAGCUUUUGGAUUUCUAUCCAUUAGUUAUCUCCUACGAGCUAUUGGAAGAUGAGGUUUUCAAUUCCAAGUUUUGCAUUAAUCCGUUAGAACCAAUUUCAAUGGCCAUUGAAAGGUGAGUUUAUCACCUGGAAUGACUUUGAGUUGCCAAUAUUUGGUAAGCUUUUGGCUUUAGACCAUUAGUUAUCUCUUACGAGCCAUUCAAAGGAAGUCUAAGGUGAAUAACCAUUGAUGAAAUUCACUACCAUCUAUUUUGCCAUUUUAAAGGAUUAAAACUUGAUUUGCUAAAUCCAUACCGGUUCGGGAAGCAAGCAUCACCAUAGUUGCAACCCCAACGCGAGGAGCCUAUCCUGAGAUUUUCAAUUUGCAUAAGAGCCAGAGCAUAGCUAUCCUAUCUUUGAGAAACUUGUUUUUACACCCUUUCAUUUUAGUCUUUAAUGUUAGCUUAGAUUAGUUUAAAUCUUUCUAAAACAUUUACAUCUUCUUUUAAAGCUAACAUCCAUAAGAAAAUCACCUAUUUUCCUAAUUUGAAUAUCACUUGUGUUUGCGAAAACCCUUCCCAGUGAACGAUCCUAGAACCACUAUGCUAUAGUAGCUUGGCUACUUUAGUAAUAGUAUUCAAGGUAUAAAUUUUGUUGAUACGCCUUUAAAGCUAAGCUACCAUGAGUCGAAUCAAGUCUCCGUCGCGUUUCUGUUCGGGAGCCUUCCGAAGGGUUCCUUCGUUUUUCUUCUUCUCCCGAUUGUCCAGGAGAACUCGGCGUUUUUCAGCGUCAGCCUCUUUUAACGCCUGGUAAAUCGGGAGAUCCUUCACAGUGUAAUGCUCCCCAGGCACUACCUCAUUUGGCAUCUUCCUGGGGAGAAUGUUGAUAACGUAUUCUUGGGGCUCCAGGACGACCGCCAUCAGGUUCCGUGCAGUCAGCAGCGUCUUGCACUGCCUCUCCUUGGCCUCUAUCUCAAACAACUUGCUAAGACAGGCAAAAGACGCCUUUUCCACCCAGUCCACAAGGUGGCCCCUCAAUUCCGGACCUACAAUAACAGCAACAAAAGAUGAGAACACCAUCCGGAAAAGUCAACAAAAAAUCAACAAAGUAAAAGCCGGACAAUAGUCGCAAAGCAAACCUACCCGGGACCAUCAAGGAGUAGUUUGGAGAGAAAGGCCUCGCCGGAUGCUCCAAAAACCCCGCCCAGGCACCCCGGACCACCACGUGUCCCGUCGCCCCUCCCUUUAUCGAAUCUGGUAGCUCCGUCACCAAUUGAAGGGAGGGCAGGUGUGCGGACAUGCUGAAGAUGUCAUUUUUUACCUUCUUCAGAGAAUAAACAAAAAACACCUCCAGCAGCGUGAGGUCGAGGUCGUACAGCAUGUUUAUGAUGUUGCAUCCCAUCAGCACCCGGACGAUGUUGGGAUGAAUGAAGACGGGAGGAAUCUGGGUGAAAUGAAGGAACUCCUUGAACAACGCCGGCAGAGGGAACCGGAGCCCCGCGUUGAAUUGUUCCUUCGAAAAGAUGAUGGUUUUUUCUUCUGAUUUAUCAGUAGGCACAAGCACCCUCCCAUCCAGCAAUUCAAUAGCCACGCUAUUCGGGAUACAGAACCGUUCCCGGAAUUCCUUCGCGUCCAGCUUAUCUGUCGUUUUUUCACGAACCUCGCUAGCCCGGGAAGUUGAAACAGUCUUUUUUGCAGCCAUUUCUUACCACAAAGACAAACCAAAAUCUACAUACAAAGAAGCGCAAUGGGUAAAACACAAGUAACCCAGAAACUACACAAACCCUAAACCAAAGCAGUCAGAAAAAAAAAAAAAAAAAAUAACCCUCAAAAAACCCCAAAGCACCAACAAAUGCCAAACAGUCGUAAGCGACUUACCCAAACAAAACCCAAACAAAUCAGAAACCAAGACCAAAGAACCAACAAAUGCAACAAAAGGAACAACAAUAGCAAAAGUACACGUACCAAAUGAAGCUCUGAAGGAGAAAGGUUGCUGCCUCGAUACAAAAUCACCAACAGCAAACGAACGACGCAACACAAAAUCACCGAUACAAAAGAGCUUUCGAGUUUCUUUUCUCAGAGAAGCAAAGGACACAACGGAAGCAAGAAGAAGAAAGGCUCUCAGGAGAAUGCAGUAGGGAAAAAAAUGCAAAAAGAAGGUACAGUGCGCUAUUUAUAAGGGGACAAGACCUCGGAAAGCCAAACGUCCAAACAAAUGCCAUCAUUGAAACGACAUAUUGCCUGGGAAUACCCAGGGUCGGCGGCUCAUCAUAAAUGUCUUUUUUGGCUUCCGCACCCCCACUCGCCACGUGGCCCAGUCAGACGAAGAGACCUCUUCAGUUUUCAAAAAAACCAGUUAUUUUUAACCCGCCCAUUUUCUGGGCAAAAUAGGCAAGUUAAAAAGGGGGGCAAUGUAGGGACCCCUCCCUUUGGGAAACAUAUGGCACGCAUCUCACAGUGACACGUGGCACGUGUCAUCAGCCGGACCAUCAUCAUCCGGAUCCCCCUAAGGAUGCGUAUUAUACAGUUCUCCUAUCCGGACCGCCUCAAGGAAAGGCAAAUGACGUUUCAGCUUCUCCUAUCCAAGGAAGAGCAAAUGACGCUGACAGAUCAUAGACAUCCGGACAACCUUCAUAACACAUUCGCUCCACAAUACAUCCGGAUAAUCAGCAUGUGACAUCCGGAUAUAAUCGUCCGGCUCAUCAAUUAAAGUAAAGCGAGUCUUACACGCUAUCACAACAAACAGCCAUGGCCCACAUCCUAUCAUCUGCAGAGUGAGAAGACAAGAUGAAGUGACAGCAAGUCACUUCCCACGAUCAGUUUUACGUGAUCACUUCCCACAAUCUUUGACAGCCGCAUCACCUACCAUGGUUUCUGACAGCCGCUCGUAGGGUGAUGAUGCUCCUACUGACGCCUAUUAUCAUCAUAACAACAUAAAAUAUCUCCUCACCAUUAAUGAGGAGGACAGUACCCCUGAAGCUGUUUAUAUAAGCCUUCACACGAAGAAGAAGGGGAUCAUCCUGGUAACCUCCUAAUACCUGGUAAAGGGCCAACUGAUUUAUAUCUCUCUCUGACCAUGGCUAACAAAACCAUCGGAGGGUGCGUCCGGACACCCUGUCUGGAUGCCUUCUUGCAGGUAUAACGACUGGAUCAAGAACCUUUAUGAGUUGAAAUCACGUGUCCAUCCAUUUGGCAACUACGUGGAUCAUCAAAGACGCGAGGUAUCAACAAUUGUUAUUUUGAACCCGCUUUUCUGAUGGCAUAUCCACUCCGGAAUCCCAUUUCUUUCAGCAAUAAAAGUUCUGACAGGUCUUCUAAAGUCACGCGCCUGCACAAAAAUUACCCUCUGAAUUUUGUGUCCCCGUGAAAAGAAAGGUUAACUGAUGUAUGAAAACCAUAUCUGAAUUUUGGAUUUAAAACAUUUGAAUAAAGAAGACCACAGUAGAAUUGAUGGACAUCUAGAUAAAUUAAACCUGAUGGAAGUUCUGGAAUAUGUUGAAGCAUCUUGCAGUGACUCAAGUAAGAGAUAAUGAUACCAGUGAUGAUAGGUAAUAAAUUUCACUGGGAAAUUCCCUUAGAUUGCAGCCUUGAAGCUUUAAUGUCCUCAAGGAGCAUAAACCGGACAAAGACGGCAAUGGAAAAUUCAUUGAAUCUAAAUGCCCAACAAUAAGAUGCUCUAAAGAUUGCAGUCUCCCCAAGUUGUCUGGCAAUUUGUUGAAGUUUGGACAGCUUCUGAUAAAGAGAGUUUUAAAAGAUGUCAAAUUACAAAUACUCUCAGGAAGAUUCACAAGGUUUUUGCAUUGUGACAGAAACAAAGAUUGAAGCUCUCUUAGAUGUUGAAUUGAUGAUGGUAUCUCUUUUAUGGCGGUUCUAUCUAAAUAAAGAUUUCUCAAGCUCUCCAUAUCUUGCAGGAUUUCUGGAAAGCUCUCUAGUUGUGAACAGCCAGAGCAGGAGAGAGUUGCAAGGGAUUUGAAAUCAAAAAUGCUACUGGGCAGACUAGUAAGAUUGUUGCAAUCCUGAAGACAUAAACUAUCAAGUUCCAAGGGAUUCUCGAUAAUGGGUACUUCAUUCAUAUCACUGCCCUUAAAACAGCACUUCCGUCGAAGCGUCCCAUCCCGUUGGCAUGCCCGACAUAUUCUAACAUCUGCAUCCUCAUGGCUUUGUUGAAGGUCUUGGGAGUAUAUAAGGCGGACUCCACACUCCUUUACUUUCAAGGCUUUCUCAGAAUUACUGUAAAAGUCGUAAAAGGUAAACCCAAUGUGAGUCCAUUGAUCAGAGCAAUACCUUUCCGGAAUAGCCGCCUUGGUAUAGCAAAUCACCCACGUCUGACCUGAUACACUCUCAUUAUCUUCGUCCUUGUCUUCUUUAUAGCAAAAACAAUUGGAUUGAAAGCAAGGACGAUCUAAAACUUCACGUCCAUCACCAAUCAUAGCCAAAGUACACAUCAGACUACAAGAACGUGUAUGUUUAUGUUCAUUCUUACGAAAAGAUUCAGCCACAGAUUUAUCGUCUGUUUCAUUCUCCCAUGCAUAAGCAGAUUCAUCCUUAGAUUUAUUGUCUGAUUCAUUCUUGGACCCGUGUGCAGAUUCCUUUUCGGGUAUGUCCUCAGAUUCGUAAGCAAGUGGAACAUAAACACAGC